rnacentral:lncRNA from 1 species
ACAUAUAUAUAUAUAUAUAUAUAUAUAUAUAUAUACAUACAGACAUAUAUACACAUACAUACAUACAGACAUAUAUACAUAUAGACAUAUAUAUACAUAUAUACAUAUAGACAUAUACAUAUAUAUACAUAUAGACAUAUACAUACAUACAUAUAUAUAUAUAUAUAUAUAGAGCAGGACUGUUGUGCUCUCAGGAGCACGGAGGCCUCCGUGCUUCUGAGCCGUUUUCGAUGAUGGAAUUUCCGAAUCGACGAUCGGCUCCGUUAGACUUGAUCUAGCGUAUUUGAAGUUUUUAGAAAAUAAUAUUUGCAAUUUUUCGAUAUCAUUUACAUAGUGAUCGAAAGGGUUCAAAAUCAAUAAUUUUUAACGGCUGAAAAUAAAAAUCCUAUAAAACAUGGUGAUAUAACACUAAAAUUUUCGAUCAAAAAUAUUGAUCUUGUUGUAGAUAGUAUAAAGAAUUUUGUAUUAAAAUUUCAUCUGAUUUGAAUACUUUUACACCGUUAAACUUGAAAACGGCAUAUAUCAACCAUUAAAAAUUAUUGAUUUUGAACCCAUUCGAUCACUAGGUAAAUGAUAUCAAAAAAUCGCAAUAUUUUCUAGAAACUUCAAAUACGCUAGAUCAAGUCUAAUGGAGCUGAUCGUCGAUUCGAAAAUUCCAUCAUCGAAAACGGCUCAGGAGCACGGAGGCCUCCGUGCUCCUGAGAGCAUAGCAGUCCUACUCUAUAUAUGUAUGUAUGCAUGUAUGUAUAUGUAUAUGUGUAUAUGUAUAUGUGUACAUGUGUAUAUAUGUAUAUGUGUACAUAUGUGUGUAUAUGUAUAUGUGUAUAUAGGGUAAAUUGCAUUGUUACCCCCUGAACUUUUGGCGAAGUUUCACUUUACCCCUCGAACUCCUAAAAUGGACAUCUAACCCCCUAAACUCUAAUAUUUCAUGUUAUCCCUUCCGUCAAUUUUCCAUCAAGCUCCGUUAACCGAAAACUGACGGAAGGGGUAAAACGAAUGAAAUAUUAGAGUUUAGGGUGUUAUAUGUAUAUUUUAGGAGUUUGGGGGGUUAAGUGACACUCGCCAAAAGUUCAGGAGGUAGCAGUGCAAUUUACCCUGUAGGACUCUUAACUAUAAAUUAUUUUAUGAUAAUAUGUUACUUAUGGAUUGACUACUAAUCCUCAAGUUAGUGAUCAUGCUUGAUUUUGAAUUUAUAUAUAUUUUUAUCUUAAAAUAAAUCAUAUCAUAAUUUAUCCUACAUUUUAUUGUAAUAAAAUAAAAGCGAAAGAAAUGAAUUAGAGUGGCUUAAAGAUAAGAAAAGAGCGAUACUAACAACCUACGAUGCUCGAACACUCUACUAUCCUGAUGUAUUCGCUAACAUGGUUGAUUUACAAUAGGUGUUCUCACUCGGAUAUAGAGAUUUUAAUUCUCAGUUAAUUUUUUGUAUUACUCGUUUGUCCCUUUUAUCUCUAGAAGCAUUGAUCUAAAGUAUUAUUAUAAAAUAUUAUUUUAUAUUUUUAUAUUAAAAAUUUCUAGUUGGCUGAAAUGAAGUACAAAAAUUUUAUUUUAGACUACAAUAAAAUUACAUUGCAUAGUUUCAUAGGAAGUAAGUGCAUUUUCUAGAACAAUAAAAUUACAUUGCAUAAUUUACCAUAAUGUAGGUAAAUUAUGGUAUGAUUUAUUUAGGAUAAAAAAUAUAUAUAAAUUCAAAAUCAAGCAUGAUCACUAACUUGAGGGUUAGUAGUCAAUGCAUAAGUAACAAAUUAGGAUAAAUUGUAUUGCUACCUCCUGAACUUUUGGCGAGUUUCACUUAACCCCCCAAACUCCUAAAAUAGACAUCUAACAUCCUAAACUCUAAUAUUUUAUUCGUUUUGCCCUUUCCGUCAGUUUCCGGUUAACGGAGCUUGACGGAAAACUGACGAAAGGGGUAACAUGAAUGAAAUAUUAGAGUUUAGGGGGUUAGAUGUCCAUUUUAGAAGCUCGAGGGGUAAAGUGAAACUUUGCCAAAAGUUCAAGAGGUAACAAUGCAAUUUACCCUGUGUAUAUAUGUGUGUAUAUGUAUAUGUGUAUAUAUGUAUAUGUGUGUAUAUAUGUGUAUAUAUGUAUAUGUGUGUAUAUAUGUGUAUAUAUAUAUAUGUGUGUGUGUGUGUGUGUGUGUGUGUGUGUAGUGCUAGGCUCCUGCGCUUUCGAAAGUACAAAGGCCUCUGUGAGUUAUUUUUCGAUAAUAGGACAUCCGAUUCGGCGAUCGGUUUCGUUAGAGAUGAUAUACAGUAUUGGAACUCUCUAGAAACCAAAUUUUAUAAGUUUUUGACUUUUUUUGCCUCAUGAACGAGUAGCCUUAAAAUGAACUGUUGAAAUUAAAAAUUUCAUAAAAAAUAAUUAUGAAAGACUUAAAUUUUAAAUCGAAAAUAUUGAUUUUGUUUUUGAUGUUAAGUAGAAUUUUCUAUUAAAGUUUCAUGUAAUUUCGAUUGUUCUACACCGUCGAACUUGCAAACGUGCCACAUCGGCCAUUAAAAUAGUCAUUUUUUAGACCCUUUGAUCACUGGGUAAAUAAUAUCAAAAAAUUAUGAAAUUUAGUUUACAAGUAGUACUAAUAGCGUAGAUUAUGCAUAACGGAGUCAUUUUGAAUCGGAUCUUCCAUCAUCGAAAAUAGCUUACAAGCAUGGAAGCCUCCAUACUUUCGAAAGCGCAGAAGACGUACUCUAUAUAAAUAAAACAAUCAAUGAUAUAUAUAUAUAUAUAUAUAUAUAUAUAACAAUCAAUGAUUGCACUGGUAUAUAUAUAUGUAUAUAUACACCAAAGUGCAAUCACUGAUUUGCUUAUGUCAGAUUUCUCCCUAUCUCUUUGAACUCUGAAGUGCACGAACCACUAGUUUUAUGAUGACCAACCAAGGCAAACAACUAACUUGACUCAGUUUGUUAUUGUAAUCUUCAAAGUAGUUAGGGGUACAAGAUUUUCUAUUUAUGAAUAUCAUUUCUGAAUAAUCUUUUGUUCUUCUUGAACCUCAAUUGUGUGUCUAUAAUUUCCCGGCGCAGUUUGCCAUACUUUGCUCAUUCUUUUUUUACCUGCCAGGUCACGUCGCUGAAGGGUCGAGUAAAUAUUGCUAGUGGUACUCCAAGCAGGUAAUUUUGAAAUUCCCCAUCUUAUUUAGCAUGGUUUUUAAGGUUGUUCCUUAACAUCCUUUAUUUUAGCUUCUUUAUGGCAAGAUUGUAGCCUUUUGGUUACAGUAUAUUUUUUUUGAAUAUUCAAACAAUUUUGUUGGGCGUUGCAUGUGAAAUCAUGAAAGAACUGUGAGCUGAUUAUUUCUUAACUGAUCUUCCCUUAGACUUUUGCCCUGUUUAGGAAUGCUUUCGGGGGAAGAUGAGAAAUAAACAAAACAGUCAACUUAUUAUGCAUAUUCUCAAGAAACCGCAAAUCAAGUGAAAAAGUUAAAAGAAAUCAUAUACCUAUGCGACAUUAAAAUUUCUUGAACAUUGAAGAUGAGUAAUUUACAUUUUAUAUAUUUAAUAUGCCUGAAGGGUGUAGUUAAAUGAAUAAUAUUUAGCUAUUACCCGGGGUGAGGAUUAGAAUUCACGGAAGAGUGUUAUCAUCGCACAAUGAUAACCUGUGAUUACCUAGUCAAAUCUGGUUGGUGGUUGGUAGGGAUCGCUUGUUUACAUUUUCCCUCCUUGCAUUGGCUUUAAGAUUCUGAGCUCUCUUCUUUGCUGUUAUCCUUGAAACUGCAAUUAUGUUCCUUUCAAUGGGCUAGAACCAAAAUCAGGAUGACUUCUUAGUGGAUUUUUUUUUAAAGAUGAUUCUUUUCCCCCUACAGUUAUGAGCAACCUUCCUAGCAAUCUGUUAUUUGAAGAACUUUUCCUACAUAAUUAAGUGAUAAUUGUAAUUUGUCCAUUAGAAAGAAGCAAUUUUUACGAUAUUACCUAGUAUCUGCAUUGUAUCAAAAUUUUAUGCCAGUAAUAAGUGUAACAAAUUUAACUCAAUCACUAAUAUUAGCAACUUAUUAGGCCUAAAAAACCAGUCCAAAAUGCUGAGUUUCAAGUUACCAAUCCUACUGUACUAGUUCUUAUACACAAAAGUAUAGGCCCUGCAAUAAUCUAGUAAGACUAUUGGGGUGUGAUGAGGAUUAACAACUAUGCGUGCCCCUACUGUGCGCGAGGAUUAUAUGUAAGUGAUGUGGACGGAUCUAGCCAUUCAUAGUAUCUAACGUGACCAAUAUAGAAAGGGCUAGCGUAGCAGAGUAUCGUACCUUGAGUGAUGCCAUGCUCAAAAGAGAAGUUCACGGGAUUUAAUUUAUGCCAAGUAUGGCCAUAUAUAUAUUUAACAGGAUAUGGUUUAUGGGGAAAAGGGGAAGGUUUUGCUAAAACCCUCUUCAAGUGCUUCUAAAUUAACAAACAACAGAAAUCCAGUGAACCAUGUACUACUAUACGAAAAUAUUCUAAUCAACGGUGUUCUCAAUGUGAUUAUGAACAUGGUAGUUCAUCAGUUAUUAUCACCAUUUUUUUUUCCCGUCAUUUUUUUUUCAGCGAUAUAAACACUCCCACCCUGCGCAUCUCCUGCGCCUGCUUGUGCUGUUUCAUCUUAGUAUGUUGUCUCAAAAGGUUUUACUUUUAAUAAUACCUCAUUAUGUUCCUUCUUAUAUUUUCUCAGGAUCAAGAAGCUAAUAGACUUGGAAGCCAUGUCAUUAUCGCGCCUACAAGUCGUUGUGCUCGACAUGCAAAGAGAUGCCAAGUCUUUCUCCUUAUUCACACUCCCGCAAGUCAGGUUGAUAUCUACAAAUCACCCGAAUUUAACUCGUUUUAUGUUCUCGACCUCAUCUCUUCUUUUUUCAUUUUUAUACAUCUGUUUGAACUUUUAUUUGUUCUCCGCAGCACCGAAUUCUGGGACUUGUAUCGGAGUCAUCUGGAGCCUAAGGUUCUUUGCGGUGACACGAGGAUCUGUUUCUAUGGCGCGGUACGGAAGAAGGACGUAAACAAAGCACUCGCAUCAGCUGAGUAGUUAUCGACGAGUACAAUCAUGAUCACAGUAUCGAGAGCGGCGCAUCAAAUCCAUAUCGGUAAUCGACAAACACUGUAAAAUCUUUUCUUGAGCAUGUUUUGUUUUAUUUAAUUUAAUUGUUCUUAAGUGAAGAGAAGAAGAAAACGAAAUUAAGCAUCGGUUGUUGUGGUAACUUUCUUAGGCUUGUAACCUGAAUGUUGCUGAACUCAAGUCUCAAUCAUAGAAGACCCCCCCAACUAUAGGCAAUUUUGAAAUAGCUCCCUAACAAUUUCUCUCUUAUGGGACACUAAUUUUUAUUUAUUUUUAUUUCAGGUAAAAUUUUAGUCAAUUGAAUGUUUUGUUAAAAUUAAGAGCUCUACUAGCUGUUUGUUGUCUAGUAUUAUUGCACUUGCAUAAGAUUGAAUAGUUAGAGCUAUGAAAUUUGAUGGAAUGAUUAAUCAAUUUAACAAUUAUUUUAGUUGAAUUGACUGAAAUAAUUCAAAUCAAAAUAAAUAGAAGUUGAUGUGUUGAUGUAAGAAAGGGGUGUAUCACAGUAUCACUACAGAGUUCUAAACAUUACCAAUUUAUCACUGCAAAAUUGAAAAUACAUAUCUCAAGUUCCAAUUCAUGCAAUUUGGCUAUCAUUUCACAGGAUGGUUUUUUAUUUUUUUUUUAUUUUUUUAUUUUUUUUUUUUGGUUGAAGGUUUAAACUUUAGGUCCCUUGUAAAACGAGUUGUUUAAAGGUCUUUAUAUAAUUAUUAUUAUUUUUUAGAGGUUUAAACUUUAGAGGUUGCAUAAAAUGGUAUAGAUGUUAGAGUACAAGUUAGAAUAAAGAUUAUUAGAAAUGAAAAUAGGGGUAUUAAAAGCAAUGAUUUAAAAAGUGGGUCGAAUCGGACGGUUCAACUGGUCCGACCGCGAUCCAGUCUAUGAAGAGGUUUCAUUUAAUCAUUUGAACUAGAUAAGUUAAAAAAUUAUUAUGAACCGUUCGAAUUGACGGUUUAACCAUUAAACCAGCGAACCGUUCAGGUUUUAAUCCAAUCAGCAGGAUAUUUUUUAAUCAAAUUAUAUUAAAAUUAAAUUGCUUAACUUAUUUUAAUUUCUAUUAACACAAAUUCGCAUUAUAAAAGUGAAGCUUGAAUAUCUACAUGUCUUAAAUUGGUUUAGAAAUUAGUAUUUUAUAAUUAAGUAUGAUGCGAGAAUAAUAUAUACAUAUAUGUAAUGCACGUGCGAAUGUGCGUUGCACGUCAUAUUUAAUUAAAUUAAAUUUAUAUUUAUAUUUUAAAUUUAAAUUAUUAUUGGUGAUAUGUGUCUAUUUAUUAUUUGAUUUUGUUUUUAACUUUAAUUUAUCUCCAAAUAAAUUUUAUAUAUUUUCAAUGGCUAAAUUACAUAAAAUUUUCAUGUCAAAAUUCGAUUUUUCACUUUUCCUCCUGUUAUUUAAAAAUCUACACUUUACCCGCUUAUAAAAUAAAAAUUGUUCACAGGGGAGUACGGUGUGAAAUGUGAUAACAAAAUGACCAUUUUGCCUCACUAUUUUUGCCUCCUCCCUCAUCUUGCUCAUCCCGCCGCCUCGAUCGGCCGCGGUUCGCACCUCGAUCAGCCGCGAUUCCUCUUCAUUUUCUUCUCCACCUGAUCACCUUCUCCUCCUGCACCCUUGUCGCCCCUCUAUUUCGGCGACAGUACGGAUGGAGAUGUGGGCGAGGGCGAGGCAGUGAAGGAGAGCGAGGCGGAGGAGGGCGAAGCACAGUAGAGAGGGCGGAGGGUAUUUUUGGCAUAAAAAAUAUUUUAUAACGGAACUCUAACAGAUCAUUAACGAUAAAGGAUGAAGUAAACAUUUUUUAUUUUUUAAGGGGAAAAGUGUAGGUUUUAAAUGAUAGGAGGAGAGUAAAAAAUCAGAUUUUGAUAGAGGGGUUUUCUGUAAUUUAGCCAUUUUAAAUUUAGUUAUACUGUAAAUAUUUUUUAUAUGUAUUUUGUAAUAUACAAAUUUUCCUUGAAUUUGAACCUGAUUUAAAAUUUUAAUUAAUUCAAAAUUUUAAAUUAAUAAAUUUAAAUUUAUGAAAAAAAUUCAAAAUUUGAAGUUAAUUUUGAGUCCAUAUUUGAAUAUAAAUGGUUAUAGAGACAUUGAUUUAUUUAAAAUAAUUAAUGAAUUCAUAUUUAAAUUUAUGAACAAAACUCAAAAUUUGAAGUUAAUUUUGAGUCCAUAUUUGAAUAUAAAUGGUUAUAGAGACAUUGAUUUAUUUANAAUAUUAGUAGAAUGUUGAAUGAUAAAAAUAUUUCAUAAAAAAAUACUUAAAGAGAAAUUAAAAGUUUGUUUCAUUACAUUAUUUAUUUUGUGUAAGAAAAUAGGAACCAAAUUAUUUUUUCCACCAAAAUAUGAGUUUGUCAGCAACUUGAAAUUUGAAAUACGUAUUUUUGUAUAUAGUGUGUAUAUAUAUAUAUAAAAUAAAAUUUAUUGCGUCAUGCUGAUGUCACUUGAUCAUUAGUCCCCGCUGGCUGAAUUAGUAACUCCUGAGCCAGUAACAUUUUCAUGUCUAUGUUCGAUUCGAUUUUUACAAUAUUGAUUCAAAAUAUUUAUUGGUCGAGAAGCUGUAUAUAUUUGCAGAUGAUAAAACUUUAAACAAAUAAUUAUGACUUUUUAGGGGAAAAUCUGAUAUUUUAUUAGUUUUGCAAGAAUUUUUUAUUUUUUUUUGAGAAAAAGAUAGCACACUACCCGCUUCAUUCAUUGGAACGGUGAAUUAAGCUACAUGGGUGAGACAGCAAGGCUUCUAAAAGAGUGAAAAAAAAUAAAAAAUAAAAAAUAAAAAAUAAAGAAUAUGUUGACAAGUAGAGAAUCAAUAACACUUAGAUAAAGUAGAUGUGAGAUAUACAUUCCACUUUAAGAUGUACCAAUAAUAUUGUACAUAUGCUAAUUAGAUUAUGAAUUAAUAAAAUAAUUAAAAUUAGAUUUGGAGUUUAGAGUUUAAUUAGGCAUGUUCUUACUUGGAAACAAGCUUGUUCCAAGAGGACGGAGGAGCUGCUGUUCCUGAGUUAUACCUGCAUGAAGCAAAUGUUUCGGAAUUAUACUUUUUUAUUCUUAAAAUAAAAAAAUAAAAAAAACCCUACAAUUCUCUCUUCCUCAAUCAAAACGGUGUUUAGGAUAAAGCCUCCACUUGGUUCGUUUGGUUCAAAUAUAAAUAAUAACUAUUUAUUUUAAAGAUAGAUACAAAUUCAGAUAUAAGCCAGAAUUAGACUAAUUUUGUGUUUGAAUAAAAAUUGAAUUAUUUCUGAAAAUAAGAUAAAUAGUAUUUGGAUUGUUAGAUUGAAACAGAAGGAGUAAAAAUUAUAAUUUUAAAAUAAAAAUAUUUUAUCUAAUUAUUUAACAUCAAAAUAUUAAUUAAAAAUAAUUUAAUAAACUAAUAAAUUUAUUAGCUACACAUAUAAGAUAAUAAAAAUAUAUUAAUUAAUUAAUUAUAAAAAAUAAUUUAACUUUCUAAUUAGUUAGUAAAUUAUUUUAGUCAGAUUUUAGUAAAGAAAUUAAUUAGACUAGCCAAAAUAUUAAUGGUUGAUCAAUAUAAAUAUUAGUCUAUGAAUAAACACAUUAAAGUAUUAAUUUUUAAGUAGCUAAUUAAUUAUGAAUAAUAAAUUAAUUAACUACUUUAUUAUUUAAGCAAUAGAUAAUAAUCUAAUUGCAUUAAUUAAAUUAAUUAAUCAUUUAAUAUCAUAAUUAACAUUAAACUUAGACUUUAAUUAAGUUUGUUCCUAUUUAAAAAUAAGCUUGUUUCUAGAAAAAAACGGUGGAACAACUGUUUCAAACUUAUAUCAGCUUUACCCUCCUCUCCAACGCCCUCAUCAACACCUACACCAAGUCCGGGUCCCUCCCCCUCGCCCUCCUCGCCGCCGCCCCGCGGCCCUCAUCAACACCUACGCCAAGUCGAGUCCACCCCUCGCCCUCUCGCCGCCGCCCCGCCGCGACGUCUGCCUCGUGGAACACCGCCUCUCCGGGUUCAGCAAUGGAUAUGAAAAAAAAAAAAAAAAAAUUUGCUUCUAUGGAUAUAAAACAUGAAGAUUUGCAAUUUUGAGUGAACCGUUUGGUCGAAAUAAAAGGACAACCCUUGUUGCACACUUUUCACUAGUUUAUUUUUUUUUUCUAAUCCAGUUCUUAAAAUCUAAUAAAGGGUUGUUUGGCUUGAUGUCCUUAUUAAGUACUAUAUAAUAAAUAGAUUUGCAUGGACUCCAUAUGGUUGUACGAAGUUAAAAGUGAUAGAAACUUAUGUUUGAUUAAUCACAGUUGAAAGCUGCUUAUUCUGUUUCUCUGAUUUAAGAUUUGAGUGGGCAAAUAAGUUUACCCUUUCUUCAAAAUUUAUUCUCUCCAACUGCUUCAUCCUACAUUGGAUUUGGAUAUACAUUUGAAGUUUGCCCCCCCCCCGCCCCCAAACUGCAGGCCAAAUUGUAGUGCACAGAUACAACAACAACAACAACAACAGACGAAAUAAAACUUUCAGAUUGGCACGCAGUCGCAAUUGCGACGCAAGUCAUAAUGCAAGCAGCACAACCAGAAAUAUAGCUCCUAAACUUGACUCCUAAGAGAACAUAAUUAGAAAACGAAAACAAAAACUGCUACAGAUAUCUCAAAGAUUUGACUACACAAUGGAAAUUAGCGCCCGCUUUUGCUUCAGAAGCAGCAGCCGCAGCAGCCCUCGAAGAUUUGACAAAUAGAUCUACUACUAGUCCAGCUACAUUGAGAAGCGAAAAUGCGGUUCAAACCCAAAAGCAAAACAAAGUUCCGACUUCUAACUCCAACAUAGAAAUAAGCAGAUAUCAGUAUAGCGAUUCCAGAAUAGCACUAUUAAGACGACGCUUUAUCAAACAACACUGUUUGGUACACUUGCGAACAUUUAUGUAAAAUAAGCCAAUCAAAAUCGAGUUCAUCGUUUAAACUGAAUCAAGCAAUUUGUUCUUGAGUUUUAAGAAUCAAAUGGAAAACAUUAAAAAAACAAAAAGAAACAAUAAACAGCCGAUAACAAGGCUAAAUCCAUUCAUUUACUCAGAUUGGCCUUGGAAAAAAAAAAAAUCUGGGUCCUCUUUUUAACCGAGUGAUUUUUUUCCUAUAAUAUAAUUAAGAAGAAUAAGUAUACUACCAUCACUUGUUUAUCAUAAAACUGAGAAAGAUUCUCGGAAAAGUCGUAACCAUCACUUGAAAAUCACAAUCGUAGUUCUAUAAAUAAGUUCCUAAAAUUGGACUAAUACCAAAUUACUCGAAGUACUCUUUUUGUAGUUUAGCAAAAACACUAGCAAAAUCUCAAGAUAGUACAAAGUUCAAAGCAGAAUCCAUGAAAAGCACUCUUCUCUGAAUUGUGCAGCAUAAUUUGCUCAAUUUUAAGAAAAUAGUAUGCGAUCCAUAACCAAACUGAAUUAUAAAUACUAACUAGGAAAAUACUUUCGAAAUUGUCCACUCCAAAACUUGUCUUGUGAAUGAGCAGUGUUCAACGAUUCGCCUUCGCAACACGCUCAAUCUCGUCCUUCUUCUUAAUAGCAUAGCUGGAAAAAGGGGGGAGAAAAAAAAGGGAACAAACAGUGAAUGAUUUCAUGUCAGCAAAUACUUGUAAUUAGAGGACAGGAAGAAUAGAAAAGCCAAGCAGCAUUAGAUGACUUUAUCGCCUCGAAUCACAUUUAAUAAAAUUAUGGGUUGUAAUGAAGGCGAAAUGUAUGGGCCGAACUCACAGCGUCUUUAUGAUGCGAUUAAAAUGUUUCGAGCGUAAGAUUGUAAGUAAUAGAUAAAAAGGAGGCAAAUAAAAGUAUCAAGAGGUCAAAGUAAUAACAUUAACAUCAAUCCAACUUAGAUUUACUGCUUUGCAUCAUAGCAACUGAUAGUAAAAUUUCAAAAAAUGCUACAAAUUAUUUAAUACCAAAGUAAUGAGUUAUUAAAAAAAACCUACAACAAACAUAUAUAGUGAUGCCCAAGGGAUUAGAAGUAGCUAAUUGUCUGCAUUGCUGAAUUACAUCAACAAAUCAAAAUUAGCAGCUACCAAGGGACCCAGGUCAGUAAAAGAAUGUACUCAGUACUACCGCAGGCGGUUCAAGGCACCAUGUCUGCGAAACAAUUUGUUACAUGGGCACAUCGUUUUAUGAAAAAAACAAAAAUUGAAAAAUACAAAGCUAUUAACCCACAUCACCAGGAAUUAGAACAUUAGACCGGAGAAUAGAGAGGUCCAUAUUUUCUCCAAAAAGGCAUAGGUAUUUAGAAGGGCGCCAUUCAUAUUUAGCUCAAAAUAGUAUAAAACCUAACAAAUUAAAGAGCUAUUGAAACAAAAGGGAGCAAAAAUAGAAACCACAAGAGGGGAAAGUGAAAAGCACAUAUACCUAUUUGAAGAGCCCUUGGCUGCAUUGAUUAGCUCAUCAGCAAGGCACUCUGCGAUGGUCUUGAUGUUUCUAAAAGCACUCUCUCUGGCACCUGUCGUCAGAAGGUAUAUAGCCUGGUUGACCCGUCGGAGGGGAGAAAUAUCAACGGCCUGCCGUCUAACAACACCAGCAGACCCAAUACGAGUAGCAUCUUCCCUCGGCCCACUACAGAUGAAGUAAAAUACAAUAAGCAGUAGAAACAGUAUACUGAACAAUGUCUAGCAUAGCAAUCAGAUGGAGUAAAAUACAAUAAGCAGUAGAAACAGUACACUGAACAAUGUCUAGCAUACAAAUUGGCAAGAGAAAGCUUAUUGAAAAUAAAUAAAUCAAUAAGCUUGCAUAACAUAGUAGUUCCCUAGUAACAUGACCUACAUGAGACAUGAACUUCAAGCGAUCACAAAUAAAACUGUUAUUGUUAUUAAAACAGCAGACCGAAAUUACCAAAUCUAUGGCCUUCAUUCUUCAACAGUAUAUGGAAUAUGUGGUUAUGUUUAUUUGAUCAGUGCUAAGUCUGAGGCAUUUGAAAAGCUCAGUAAAAUAUAAGAAAGAAGUUUUGGACUACAACGUUGAGGCCAAUGACUCAAAAUUUUUAAUGCUUUCAUUUUGACAUUGAAAAAGAUAGACAUGGGGUACUUAAAAGUUCCAAUAGCAAUAACUUCAACCCUAAAAAGCUGCUCUCCAGAGCAAACUGCAAUAUUCCACAACAUCACUAAUAAAAUAUUUCACUCAAAUUCCAUUUCUGGGUUUCAAUCAAAAUCUGAACCAAAUGUUUACAAAUUGCAUGUUUCAAAUUGGUUUGCUAUUCUGGAUAGUCAAAUAAUUCACCUGUUAAUGAUGGCAUCCACAAUAAUUUGGAUUGGGUUCGCGUCAGUCAACAGAUGAAUGAUCUCCAUGGCAUGUUUGACGAUGCGAACAGCCAUUAGUUUCUUCCCGUUAUUGCGGCCGUGCAUCAUCAGAGAAUUGGUCAGCCUCUCGAUAAUAGGGCACUGGGCCUUGCGGAACCUCUUCACCGAGUAUCUUCCAGCUGUGUGAGGAAGAUAGGUAGCAUGCUUGGUCGAAGUCACAGCAAUGUAAUCAGCAAGCGAAAUGUCAGUCACCUGCAAAUAUAUAUUUAAUGCAUAAAACAAUGUCAAAGCAAGUUCCACAUGCAAAUAGGAUGGUAGAGAGCUAUUAAAAAAAAAAAAAAAAAAACCACAGAAAAAUCUAGGGUUAAAUACAGGUAUACCUUUCUAAAGUUUAAAAAAUAACUUACAUAUCGCUCCAAAUUUUAAGUCAACUUGCAUACCCUUCUAAAACUGGUCUUAGAAGUUUGGAGGGAUGUAUAAGUAAAAUUGAAAUUUAGGGGGAUAUAUAUAUAUAUAUAUAUAUAUAUAUAUAAAAUUGAACUUCUGUGUUUUUAAGAGCACGAAGUUGUUGGUGCUUCUGAGUUUUCGGUCUUUGGAUGAAAAUUUGUAGAGUUAGGAUAAUAGUGGUCCUCUAGAAUUUGGUAGAUGGUUGAUAAAAUAGUAUGAUCUAAGAGGUAGAAUUGAUCAAAGGAGUAGAUCUAGCGGUGAAAAACUUGCAAGUACCAAGUGUUUAGUACUUUUAAUAGCAUCAUAACCAGGCUCUCUCUCUAUAGAGAGAGAGAGAGAGAGAGAGUAGAGCUCCUAUGAUUUUAAAACUAUUGAAGCUUAUUGUACUUAUGAUUUUUUAGCUAUUAGAUCGCCUCAAGAUCCAUGCAGUACUAAUAAAAAAGACUUAAUGGGACACAAUAUUAAUAGUGUUGCAUGGAUCUUGAGGCCAUCCAAUAAUUAAAAAAUCACAAGCAUUAAUGCUCUUGUGUUUUAAAAGCAUAGGAGCUCAACACUCUCUCUCAUAUAUAUAUAUAAUAGAGCUAUUAUGCUUCCGAAAGUAUAAAGGAGUUGGUGCAUUCAACUUUUUGGCCCUUGGAUUAAGGCUUAGUUUGGUAUUGACGUCCAUCUGACGCUAUUAGAUAAAAUGGAGUUGAGGUUAAAGUAUAUAGGGAUAUGCUUCUGUGUUCUCCGGUGGGACAACAGAAAAUAUCUCGUAACUGACUCAUCGCNAUCUAUAUAUAUAUAUAGAGAGAGAGAGAGAGAGAAAGAGGUUGUUGUGCUCCUCCGUGCUUCUAAGCCAUUUUCGAUGAUGAAAUUUUCCUCCUAAGGCAUUUUCAAUGAUGGAAUUUCCGAAUCGACAAUCAGCUCUGUUAGACUUGAUCUAGCGUAUUUGAAGUAUCAAGAAAAUAAAUUUUGCAAUUUUUUGAUACCGUUUACCUAGCAGUGUUUGAAAAGGCGCAAAGGCCUUAUGGAGCCUAGGCGCGAGGCGCAUAUCUAAUAAAAAUAAAACUCUUAAAAAGCCUAUUUUAAAUGCAUAUUUUACAUUAAAAAAUUCUAAAAUAGUUAUACAAAAACAAAAUUACCAUAAAAAAAGUAAAGAAAUCGCAUGCAUAAAUGUUCUUGGCCUAAAAAUAAAAAAAUUACAUUUCAACUUUCAGCUUAAAAGUGUUUGCUGCUGCUUCUUUCUUCUUACCGCUGCUACUUAUUGCCAUUGGAGGGUGGAAGAGAGAACGACCAAGAGAAAAGGAAAUGAAGCCGUUCAAUUAGAAAUUAUUUUAAAAAUUUUCUUAACAUUUUAGAAUAUAUUGAAGAAACUGAAAACCCGAAAACCCAAACUCUAGAUACAUUAAGCGUAAAUAUCACGAGGCGCGUCUGAGGCGCGCGCCUCACUCCCUAAUGCGCUGAGACUCGCACCUCGCGCCUAGGCGCGCCUUUUCAAACGUUGUUACCUAGUGAUCAAAAGGGUUCAAAAUCAAUAAUUUUUAAUGGUUGAUGUCUGCCGUUUUCAAGUUUAACGGUAAAAAAGUAUCCAAAUUAGAUGAAAGUUUGACAGAAAAUUUUUUAUACCAUCUACAGCAAGAUCAAUACCUCUAAUCGAAAAUUUUAGUGCUAUAUGACCAUUUUUUGAGAUAUGUUUAUUUUGAAUCAUUUUAAUCGCUAGGAAAAUGAUAUCGAAAAAAUCACAAAAAUUAUUUUAUAAAAACUUCAAAUAUGCUAAAUCAACUCUCUAACGAAGCCGAUCGUUGAUUCAGAAAUUCCAUCAUCGAAAAUAGCCUUCGUGCUCCUAAGAGCAUAGCUGUGUGAGUGUUGGGUCGGGUCUGCAUGGCUGUGUCUGCGUGCCUGUGUGUUCGUGUGUACGGGCGUGCGCGUACGCACACGCGGGCCAGCAUGUGUGUGGGUGUGUGCGUGCGCGCGCAUGGGAGCGCGCGUGUGUGUGCGUGUUAGUUUUAAACUUUAGAAGGUUACACCAGUAUCUAACCCAAAAAUCUAAAGAGCUUCUAAUACUUGCGGCGUCAGAAUCUACAAAAACAAAAGAGACAUUGUUGACAAAGCUCAGGUUUUGUCGCAAUAUUCAAGUCCUCACAAAAGUGAUUCUGAGAUGCUAAGAAAAGUUAACGACCGCACAUCAUGCGUUUAAUCAUCAAUUUCAACAUUCAUUAGCAUAAAGAAAUACUCAAUUUUCCAUUUUCCCUCGAAAUACGUAAGAAUAUCUUGAGGCUUAUAAGGCAUAACAUUAGCUUUCCUUGCACAAAGCAAAUCACAAAGAGCGAAUUAAAAGAAUAGAUCGUCCAUUCAUGUUCUCUACUAUUCUCAUUAACAGCCAAUCUAAAGAUCUACCAUUAAAACCACCUACACCCUAACAUCAACAAUCCAAUGUUACAUCUCCCGAUAUAGCAAAUCCACCAAAAACACAACCAAAACCCUAAUAAUUUAGCAGGACGCUCCAAAAUCAAACUAAUCUCAACCAAUCUAGAAGCAUCUCAGAAUCCAGAUCAAAUUACACGGAUCACAAAGAUCGUAGCCACAAAUUAGAGAACCCAAACCCCUAGAAUCUAGAGAUCUCGCAAAAGAGAACGAAAGGAGAGUUGGGGUGGGGAGAAGAGAUGGAAUCGUACGUUGAUGUCCUCGAAGGCCCAGCGAUUGAAGAGCUUCACGUCCUGCUCGGUCGCCAUUGUCGCCGUCGCCGUCGCCGUCGCCGUCGCCGUCGCCGAAAGAGACGAUGAGCUCGCGAGAGGAUGCGGAGGAUGAGGAGGAGGAGGGAACGCGAAAGCGAGCGAGGCGGCGCCCUAAACCCUAAUUUGCUCUAUUUAUACACGAGCAUCGGUUUUUUUUUUGGAAAACUUUAAACAGCACCCUGUGAUUCAGCGUUUUCUCAUUUUAGUACUUUAUCCUUUAAACUGUACCAUUUUAGUACCUUGUAGUUUCCUUUUUUUCUUUUCAGUAUCCCCUCUGUUAAUUUUUUCGUUAAAUCAAUAAAAAAGUUAAAACUACAGGAUACUAAACUAAAAAUUUUGUAAACCAUAAGACAUUAAAGUAAAUAUUCGAUAAACCGCAGGAGGUAUCUAUUUUUUUUUCUAUAUAUUUUAACAGAGGAUUAACAGAAAGAGAAGAAAAAAUCACAGUACUAAAAUGAUACACUUUAAACCACAGGGUAUAUAUUUUAACAAAGAGUUAAAACAUAGGGGAUAAUGAAAAGAGAAAAAUAAAACCACAGGGUACUAAAAUAAUACACUUUUAACCAGUGUACUAAAAUAAGAAAGUGUUAAACCCCAGAGGAGAUAUUCGAAGUUUUUUUUAUAAAAAAAAAGGAAAAAUUUUAAAUACCACCACUAUGGUUUCACAUUUUCUCGCUUUAGUACCCUGUGGUUUAAAGUGUAUCAAUUUAGUGUUCUGUGGUUUAAAAUACUUCAGAUACCCUAUCUAGGUUUAUCGAAUAUUUACUUUAGUAUUCUUUAGUUUCAAUUUUGUCAUUGAUUUAAUAAAAAUAAUUAGUGAAAUCACACCUGAGGCCGUCCGCGUGCCGGGAGCAAGAGGGCGCGCGGCGGCGGGCCCUCUUGCUCCCAGCGCCAGCUAAGGCGGUGGAGGAGGAGGAGGACGACGACGAGAGCGGCGACUCGCGAGCCAUUUUUUUUGUGCGAAUGAGGCAAGGCUUCUUGGGGGCGGAGGUGGAGGCGGAGGAGCCGGCGCCGAGGUUGGCGGUGGUGGUGAGCUGCUAGCGCUCGCGGCGGCGGGCGGCGGGGACCCACAUGCUCUUCACAUGGGUUGAGCAGUCGAAGCCGCGGCUCUUACAGCACGUCCGGCAGCGUCGGUUGGUGCAGUCCUUCUUCACCUGGUUGCCGCAGUCCUGGUAGGUCGACGACGAUGACGACAACCCCGCCAGCCCGACCCCCGCGCCGCUAAGGAUGCCUGGCGAGUUGAACAUCGGGACGGGCUUCCUCAUGUAGAAGAUGGCGGCGACGGGUCUGCUAGGGAGCUGCGGCUGGGGCUGCCAGAAUUGGAUGCCGGAGGCGGCGGCGCCGGGCUUGAGGGUAAUGAGGCCAAGUUGGGAGAGAAAGAAAAGAUAAUUUAAGAAAAUAGUUUAAUAAGGUAGGGGCAAAAUAGGUAUUUUAAUUAGGUUUUAACUUUGGUAUACAUUUAACCCAUAUUUAACCCGAGUUAGUUUAAUAGGGGAUAACAAUGGGGGUAUUUUAGAAUAACGGUGGAACAUAUGAGGGGUAUUUUAGAAAGAAAAAAGAAAGUAGGGGUAAAUCGAAUAUUUUCAAACGUACGAGGGGUAUAUAGACAAUUAUCCCUAAAGUUUAUCCUUAAAAAAAAUGGACGAGUCAGUUCGGUUCACCAAUUGAAAUGUAACGGUUCAUCUCAAAUUACGUGUGUAAAAUUCAGUUUGGUUCUAUUUGUUUAAAUAUUAAAAUUCAAAAGAAAUUGAAUUAAUAUUGAUAACUUAAUAUAUAUUAGCCUUAAAUUAAAAAAAAAACCUUGCAUUAAUAUUAAAUAAUAAUCAAAUAAUUAGAGAUAUUAAUCAUUAUUGUAUUUAAAGAUAUCUGGAAUAAAUUUAUCAUGAUUAUAUAUUCUUUUUAGUAGUAUAAGAAGAUUUAAACUAAAAAAAUAAAUGUUAUUGAAACCAAAUAAACCGAACCGAACCACCCGAAUUAUUCAGUUUGGUUAGGUUUUUAGUCCAGUAGUUCCUGAAUAAUUUAAAAUUGAAUAGAAUUUUAAAUUUAAGAGAUAAUUUUAUUUGUAUCCCUAUAAAAUUUUAAAAUUAUGUAUUCAUCCCCGUAAAGUUUUAAUAUCAAAAAUUUCACUCUGAAUUUUCAAAAUAUUUACAUUUAUCUCUAGAUGUUGAUUACUUAUUUUUUAUUUUUUAGGGUUAAUGUCAUAGAGGUCCUGCAAAUAUAGUGAAUAGCAAAUAUACCGCUAUAAAGCUUAACUUUCAUAUGUUGUUCCUGUAAAAGUCUUGAUGUUUUCAAAUAUGUUCCUGUCAUUAGAAUCCGUUAGAAAAUUUUAGUUAAUCAUAGAUUAAAUACUUAAUCCUGGUUAGUUUUUGAUAUUUUACCCCUCUUAUAUUAUACUGUUAUGACUUUCGGAGGGACAUAUUUGUGAUGACAAAAUUGAAAAUAUAAACAGUUCUCUAACGGUAAUAAACAAGAGGGACAAACUUGAAAAUAUUAGAACUUUUAUAGGAACAAUAUAUGAAAGUUAAAUUUUGUAGGAAUAUAUUUGUCAUUCACUAUAUUUGUAGGGACUGAUAUAAAAUUAACCCUUUUUAUUAUUAUUAUUAUUAUUAUUUUUAAAAGGUUUAAAAUUUAGAGGUUGCACAGAAUGGCAUAGAGUAAGAGUUAGAAUAAAGAUAUAUUAGAAAUGAAAACAGGUAUUAAAGGCAAUAAUUUAAAAAGCGGGUCUAACCCGCCGAUUCGACUGGUUCAACCGCGAUCCAAUCUAUAAGAAGGUUUGGUUCAACUCUUAGAACUAGAUAAGUUAAAGAUCAUUUUGAGCUGUUCGAACUGAUAGUUCAACCUUCAAACUAACAAACCGAUCAGGUUUGAAUCUAACUGGCUUGAUAUUUUUUAUCAAAUUAUAUUAAAAUUCAACUGCUUAGAAUCAACUUAGCCGGAGCUCGAAAAUUUAUAUCUAUUUAAAUUGGUUUAGAAUUUAGUAUUUUAUAAUUAAGUAUGAUACGAGAAUAUAUAUAUAUAUAUAUAUAUAUAUAUAUAUAUAUAUAUAUAUAUAUAUAUAUAUAUAUAUAUAUAUAUAUAUAUAUAUAUAAUAAAAUUAAAAAUAAUAAUUAAAUAUUCAUGGCGUAAUGGUUUAGUCAGUGGUUGAUCCACUAGUUGAACUAGUAGCGCGGGAGCCAACAACAUUUUUGUGUUGCUGUUCGAUUCGAGUUUUAAAAUAUGAUUAAAAAUAUAUAUUGGUCGAGAAGCUGUAUAUAUUUGUAAAUGAUAAAACUUUUAGGCAGAUAUUAAAAUUUUUAGGGAUAAAUCAAAAAUUUUAGUAUGAGAUGUACACUCCACUUUAGGAGGUACCAGUAGUAUGGCUCAUAUACUAAUUAGCUUAUGAAUUAAUACAAUAAUUAAAAUUAGAUUUAGAGUUUAAAGUUUAAUUAGGCAUAUUUUCACUUGAGAAUAAGUUUGUUCCAAGAGAAUGGUGGAGCAAUUGUUCCAAAGUUCUACAUGCUUGAAGCAACUGUUUCAGAAUUAUACUUGCUUAUUCUAAAAAAAAAAAAAAAAACCACAAUUUUCUCUCCCUUAAUCAAAAUGGUGUUUAAAGAGAAGCCCCUUCUCACGCUUAUUUACCUACUCUGCUUCAAAAAUAUAUAUAUAUACUUUGUUGUACCCCGACCAAACACUUUUUGAAAGUAUCAUUAACAUAAGUUAUAAGUCACAAGAAAAGAAAGCAUAGAUGCAAGAGUUUCAUAAUGGAGAGGAACCGGGCAGAGCACAGGGAGAAGAGAAGGGACAGAGCUUUACCUCCAGGGUUCAACAACACCACCCCUAGCAUCAAGAAGACGGCUGUUGGAGGUGGCUACCUAAAGGGACUUACACGUUGCAGCAGGGGAAGGAUUUGAGAGGGCGAGAGGAGACGUUGCCAUCAUCCGAGAAAGAUUGGCUCAUUAAUAGGGGUGUAGAUUUAGUGCUGGAGCCUGAGGAGGAGAGACGUUAUCAGAGGCUUUUGGGUUUCCUAUUUAGGCUUCAGGGUUUGAAUGGUAGGGAGGCUGGGGCAGAUCGCGUUGGUGGGGAAGUGACUACAAAGAUGCACUCCUGACCCCAGCUGAGCCCCCGAGCCACACUCACCAACAACAUGUUUAUUUCAAGGGGGACCAUAAUAAAAGGGCUGUGAGAGGAGAGUGGCGUAGUUUUUCCGGCAAGUGCUUCAGAUGCCUGAGUUCCGACCAUAAAGUAAGCGACUGUCGAGACCCACUCAGGUGUUUCCGGUGGUGUCUCCGCACCGGACAUAAGGCCUUUCGGUGCAAAGUUAAAUCUCCUGAUCGCUGCAACAACAUGUUGAGAGCCCGCCAUGCACGUGGACGCGUUCCAUCUCUAUGGGUGGUCGUUCCUUUCACGGAGGACUACUACUCGCGCAGGGAGCUUCGACAAAAUGCAAUACUGGCAGACAUUGUCCACCCGGCAAACCUCGGGCGCUCGCCGCAGCAGACGGUGGCCAAUGCGCUUGCGGAUCGUUUUGGCGGUUACCCGACUGACUUUGUGGUGGCACGUCAUAGGGAGCACGACUUCACGGUGUUCCUGCCGGAGUGGGCCUCGGCGGAGAGACUGGUAAUUAAGAAGACGGAUUAUUACUUUGGAGGGCUUCUGGAUGAAUUGUUUCGAGUGGGGACAAUAUCGACAUACUACUCCGCAUAGGCUCCCCUUCAAGGCGUGGAUAAAUUUAAUCAACCUGCCCUUCGAAUGUUGGUCGAUCCCUAGAGUGGCUGCUAUCGUCGGGGGAUUUGGCCGGUUUCUGAGGGCCGAUGAGAACUCCAAAUCUAUGACCGAUCGACCUGAGGGCCUACGUACCGAUGUCGUAUCGGGGUUUUAGCAUUUUGGUGCCAACUGAACCUCUUAGGUGGGGCCAGCAGUUUGGGCUUGACUUUCAAGCUAUUGCAGGGGUUUUUACGGCGACGAUUUACUCUUCUACAUCUGCUUUGAAAUUAUUGAAUCGAUCAUCUGACCGUGGGCUAAUGAACCGCUGGCCCGAGACCGAAACGUUGCAUCAUCAGGAAGAUCGUCUUGACAGGCAUGGGCCAAGUGAUUUUGCUGCCACCAGAUCACACCCCCGGAACUACUAGGCGUUUGAGCCCACGACUAGCUAACGUUCACUCGGGAUCUAUAACCCAAAAGGCCAUAACAAGAAAAAUAGAGCUUAGGGAAGGAGUUGGGACAGGUGGACUGAAGGGCUUCCACACUUAUGGGAGAAAGAAAAUUGCGAAAAAGAGUAAAAAGUGUGGUGUUCUUCUCAACGACUCUGAUGCACAUGCGUUUGAGGACUUUCUUCUGGGCCCUAUCUGAGAGGCCUUCGUUCCCCAUCCGACAUCUGGAGUCGGGACUUUUGUCUGUUUUGUUGUUUUGUUAUGUUAAACAUCUGUAGUUGGAAUGUUAGAGGACUUGGGGAUCCCGGUAAAAGACGUGCCGUGAAAUGUGUGGUGUCCACACUCAGGAAAGCGGUUGUUUGCUUACAAGAAACAAAAAUUAGCUCAUGUUCUCUUUCAUUUUUGCGUAGCUUCUGCGGGUCUUUUUACGACAAAUACCAGUUGAUUGAAGCACUUGGAGCAUCUGGCGGCCUCUUGACCUGUUGGAGUUCUCGGAUGUUCUUCGUGCAGUGAAGUGUUUCUAAAGCAAUAUUCCAUUACCAUCCGACUCACACAUGUUCUAAGCGGAACUAGUUUUUACGUCACUAACGUUUACGGCCCUCUAACCUGGGAAGGAAAGGAGGAGUUCUGUUCAGAAUUGGCACGACUUAAAGAUGAGUGCAAAUAUUGUUGGGUCUUAUGUGGGGAUUUCAAUUUCACAAGAAAUCAAUCGGAACGCAGGGGUAAAACCUGGAGUGUGAAAGCAUCGAAUAUGUUCAAUGAUCUAAUUCGAUAUCUCGAAAUGUUGGACCUACCAAUGAAGAACCAAGCUUUCACUUGGUCGAAUAUGCAAACUCGCCCUACCAUGGCAAAACUCGAUCGAUUCCUUAUUUCAACCGAAUGGGACCAGUAAUUCCCACUCUCCGAGGUAGAGGCAGUUCCGAAAAUUACUUCCAACCACUGUCCAAUUCUUCUAUCAAUAGGAGGCAAAAUCAAACAUAAAUUAUUCCGAUUGGAAGAGGUUUGGUUACGUAACGAAAACUUCAUCAAGAAUAUACCUGUGUGGUGGAAGGAAGUACAGAAUAACGAUUCAGCGCUUCUCUCUUUUAAUGCUAAACUCAGACACUGUCGAAAGCAGAUUAAAAAGUGGUGUGCAUCUGAUUUCUACAAUAUCUUAAAAUCUAAAUCUGAAAUUAUGUCUGAGAUACAGAAGAUUGAUGAAAUAGAAGGGGAAACCAUUUUAACGUCGGAACUUUAAGAGAGAAGAGAGUCACUCAAAGCCCGUCUCAUUAUAAUCCUCAAAGACGAGGAAGGACUUUGGAAACAACGUGCCAAGCAACAAUGGUUACAAGAAGGAGACGGUAAUACGAAAUUCUUUCAUGCGAUUGCCAACAACAGGAGAUGUUCAAAUGAAAUUGGGACGAUUGUCAAUGAGGGAAACUGUUUUAUUAACGAAGAAGAAAAGAGACGCUAUUUUUGGAGAAAAUUCAAGGAACUAUACACACCAGAACCUCAUGUACCAAACUCUGUAGGGGACUGGAGCGGCCUAUUUCAGAAAAGGCGGGUCGUCGACCCUGAUCUGUUAACCAUCCCUUUCGAUAUAGAGGAGAUCAAAACGGCGGUGUUCCAACUUGGAGGGGAUAAAGCGCCAGGACCGGAUGGCUUCCCCUUGAGUUUCUGCCAGACCUUUUGGGAUGUUGUCAAGAAUGAUAUCCUUUUGAUCUUUCAAGAGUUUUAUGUGGGACGGCUCUCCACACGUGCUAUCGACUACACUUACAUCUGUCUUAUCCCCAAAAAAGAAGGAGCGGCGAGGGUCAAUGACUUUAGACCUAUUAGUUUACUAAACGGGAUCCAAAAAAUUAUUAUCCAAAGUUUUAGCGAACCGUUUAGAAGGUGUGAUGCACGACCAUAUCUCUACUUCACAAUCGGCAUUCUUAAAAAGGAGACUCUUGGCUGACGCAUUUGUAACAACACAUGAGUUAAUGGCUUGGGGCUUUAAAGAGGUUGUGGAGGGAGUAGGGGUAAAAGUAGAUUUCGAGAAGGCAUACGAUAAAGUCAAUUGGUCUUUUCUCAGAAUGAUUUUGGAGCUGCUGGGCUUUAAUGAGAAAUGGUGUGGUUGGGUUUGUGAAUGCAUUUGUAACUCUAAGUUGGCUGUCUUAGUCAAUGGCGUUGCAACUAAUUGGAUCAAAUCUAAAAGAGGUUUACGACAAGGCCAUCCGCUAUCACCUUAUCUCUUCUUACUUGUGGUCGAGUAUCUCGCCAGGAUGACUGACAGGGCUGAGAAAUCUAAUCUUCUUAAGGGAAUCGGACCAACAGAAGAUAGCGCUGGAACCUUAAUACAAUACGCAGAUUAUACUUUUUUCUUUUGUGAGGCGAGGAAGAGAUAUAUGUGCAACCUUAAAUUUUUGUGGAAUCUCUUUGAGUGGGCUUCUGGGAUAAAGAUUAAUAAAGCAAAGUCAGAGCUUUUUUACAUGGGGGGAAAGAACGGAAAAGACGCUAGACUCGCUGGCAUUUUGCAGUGUAAAGUUGGAAAUUUGCCAACUAGAUACUUAGGCCUACCGUUAACUCACAGAAAACUUAGAAAAGAAGACUGGGUAAGUGUCAUUAAUAAUUUCCAAAGGAGGAUCGACGGUUGGCAGGGUAAACUUCUUUCUAGAGGCGGCAGGCUGAUUUUGGUCAAUUAUGUUCUUUCUAAUUUGCCGACGCACUUUUUCUCCCUUUUUAAAGCACCAAAAUGGGUCUUAAAGUUUUUGGAGGCACUGCGAAGAGACUUUUUUCGAAAAGGGCAGAUAAACUAUACUGGGGGAAUCCAUUGGGUUGCUCGAAAAAACGUAUGUAUGAGUCGGAAGGACGGAGGCUUAAGUGUGAAGGAUUUGGCUACAAUGAAUGAUGCACUUUUAUUUAAAUGGUGGUGGCGUUUUCUCACUGAAAGAGGUUUACCUUGGACUAAGCUGAUCAGGAGCUUAUACUAUAACAGAAGACGACCGCUGACCGAAGGACGGUCCUUUAGACCGGCCUCACAAUGGUGGAAAAAUGUGGUGAAUUUGAAGGAAGUUUUCAAAAGUGGAUUGAGCUACGGGCUGGGGGAUGGAUUACUCAUUGAUUUUUGGGCUGACAGAUGGUGUGGCGACGCAUCCCUAAAGUCAUACUUCCAAGACAUCUUUUCCCAUGUGGAUCGCAAAGAAGUGAGGGUCUGUGAUUGCUUCGCUGCCUCAGGAUGGAGGUGGAGAAAGAUUCUAAGAGGAGCGAGGCGAAACACUUUGUAUAGUAAAAGGCAUGUUUUGGAGUUGAAGAACACCCUAUCUAACAUAAGGGUUGUAAAUCAACCUGAUGUCAUACAAUGGAGAUGGAAUUCAGGUGGUAAAUAUUCAGUCAAGUCAAUGUAUUCAUUCAUCAGGUCUGGAGGAGUCAAAGAUGUUGUGACGCCGGCUCUUUGGCGACUGAAAAUUUCGAUGAAAGUCAAAAUUUUUCUCUCGCUAGUAUUAAAAAAGAGACUCCCUACUGUGGAUAACCUAUUUAAAGGGGGUUGGGCAGGUCUCAAUGAGUGUGUCAUGUGUGGCAAUGAACUGGAAAUAGUUGACCACUUAUUGGUGGAGUGUGUAGUCAGCAAGUUCCUUUUUCUUUCCCUCCUAGAGGCGCCCUCCGUCUACCCAUCAUGUGAGGAUAUCAAGUUCGUUUGGGAAGAGUUGAUGAGGAGGCGGUCAAAGAUGGACACGUUGAAGUCUCAAAUUCUUGUGGCGGCUAUCUGGUGGACGAUUUGGUACGAAAGAAAUAAUUUUAUUUUUCGAAACCUGCCCAUGAAUGUUAUUUCUGCUGCUCAUCAUAUUAGAGCUCUAGUGAAGGAGUGGACUGAUUUUUGCAGAGUAGGGUGACGUUGGUUAUUGUUCUUUGUUGUUCUUUUUUUGUUAUUCUUUUAGUUUUUCUUUUAUUUCUUUCUCCUUCGUUUAGUCGCCUACAUGAGGCCCUAGCUGCCUCCCUCUAUGUAGCUAAGUUCAUUUACCUAAUGAAUGAAGCAGAUAUCGUGCUACCUUUCUCUCAAAAAAAAAAAAAAAAAAGCGUGUCGUGCUGUACUAACGUGAUGAAUGUUUUUCUAUACAACGGUUUCUAGAGUACGAUCAAUCUAGACCGGGCAAUGCCGCAUCAGAUCACAAACUGGUCAAAAAAAUAAAUAAAUAAAAUUCUUAAAUUUCUUUUUAAAAAAUUUAAAAAUAUUUGAAUUUUAUAUUUGAAAUCUUCUUCCCAGGCCAUUCUACACCUAUUUAUGGAAACCCAAAAUGCGCUUCUUCAAAAAUAAAAAAUAAUAAUAAUAAUAUUCGAUGCGACCGUUGCGACCAUUUCGAAUCCCUCAUUCAAAAUCGAAGCCCUUCUCCACCGCCCACCACCCGUUCGACGAAACUCCCCAGCGAACCUUCGCCCUCCUCCUCCUCCGCUCCGGCGACCCCUCCGCCGCCGCCGUCGCCGCCGCUCGCCAGGUCUCCGCCGCCUCCGCCGCUGCCGACUCGCCGAGGCGGCUCCACGCCCUCCUCGUCGCCUCCGGGCUCGCGUCCUCCUCCACCCUCGUCUCCAACGCCCUCAUCAACGCCUACGCCAAAUCCGGAUCCCUCCCCCUCGCCCUCGCCCUCCUCGCCGCCGCCCCGCGCCGCGACGUCGCCUCGUGGAACACCGCCCUCUCCGGGUUCACCAAUGGCGCCGACGCUUUAAGAUUCGCGCGGCGGAUGGCCCGCGCCGGGGUCCGAUUCGACGCCGUCACCUUCAUCACCGCCCUCACCUUCGCCGCCGAUAUCCGCGACACCGUGUUCGGGCUCCAGCUCCAUUCCCUUGCACUAAGAUCCGGAUUCGGAGCUGAUACGUUCGUCGGGAACGCCAUGAUCACGGCUUAUUCGAGAGGCGGCUUAUUAGAUGAUGCGCGUAGGGUGUUCGACGAAAUGCUGAUGAGGGAUUUGGUCUCGUGGAAUGCGUUGAUAUGCGGAUACAACCAAGAAGGGGACUCUGGGUUCGAGGCGAUUAGGGUUUUCCGUCGGUUGGUGAGAGAAAGCGAAUUGAGGCCCGAUCGGAUAUCGGUUGCGAGCGUAAUCCCUGCUUGUGGGCUCGAGGGUUUGAUCGGUUUUGGAUCCCAAAUUCACUGCCUUGCUGCUCAAUUGGGGCUCGAGGCCAAUGUUUCGGUGUCCAACGUUCUUAUGUCUAUGUACUACAAGUGUGGUGCUACAGAUCGCGCUCGAAGAGUUUUCGAGAACAUGGUUGAAAGGGAUGUGAUCUCGUGGACUACUAUGAUUUCUAUGGAUUCGGAGAACGCCAUUUCGUUGUUUACCAACAUGAGGCUAAACGGGGUUCGGCCUAACGAUGUCACUUUUGUUGCGUUGAUCUUUGCGGUGUCAACCGACUGGGCGCUAAAAGAAGGCCAAAUGAUUCACGGGAUCGCUUUUAAGACCGGCAUUUCCGCAGAAGUGAAUGUUUCGAAUAGCCUUAUCACAAUGUACGCAACGUUGAAGUGUACGGAGGAUUCGAGAAAAGUAUUCGAUGGAAUGCUCGAUAGGGAGGUUGUCACGUGGAACGCUUUGAUUUCGGGCUAUGCGCAGAACGAGCAAUGUGAAGAGGCUUUGGAUACUUUCUCUUCUUUGAUCCUUCACUUGAAACCGAAUCAGUAUACAUUCGGAAGCAUUCUCAGUGCGAUCACCGUCGCCCAGACCGUGUCCUUAACUUACGGUCGGAUGUGCCAUUGCUAUGUAAUAAAGCUAGGGCUGACCACCGACGAGUACGUCUCCGGUGCCCUAAUCGACAUGUACGCGAAACGCGGCAGCAUCGACGAGUCUCAAAAGGCAUUUGACGAGACAAUCAAUAGAAGCCUUAUCGGAUGGACGGCAAUAAUUUCGGCACAUGCGAAGCAUGGAAACUACAAUGAAGUGAUGAAUCUCUUUGAGGAAAUGAUCACCUCCGGCAUAAAUCCCGACGAAGUUGUAGUCCUCGCUGUUCUUACGGCUUGCGGCUGCAAAGGGAUGGUAGACAUGGGGCGAAAGAUCUUUGACUCGAUGAUAAUCAAGCGAAAAGUCGAGCCUUGGCCCGAGCAUUAUGCUUGCAUGGUGGACAUGUUGGGGAGAGCAGGGAGAUUACUCGAAGCGGAGGAACUCAUAAAGCAAAUGCCGGAAGGACCGAAGGUCUCGGCAUUGCAAAGCUUGUUAGGGGCUUGUAGAGUUCAUGGCAAUGUUGAGAUAGCGCGAAGGGUCGCAGAGCUUUUGAUGGGCACGGAGCCGUCAGAAUCGGGGGCCUACGUCCUGAUGUCGAAUAUUUACGCCGAGAAGGGGGAAUGGGAGAAUGUGGCGAAGAUACGAAAGGGAAUGCGAGAAAGGGGAGUGAAGAAGGAAGUAGGGUUCAGCUGGGUGGAUGCCGGCGGUACCAGCGAUUCACUGCAACUGUAUAAGUUUUCGUCGGACGACAUGACCCAUCCGAUGGCGGAAGAGAUUUAUAGAGUUGCAGAUAGUUUAGGGUUUGAGAUGAAACUUUUGGAAAGUGAUGUGGAAAUGCAAGUGAACUCCUUAUUUGGUCGAUGAGUUAAGUUGAUUCUUUGGACUUUUUAACAAUCUUAUGAUCAUGAUCAUAAUCAUGAUCAUUUUUCGAGUACUAUAGCAUCACCAUCUAACCAUGAGAACUCCAACACAGGGACUUACAAAGGUUGAGUAACCUGUCAAAGGUUAGAAAUGUAGUUAGUAUAUCAUACAGCAGCAAUUUAUUGACAGUAAAAUUAUGUACUGAUCAGUUGCAGCAUCAAAAUUAUUUUCUAUACAUAAUGGAGUAGUUUAUUCUCAGAUUAUUGUUUCAAUCAUACACUUUGCACCAGAAGAUUGUCACACGAAUGAGUUUCAGUUUCAAUUGAAGUAUCUAUGACCGACUAAUGGAAGUGCUGGAAGAUCAUCAAAGCAGAAGUGGAAUCCACCAGCAAUAAUGGUUGCUUUGAUAUUUAUUCAGUGCCAAUUUUCUCCUGGGAAGGUGGUCUUCUUUUGCUUCUAUAUAUAUAUAUAUAUAUAUAUAUAUGAAACAUGUAGCAUUUGCAAUUUUGAGUGAACCCUUCGUCGCAAUAAAAUGUAGAACCAUUGUUGCACUUUUCGCUAGUUUCUUCUUCCUUUUCUAAUCCAAUUCUUAAACCUAAGGGUUGUUUGUUUUGAUAUCAUUAUAAAUGUUAUAAUGCAGUGUAAUUGAAGAUGUAUGCAGCUGGAGAUUCAGCAGAUAUACUUGCAUCUGAUCUAUGUAGUUGUAAGAAAUUUAAAGUGAUGCAAGAAGAAUCUUUAUGUUUGAUUAAUCAUAGUUAAAAGCUGCAUUUGCAUACUUUGUAUACUUUGUUAUCUUAUACGCGGUAUGGUGAUAUUUUUCGUAAAAUACUAAGAUUUUUUUUUUUUGUCUGAUUUAAGAUGUGAGAGGCUAAAUAAGUUCACCCCUUGUUCAAAAUUACUUUCUCCACAUUCUACAUUUGAUUUGGAUAUAGUCUGAAGUUUGGACCCAGCUGCAGCCCAAAUAGAACUAACUGCACAGAUAAAACAACAACAAACCAAAUAAAAUUUCUAGAUUUGCAUGCAGUCGCACCUGCAGCGCAACUCAUAAUGCAAGCAAACAAAUAGCUCCCAAACUUUAAGCCUAAAGAGAAAAUAGCAGAAAACGAAAAAAAAAAAAAAACUGCUACAGCUAUCUAAUUUGUCUAGACAGUGGAAAUUAGAGGUUGCGCGGCACAAAAGAAGAGUAGCAUGCAAUGGGAAAAUCCACUUUAGCACUUCGUAAUGUUUCAAUUGAAUGCUCUUUACAUCACAAUUUAUAGGAAAUAUUAAGCAACUGGAUUUCAAACUUGGGACACAUCUGGUUUCAACCAUCAAGCCCUUAAUUAACUGCACUACAUAUCGUCGGUACAAUAUAUUAUUUUAUGAAUGCACUGUGUCUACCGUAUGUACUGAAUAUUUGUGAACAAUCAGAUUCAGAGCACAUAUUCGGUGCUUCCAUCGACUUCAUCUGUUCUUAAAGUUCACCUUAUCUUACGAAUAUUUCACACUAAUCAGCCCCUACUCGGCACGUUUCUAGUGAAGGAUCUGUGCAAGUGCACCUCAGCGUUCUUACAAGAAGUCGAAGCGCACCCCCUUUUCUCCCUUUUUUUUUUUUGACUUUGCAAUCUCAUGCAUUCGUUCUCCACUGUAUUUCAGAGAACAAGUUCAUCUAGUGAAUUUAGUGCAGCUUUUGCUUCAGCAGCAGCAGCAGCCGCAGCCGCCUCAAACAUUUGUCAAAAAGAUCUACUAGUCCAGCUACAUCCAGAAGCAAAAAUACGAUUCAAACCCAAAAGCAAAACUAAGUUCCAAUUUAAUACUUCUGACUCCGACACAGAAAUAAGCAGACAUCAAUAUAGCAAUUCCAGAAUAGCACUAUUGAGACGACACUUUAUCAAGCAACACUGUUUGGUACGACAGAAGCUAUGAAGAUGGUAGGGAACAUUACAUAAAAUAAACCAAUCAAAAACAAGUUCAUGGUUUAAACUGAAUCAAGCAGUUUGUUCUGAGUUUAGGAAUCACAUGGAAAACAUUUGAAAAAAAAAAAGACAAAAACACUAAGCGGCCGAUAACAAGGCUAAAUCCAUUCAUCUACUCAGAUUGGACUUGAAAAUCUGGGCCCUCAUUUUAACUGUGAGUGAUUGUUUCUUAUAAUUAAGAAGAACAAGUAUACUACGACCACUUGUUUAUCAUAAAACUAAGAAAGCUUCUCAGAAAAGUCAUAACCAUCACUUGGAUAUCACAACCGUAGUUCUAUAAAUAAGUUCCUAAAAUGGCCUAAUACCAACUUACUCGAAGUGCUCAUUUGUACUUCAGCAAAAACACCAGCAAAUUUUAAGAUAGUAUAGAGUUUAAAGCAGAAUCGAUGAAAAGCAAUCUUCUCCGAAUUGUGCAGCAUAAUUUGCUCAAUUUUAAGAAAAUAGUAUGUGAUCCAUAACCAAACUGAAUUAUAAAUACUAACUAGGAAAAUACUUCCGAAAUUGUCCACUACAAAACUUGUCUUGUGAAUGAGCAGUGUUCAACGAUUCGCCUUCGCAACACGCUCAAUCUCAUCCUUCUUCUUAAUAGCAUAGCUGGAAAUUAAAAAAAAAAAAAGAAUAAACAGUGAAUGAUUUCCAUGUCAGCAAAUACCUAAGUCGGCAGGAAGAAUAGAAAAAGCCAAGCAGCAUGAGAUGACUAUAUCACAUCAAAUCACAUUUAACAAAAUUAUUGGUUGUAAUGAAGGCGAAAUGUAUAGGGUGAACUCAGUGUUUUUAUGACGCGACUAAAAUGUUUCAAGCGUAAGAUCGUACGUAGUAGAUUAAAAAAAGAGGUAAAUAAAGGUAUCAAGAGGUCAAAGUAAUAACAUGAAUCCAUGAAAAGACCAACUUAGAUUUACUGUUGUGCAUCAUAUAAGAGUGAUACCCAAGGGACUAGAAGUAGCUAAUAGUCUGCAUUUCACGCUUCUUUGCUCAAUUAUAUCAACAAAUCAAAACUAGCAGCUAGGUAAAUAAUAAUCACAAGGGACCCAGGUCAGUAAACAAAUGUACUCAGUACUAUCAGAGGCGGUCAAGGCACCAUUUCUGCGAAACAAUUUGUUACAUGGGCAUAUCGUUUUAUGUAAAAACAAAAAUUGAAAAAUACAAAGUAAAGCUAUUAAUCCACAUCACUAGGAAUUAGAACAUUAGACUGGAGAAUAAAGAGCUCCAUAUUUUCCUCCAUAAAGGCAUUCUUAUUUAGAAAGGCGCCGCCAUUCAUAUUUAGCUCAAAAUAGUAUAAAAACUAACAAAGUAAAGAGCUAUUGAAACAAAAGGGAACAAAAAUAGAAACCACAAGAGGGGAAAGUGAAGAGCACAUAUACCUAUUUGAAGAGCCCUUGGCUGCAUUGAUUAGCUCAUCAGCAAGGCACUCUGCAAUGGUCUUGAUGUUUCUGAAAGCACUCUCUCUGGCACCUGUCGUCAGAAGGUAUAUAGCCUGGUUGACCCGUCGGAGGGGAGAAAUAUCAACGGCCUGCCGUCUAACAACACCGGCAGAUCCAAUACGAGUGGCAUCUUCCCUCGGCCCACUACAGAUGGAGUAAAAUACAAUAAGCAGUAGAAACAGUAUACUGCACAAUGUCUGGCAUUCAGAUUGCUACAGAUGGAGUAAAAUACAAUAAGCAGUAGAAACAGCAUACUGAACAGUGUCUAGCGUACAAAUUGGCAAGAGAAAACUUACUGAAAACAAAUAACUCAAUAAGCUUGCAUAACAUAGUAGUUACCUAGUAACAUGACCUACAUGAUACAUGAAUGAGCUUCAAGAGAUGACAAAUAAAACUGUUAUUGUUAUUAAAAAAGAAGACCGAAAAUUACCAAAUCUACGGCCUUCAUUCUUCAAUAGUAUAGGGAAUAUGUGGUCAUGUUUAUUUGAUCAGUGCUAAGUCUGAGGCAUUUGAAAAGCUCAGUAAAAUAUAAGAAAGAAGUUUUGGACUACAACGUUGAGGCCAAUGACUCAAUAUUUUUAAUGCUUUCAUUUUGAUAUUGAAAAAGAUAGACAUGGAGUACUUGAAAGUUCCAAUAGCAAUAAUUUCAACCCUAAAAAUGCUGCUCUCCAGAGCAAACUGCAAUAUUCCGCAACAUCACUAAUAAAAUAUUUUUCAUUCAAAUUCCGUCUCUGGGUUUCAAUCAAAUCUGAACCAAACGUUUACAAAGUGCAUGUUUCAAAUUGGUUUGCUAUUCUGGAUAUAGUCAAAUAAUUCACCUGUUAAUGAUCGCAUCCACAAUUAUUUGGAUAGGGUUCGCGUCAGUCAACAGAUGAAUGAUCUCCAUGGCAUGUUUGACGAUGCGAACAGCCAUUAGUUUCUUCCCAUUAUUGCGGCCGUGCAUCAUCAGAGAAUUGGUCAGCCUCUCGAUGAUAGGGCAUUGGGCCUUGCGGAACCUCUUCACCGAAUAUCUUCCGGCUGUGUGAGGAAGAUAGGUAGCAUGCUUGGUCGAAGUCACAGCAAUGUAAUCAGCAAGCGAAAUGUCGGUCACCUGCAAAUAUAUUAUAUAUUUAAUGCGUAAAACAAUGUCAAAGCAAGUUCCAAGUACAAAUAGGAUGGUAGAGAGCUAUUAAAACAAAAAAAAUAAACCACAGAAAAUCUAAAUAGAUUCUAAUACUUGCAGCAUCAGAAUCUACAAGAGAAGAGAAACAAUGUUAAUGGAAAUUAGAAAAGAAAGCCAAACAAACAGAUAGCUCAUAAAUGAUUCUGAGAAGCUCAAAAAAGUUAACCACCAUACACCAUUCAUUUAAUCAUCAAUUUAACAUUCAUUAACAUAACCAAAUACUCAAUUAACAAAUCUUCUUACAUCGAAGUCCUCUUAAGGCUCUAACAACCUAGCAAAUUGGCUUUCCUUGCAUAAAAAGGAGUCAAUAUAUCAAGGAUAAAGCAAAUAAAAAAAAAAAGAAAACAAAAAGAAGGUAAAAUGUAUAAAACUUGCCUCAACUAUCACCCCUUUCGAUCUGACAACCUGACCUUUAAGAAUUUUGAUUUUACUACCAAACCUUUUAAUUUAUUUGAUUCGAGCCAGUUAAUGACCAUUUAACUUCAAAUUUUGAACUUGCAUUUAUCUUCACGAGUUUAGUUUACCUAUUUUAGAAAUUCAGGUAAAUAUAAAUUAAUUAAAGUAAGCAAUUAACUUAAAUUUUAUAUCCGAAGAGCUAUCAAAUUACUUAAAUCAAAUAAAUUAAAAGGUUGGGUACUACAAUCAAAUUUUUAAAAGUUCGGGAAGUCGAAUCAAAAUGGUCUAUAGUUCAAGCAAAUUUUAUACAUUUUUACCUAAAAAGAAUAUAUAGGGAUAAUUCAUUAUUUUCUAAUUUGUUCUUUAACAGCCAAUGAAAUGAUCUACCAUUCAUACUUCAUCCUUUUACAUAAGAUAAGGUCCCAAAUAAACCCUACAAAUCGCCUAAACCCUAACAUCAACAAUCUAAUGGCACAUCUCCUAAUAUAGUGAAUCUAUCAAAAACACAAGCAAAACCCAAAUAAUGAAGCAGAACGCUCCAAAAUCAAGUUAAUCUCAACAAAUCUAGAAAAAACCUAGACCAAACUACACGGAUCCCAAAGAUCGUACCCACAAUAUAGAGACCCGGAACCCUAGAAUCUAGAGAGAUCGGAAAAGAGAGAGGAGAGUUAGGGUUGGGAGGAGAGAUCGAAUCGUACGUUGACUUCGUCGAAGGUCCAGCGAUUGAAGAGCUUCACCUCCUGCUCGGUCACCAUUGCCAUUGCCGCCGCCGCCGCGAGAGCGAGAUGAUGAGCUCGCGAGAGGAGGGAGGGAGGAGGAGGAGGAGGAGGCGGCGGCGAAGGCGAAAGCGAGCGAAGAUGAGCCCAAAACCCUAGUUUGCUCGACUUAUAUAUGGGCAUCGUAUGUGUUAGCUUUUUUUUUUUUUUUUUUUUUUUUUUUUUUUUUUUUUUUUUUUUUUUUUUUUUUUUUUGGCGUCUGUGUUUACGAGUGAGCGUUAUUCAGUUCGGACCGAAGUGGCGAACCGAAUCAAUUGAAAUAAAACCGGCAUUUUACGGAAAAACUUCAAAUAUCACCCCGUACUUUCACUCUUUCUGAUUUUAGUAUCAUAUAAUUUAAAGUGUAUCAAUUUAGUGUUCCUGUAGUUUCUUUUUAUUUUUUUAUUAUCAAUUCUACUAAUUUUUUUCGUUAAAUUAGUAACAACAAAGUUAAAAGUUAAAACUAAAGGGUACUAAAGUGAAAUUUUGAUAAAUCUAGGUGGGGUAUCUGAAGUUUUUUAUAAAUAAUUUAAUGAAGGGCAUGUUUAGUUGCCCCGUAAGUGAAACAAUAAAAGUGGUAUUUUGACGAAGUGGGAUUAUUUCGAUUGUUUGGAUUAUAAAAGUAAAUAUAUAAGUGACUUUUGAAAAGUAAAUCCAUAAAGUGAAUUAUAACUAAAAUUCACUUUUUUUAAUUACUUCGGCAAAAAAAAUUCUGAAGUAGCUGAAAGUGGGCUACCCACUCCACGUGACUUGCAAACCACAUCCAAAAACCUUCUUCCUUACCAUAUACAAAAAAUAAAAAAAUAAAAAAUAAAAAAACAAUCACCGUAUCUUAACAAAAAAAAACCAACACAUUUAAAAAAACAAAAACAAAGAAAGAGACGUGCCGUAUUCCAUACCAUCUACAAAAAAAAAAAGAAAAAAAAAACUACGCAUUUAAAAAAAUCAUUUUAUUCUUUUAUUUUCUUAUAUAAAACUAAACAAUAGAAGUCAUAAAAACUGUAUUUUUUUCUUUCACUUUUUUGAAACCAAAUACUUGAACUCAAAAGUGACUUUUAUAAAAGUCACUUUUGGAAAAGUGAUUUUUUUUCACUUCGAUUACUUACGGACAACCAAACAUGCCCGAAAUAUUAAAAAGCUGACGAAAAGAUAAAAAUAAAACCACAUGACACUAACUUGAUACAUUUCAAACCAUAGGGUACUAAAGUGAGAAAGUGCGAAACCACAGGGGUGGUAUUUGAAGUUUACCCUUUUUUACAUUUAGCACCCACAAAAAAAAAAAUUCUCCAAAUAGUCCUACAAAAUUUAUAUUUACAAGAUUGAUCCUAUCCCUAUCACGCGAGAGUGGAUAACAGCGAAUGGUAAGUUGAACACGAUAAACCAUAUACCGUAUUUGGACACGGUAUGUGGUUCACCGUAUUUCAUUAUUUUUCUAUCACGAUAUUACGUAGCACCCACAAAAAAAAAUUCUCCAAAUAGUCCUACAAAAUUUAUAUUUACAAGAUUGAUCCUAUCCCUAUCACGCGAGAGUGGAUAACAGCGAAUGGUAAGUUGAACACGAUAAACCAUAUACCGUAUUUGGACACGGUAUGUGGUUCACCGUAUUUCAUUAUUUUUCUAUCACGAUAUUACGUAAUAUUUGAGAUUUACGAUUCAGGAAGGACACAAUGAACUAUUUACCAUAUUCAAACACGUUGAAUUAUUCACCGUGUUCGUACCGUGGUGCUUGCAUAGGUGGGAUAGGGUUAAUCUUAAGGCUUCGUUUGGUUUGGGUAUAAGCAAGAACUAAUUAUACUGGGAAUAGGUACAAGUAUGGAUUUUUGUAGGAACAAACGUAUUUUUUUGUUUGAAUAAAAAUGUGAGUAUAAGCUGGAACUAGAAAAAUUGUGUUUAAAUGAAAAUAUGAGUAUAAGCUGGAAUAGUUGGUAGUUAUAAAUAGAAAAUAAUAAUAUUACCUCUAUAAUUGAAUUUAAAUUAUAAACUUAGAAUUUUAAAUUAAAAAUUUUAACUUUUAAAUUUUAUAUUUUGAAAUUAAAUUUUUAAUUUUUAAUUUUCAAAAUUUUAAUUUUAAAUAUCAAAAUUUAAAUUUAAGACCAAAUUUAAAUUUGAAAGAUAUAAAAUAUCAAAUUUAAAAUUUAAACUUUAUAAAAUUUAGGCCUUUUUGCAUAAAAAAUCCACUAAUUUUGGGCUUUUGCAAAAUCGGACCACUUUUUUCGUUUUUGCAGAUUCGGUCCGCUUUUUCAGCAAACUGACCAAAAUACCCUUAUUACUUUUUCUCUUUCCUCUUUCUCUCUUCUCUUCGUUCUCUUGUUCUUUUUUUUUUUUCCGCCGCGGACCCGUCGGGCGCGUUCUUUUUUUUUUUUUUUUCUCUCGUUCUUUUUCUUUUUCUUCUUCUUCUUCCUCCUGCUGGAGCACUUUUUUUUUCCCCUCUUCUUCUUCUUCUUCUUCUUCUUCAUGUAAGAGCACAGGGCGCGCCACGGCGAUUUCCGGCCUCGCAAAGCGGCAUCCACCCAGCAGCGUUCUGCAGGGAGGGGUCGGCACCGGCGACCGCGAGCACCGCGGCGAGGGUGGGGGCGCGCGGGAGGCGGGCGGCGAGGUGGAACGGGGUGUCGCAGCCGAGGACGUCGCCCCGGUCGAGGGCGGCUGUCACGCGCGCUGCCCGGCGCUCCGCUCGGGCGGCGUCGGCCGCCGUCGCGAUCUCCGACGGCUGCUUCUUCUUUUUCGUAAUGGUGUAAUGGUGCACGCGGGCCGGUGCACGCAGCGGCGGCGGACGGGCAUGCGGGUGCACUGCGGCUGCUUCUUCUUCGUCGUAAUGGUGUAAUGGUGUAAUUACACCAUUAAUGGUUACACACACCAUUAAUGGUGAAAUUACACCAUUAAUGGUGUAAUGGUGUAAUUUCACCAUUAAUGGUGCACGCGGCCCACGGAGCGGAGCCGCAGGUGGAGCUCCGUUGGGCGCAGCCGACCGAGGGCCUCCUCGAAGGGGGAGCAGGACACCCGCGGAGAGGUUGAGGGAGGAGAUGUCGAGGGACGCGACGGCGCGCUGGGACCCGGGCCGCNCGCCCGGCGCUCCGCUCGGGCGGCGUCGGCCGCCGUCGCGAUCUCCGACGGCUGCUUCUUCUUUUUCGUAAUGGUGUAAUGGUGCACGCGGGCCGGUGCACGCAGCGGCGGCGGACGGGCAUGCGGGUGCACUGCGGCUGCUUCUUCUUCGUCGUAAUGGUGUAAUGGUGCACCAUUACACCAUUAAUGGUGUAAUGGUGUAAUUACACCAUUAAUGGUUACACACACCAUUAAUGGUGAAAUUACACCAUUAAUGGUGUAAUGGUGUAAUUUCACCAUUAAUGGUGCACGCGGCCCACGGAGCGGAGCCGCAGGUGGAGCUCCGUUGGGCGCAGCCGACCGAGGGCCUCCUCGAAGGGGGAGCAGGACACCCGCGGAGAGGUUGAGGGAGGAGAUGUCGAGGGACGCGACGGCGCGCUGGGACCCGGGCCGCGCGGGGGAGCAGGACACCCCGCGCCACGACACGCAGGGCUCAGACGAGCUGGCGUUGGACCACGAGGCGAGUGCGCCCGACGGGUCCGCGAGCGCCGACCUCACCGCCAGAAGCGCCGCCACCUCCGCCGCCGCCGGCGACCCCUCCUCCGCCGCGCCGCCGCCGAGGACGACGACGAAGAAGAAGAAGAUAUAAAUGAAAUAUAUUUAUUGACUUAAUAAGUUUGAUGCAUGUGCUAUUGGAUUCGUUCAUAUUGGCGUAUACUUACAAGUUAUGAGGUAUGAAGAAUGCUGAUGUUUUCAUGUUUAAAUUACCUAUUGCAUACUUUUUUUUUCUCUGUUUAUCACGAAAACUUAAUAUUCUUUGUCCUACAUAUCUAUUUGGAAAAGGACAAUGUAGGUAUAUGGAAAUCUAUAACUGGUGUGGUGAUUAAUAACAGUGGCUGGAUAUCUCUAAUAUGUCCUAGAAUAUUGGUCGGACUACCUGACCAGAAGAAAUUUUUUAACAAAAUCUAUAAUUGCCAGCAAAAGUUGUUUCUUUUCUUUUAGCUGGGUCCGUCCUUAAACAACUAAUUUUAACUUUUCAGAGAGAUGAUCCAGCACAGACCAUAUAAUCAAAAGGUUGACGUGUACAGCUUCGGCAUUGUGCUGUGGGAGCUCAUCACCGGGAUGCUCCCAUUUGCAAACAUGACAGCUGUCCAGGCUGCAUUNUAUCAGAAUUAGCCCUUCAUUUCAGAAAGAAAUAGAAAAAUUAAUUGUCGAUGGUGCGGUUGCCGCCUUGGGCUCCGCCAGCUUCCCCUCAUGCACGCUGACUUCGCUGCCCGCUCCGCGCGGCAGCGCCGGCGCCACGCCGCGCUGCUGGCGCGCUUUGAGGAGGCCCUCGGGCGGCUGCGCCCGGCGGAGCUCCACCCGCGGCUCCGCUCCGCGGGCCGCGUGCACCGUUAAUGGUGUAAUUGCACCGUUACACCAUUAAUGGUGUAAUGGUGUAAUUUCAUCAUUAAUGGUGUAAUGGUACACCAUUAUAUUACACCAUUAAUGGUGUAAUGGUGCACCAUUACACCAUUACGACGAAGAAGAAGCAGCCGCAGGUGCCCGCGUGCCCGCCCGCCGCCGCUGCGUGCACCGGCCCGCUUGCACUAUUACACCAUUACGAAGAAGAAGAAGCAGCCGUCGUAGAUCGCGACGGCGGCCGACGCCGCCCGAGCAGAGCGCCGGGCGGCGCGCGUGACCCCCGCUCUCGACCGGCGCGACGUCCCCGGCUGCGACACCCCGCUCCACCUCGCUGCCCGCCUCCCGCUCGCCCCGACUCUCGCCGCAGCGCUCGCGGUCGCCGGUGCCGACCCCUCCCUGCAGAACGCUGCUGGGUGGAUGCCGCUUUGCGAGGCCGGAAGUCGCCGUGGUGCGCCCUGUGCUCUUACAUGAAGAAGAAGAAGAAGAAGAAGAAGAAGAGGGAAAAAAAAAAGGUGCUCUAGCAGGAGGAAGAAGAAGAAGAAAAAGAAAAAGAAGGAGAGGAAAAAAACCUGCAGGAAGAAGAAGAAGAAGAAGCGCCCGCCUAGCGGUGCUACGGCCGUCGCUUUUUUUUUCGGCGAAAAAAAAAAAAAGAACGAGAGAACGAAGAGGAGAGAGAAAGAGGAAAGAGAAAAAGUAAUAAGAAUAUUUUGGUCAGUUUGCUGAAAAAGCGGACCGAAUCUGCAAAACGAAAAAGGUGGCCCGAUUUUACAAAAGCCCAAAAUAAGUGAAUUUUUUAUGCAAAAAAGCCUAAAAUUUAUAAUUUAAAAUUAUAAAUUAUAAAUUUUAGAAAUUUAAAUUUAAAAUAAAAAUCUCGUACUGGGGGGUGGAAACUGGAAACAACUUGUUCCCACCCCCUCCAAUCUUCUUUCGGUACAAGAGGGGGGAUAAUCCUCUUAUCCCUCUCUUGUACCUGAUCCAAACGGAUACUAAAAGUAUAAAUUUUUUAAAAUUAUUUGUGAAAGAAAUAUUUUGAGAUGGCUUAAAUGUAAAAAAAAAAUCCAAAUGAAACGGUUCAUCUCAAUUUUUUUUUUUUUUUUUUUUGUCAAAAACGAAAACAAUCCCGAAGCGGAAGUGCUCCGUUGCGUAACGGAGAAGUUUUUUUUUUCAAAAACGAAAACAAUCCCGAAGCGGAAGUAUUCCGUUGCGUAACGGAGAAGUUUUUUUUUUUUCAAAAACGAAAACAAUCCCGAAGCGGAAGUGUUCCGUUGCGUAACGGAGAAGUUUUUUUUUUUUUUUCAAAAACGAAAACAAUCCCGAAUAGGAAGUGUUCCGUUGCGUAACGGAGAAGGGUGAAAGGGCACUUUGGGUGGGCCCCACCACCGCGUUUGGGCCAAUCAGAGCUCGCUUUGCGUUUCCGCAACUUCUCGGCCCCGCGAUCCCGCGCACAGCGGCAUAUUCGCUCCCCUCCACCUCCACACCCCCCCUUGAAGAAAUUAUUGUCUACACCCGGUGUAUGCCUACACCUUAUGCACCGUACAAACAUCCUACAAUCAUGGUCACCUAAAAAAAAAUGUUAAUUUCAUAUAGAUCCCUACAAAUAUAGUGAGUUGCAAAAAUAUUUGUAUAAAGUUGGACUUUUAUAUGUUGUCCCUACAAAAUUCAUAAUGUUUUCAAAUAUAUCUCUGCUGUUAAAAUUCGUUAGAAAAUUUUAGUUAAUCAUAGAUUAAAUACUUAAUACUGCUAAGUUUAUGAGAUAACUUAAUAUUUUUACCUCUCUUAUAUUAUAAUAUUGUGACUUUUGAAGAGAUAUCUUUGUGAUGGCAUAAUUGAUAUUUCCCUUAAAAUAUAAAUAGUUUUAGAACGGUAACAAAUCAGAAGAACAUAUUUGAAAAUAUUAAAACUUUGUAGGGACAAUAUAUUACAGUUGAACUUUGUAAGAAUAUAUUUGUAAUUCACUAUAUUUGCAUGGACCUGUAUACAUUUAACUCUAAAAAAUAUAUAUUAAAAAAAUGGCUAAAAUGCAGAAUUUUUUUUCAUAAAUAAUUGAUUUUGUAUUUUAUCCUUUAUUAGUCUUUGAAAAAAAAUCUGUAUUAUUUAUUCCAACACUCUUAGCAUUCUGUCAUUAUUUAGUUACUAUUUUGUGCAUAAAUUGUAUAACAUAGUUAAGCAACUUGUUGAGAUAAAUAUUACACUCUUGGGAAUGGUGAAAAUAUAUAAUUUUUUUUUCAAAAUAAGUAACCUUGUGCAAAAAAUAUUUAAUUAUUUAGUAAUUAAUUUUUUAACAUUUACGGAUAAAACGAAUACAUUAGUAGUUACUUGUUGGAUCAUAUAAUAUAGGCACAAACAGUGAUGAAAAUAGUUACCGUGCAAGUUUAAGUAUUAUAAUUUUAGCUGCCGUUUGGUUUGGGAUUAAGAAAAAACUAGUUAUUCCAGAAAUAGGGUUAAAUUCAGAAUUAAGGUGGGGUUAGAGUAUUUUUGUGUUUGGUUGGGGGUUGGAGUUAGUUCAGUAAUAAUGAAAAAUAGUAUUUGGUUGGAGUAUGUGGGAUAAGAAGGAUAGUGGGUUAUUAUGAAUAGAAAAUAGUGUUUGGUUGGAGUUUGGUGGGAUUAGAUGGGGUUAGCUAAUUCGGGAUAGUCCAUUUCAGGUGGGGUUAACUCCACCCAUUUUUGGAGGUAUUUGGAGAUAAUAUAGGGAUUAAGGGGCCAUCCCUUAACCCCUAACCAAAUAAAGGCUUAAAGUUUAGGAGGACAAAAUAAAAAUUGUUAAAAGAUAGAAGAUCUACCAAAUACAUAAAUGCUAGGUUUGUCGAAUUCUCGCUAACUUCUCGUGCCUCUUCCCGUUUCCGCCGGUUCUCUCUCCGACUUCGCGAUAUCCGUUCCCAUUUCUACCAGCUGCCCUUUCUCUUUUCCGAUCUCUCCAUCUCCUCGCGUUUCUCGCUACAGUUGCAAUCUUCGUUGAUGAACGUGGCGCGAUUUUUACCGGUGGGUAGAUCUAAUGAGAGCUCAUAAUUAUACCUUAUGGGGUGAGUUGUCGACUCUUUUAGCGCCACGGCUACUGUUUUUAGAAAUAUAUAAGCAAUUGCCCCUUUUAAUAAAAUUAAAAAACUGAUGACAUUGACGACAUUGUGGUGUAUGAGAUUCAUCCAUACACCUGGUGUAGGAAAUAGUUUCUUUUCUCCUCUCUCUCUCUUCUCCCUCCUUUAUAUCCCCCUCCUCUCUCUCUCUCUCUCUCUCUCUCUCCCCAAAUGGAAACCCUAAGGAGCCGGGUGGAGUCGUGGAUCAAGGACCAGGCGGAGCGGAUGGGCGCCACAUGGCCGCCGCCGCCGCUGCUCCCGCGGUGGCGGUGGCCUCGGCCGCCGCCGUGGCGGUGGGGCGGAGGCGACGAAGGCGGCGGCGGCGGCGGCGGAAAGGGGCGGAGGGAGGCGGAGCGGCGGAUCCGGGAGGAGUACGAGCGGCGGCGGGGGCAGCUCCGGGAGCUCUGCGGCGCCGUGAAGGUCGACUCCGUCGCCGAUCUGCAGGAGGUGCUCUGCUCCAUGGUGCUCUCCGAAUGCGUCUACAAGGUCGAAAACGAUACCUUGCCCUAGAUCCUGAGAUUUAGGUUAUUUUAUUGGCUAAUUUACACUUUUUGGUCUCUGGUCCUCAAACUUUAACUUUAAUUUGUUGUAAUUGCUAGCUCGAACUUCCUGAAUUGUUACAAUCAAGUUCAAGAACUCAAUUUAGUAAAUGGGCUAAAUAUUAAUGCGUCGCUAAUGUGAAAGUUGUGUAGCAGGGUUGUUAUUGAUGACGCGACAAUAAUUAAAAUGACACAUUAUUUUUACAUCAGUAUUUAGCUAACUAAAUUCGGUUGUGAGACUUGGAUUGCGACAAUUCAGAAAGUUUGAGUCCUAAAUUGCAAUAAAUUAAGUUCGAGGACCAAAGUGUUUCGCACCUCAUAGUUUGAGGGCCAAAAGUGUAAUUUAGCCUUUUUUUGUUUAAUUUGGUUCAAAUGUAUUGAUUAAUCCUCAGUGAUUGGCCAUUUUGAAAUAAACACCUCAAUUGUUCUUCUUUUGAUUGCCACACCCUUAACUUCUAAUUUGUGUUGCUUGAGUUUUCUAGUACGUUAAGUAUUUUAUAAAAUUUAAUAGCUCUAUUAGUUAUUAAUGACUAAUUGUUCUAGUUUUAUUUGCUAAAAAGUGAUUAAGUGAUGAAAUCGAUGAAUUUGAUAAAGUUUGCAAUUUAUUUGACCAAAAUCAUUCAUGUUAAAGGAAAUUAUAAGUUAAAGAAGUGUCAACACAAAAAGAAAAGAAAGCUAGAAUUAAGGGGGUCAUUUGGAAAGGCCUAUAGUUGGGGGGUCUCCAUACAUUUUAACAUGUAUAUAUUUUUUGGGGGUGAAAAUGAAUGGACACCCCUCAACUAUAGGCCAAAAUGAAAUGGGCCCGUUAACUAUAUUCUCACCCCUCAACUUUUGAUUGUUUUGAUUGUUUCGAUUUGAAUUAAUCUAGCUUGUUAAGUUGAAAAUUUUGUUAAAUUUAACAGCUUUAUUAGCUAUUAACCAUUAGUUAUUCUAGUUUUUAUUCACUGAACAAUGAUCAAAACUAUUAGAUUUGAUGAAAGAACUAAUGAAUUUAAUAAAAUCUCAAUUUAAUUCACUAAAUCACUCAAUUUAGAAAAUAUUAAAAGUUAAGAAGGUGAAGGUGGAAAAAAAAACUUGAGGAGGCCGUUUCAGAAUGGGUUAUAGUUGAGUUAGGCUCUAUUUGGGAAUGCGGGGAGAUUGAGUUACAUGUGGUAAAAAGUAUGAUGAACAAACAUCUUGUUUGUUUUCAUAUAUAAUAUCACGUUCCGCAUAUCGUAAUGAAUUGAUUAUGAUAUAUUUUCUACGGUCAUGCCGUAAAACGGAGAAGCAAAUCUCUAUAUGCUUUCUUCCCAACGUUGUUUUGCCUACUAGUUUUAGAUGGGCCUCAGUACCAAAUGGGUCCUUGGUCUCCAUACAUUUUUACCUUUGUUUUAGUUGAAAAUGUAUGGAGAACUCUCAAUUAUUUGCCAUUCUGCAAUAGGCCCCUAAACUAUCCCCCUCAACUUCUUAGUCCUUCAAUAUAAGUCAGUUUUAUUAAUUAACAGUGAUUCUAUUAAGUUUGUCUAUUCCAAGCACUCUUUCGGCUUUUGGAAUAACAUUUAACAAUUGAUAGCUAACCGAGCUGGUAAUUCAACAAAAUUUCCAUUCAAUUUAGGAAAAUAGCGUAAACAACAAAUUACAAAAAGCCCCUACGGCAAUUUAGCUUGUGUAUCAGUCAUCCACUAUAUAAAAAAUUGUUGCAAUGUCAAUUCUGCAUUUUAUUCUCUUGUCAAGUAGGCCCAAAAAUUUUGGGAUAAUUGCUGAAUUCAGAUGCAUAAUGUUGUUGAACUGUGUUAGCAGACUGUAUAAAAUAGAUAAACUAUCCAGUUAACUUUCAAUUCUAAUGGCUUUAGUAGAGGAGAUAUCGUAGAUAGAUCAGACAUACUAUCCCAACUCAUUUUGGUGAAGUUUUGGAUCUGAAUUUAAUACUUCUCCAACAUCUUUGGGUCAAUUUGAAACAAAAGUAAACUAUAGGUUGACAUUGUGCCAUUUUAUUUUAUUGUAAUAAUAUUUUAUUUUACUGUAAUUUAUUAUUGUUUUCUUGUGCACUAGAGUAAUUGAUACAUGGGAUCAAAUGUAGGAGUUCUUUUUUUAUUAAUUUUUAUGCUUCUAGUUUGUCCUUUUCCUUUUCUCUUUAUAGAUUUGAAAUUGAUAGUAUGGAUCUUGUCUUAAUAAUUUUUUUUUCAAGAAGGUAAAUAGAAGCAAUGGUUGUUAAACUCUUUACUGAGUUUCACUCGAGUCUUCUCUUUGAAAUUUGCGCAUUGGUUCCCUGGACUUAGUAACAUCGCUUCACAGGAAUCCUUCCUGGGAAAACCUGUUAGUGGAUACACUUGGGCAAUCUCUUGGCAAUAAUAUUUAUCUUUUUACAAAGUUUGUGGGUAUUUUUCAACAUUAAAGAUAUCAAAGCAAGAAAACUUUAUGUUAGGAUGACUAGUUUUAAAAGAGAAUGGGGAUGGUCUGGCUGCCAAACAUAUCAUACAUGGUAUCCACAUUAACGUUGCCUUUAAUCGUACUACUGGUUUUUCAUGUGAAGAACUAUGAUGAAGCAAUUUUAACAAGGUUCGGGAGAACAUCUCUUAUAGUUCAAAGGUAUAAGACUAGAGUGAAACUUUAUGAAGAGUUCAUGGACGCUCAAUGCAAUUCACCCCGAGGCAAAAUAUAUCGUCAAUGUGCUGUUCUUUCCUCUUGGCGCAGCUGACAUUUCUCCUUUUAUCUUGUGUAUUACAGAGGCCUGCAUCAGAGAUGAUUAGGUAUAUUAACAAGUUCAAAUCUGAUUUUGGAGGGCAGAUUGUUUCCCUUGAGCGCGUGCAGCCUUCUUUGGAUCACGUACCUCACCGGUUGGUUGACAUUCUCAGUGCUUCUCGUAAAUUUUUAAUCACUUUUGUUGGCUGUAAACUGACAAUGAGCAGCUCUCUUUUAUGUUAACUUUUGUUUAUGUUUGGAUGGUGAAUUAGAAGUCCCUAGUUCUCAUCAUCUGCUUGAUGCGAGACCAGUCUUAUCAAAAUGUUGCUUUUAGCUUUACUUCUUUAGUUAGAAAAUAAUAGUCACUAUGUGCAGUUUUAAAGGGAAUGCUUGUAUAUGCUCAAAGUUGUGACAUGACAGUUAAGCAGAACAUAUUUUCUAGGUGACUUGAUAUUUGUGCUGGUCACAGAAGCUAGAUGAAUGUGUAGUUGUAUUAUCACGUCAUAAGAAAACAUGCUGAUGCAGCCCCAUGCACAUAGGCCCAGCAGGCUUGUGAGUCUCUGUUUGUUUUAAGUAGAAUUAGUAAAUUCCAUUCUUUAGUAAUAAUAGUCACAGGUAUAGAUCAUCUUUCUUGUAAGAUGGAUAUACAUCGAAGGCAUGUUUGGUUCAUGAUUGGAAUGAUAGUGGGAAAUGGAAUUGGAUUGUGUAUUGGAAUGGGAAAUAGAAUGACGAAUCAUCUUUAAAAAAAAAAUGUUUGGUUCAUUGUUGGAAUGGAAAUUGGAAGGGACAACUGGGACACUUAGGAUUUUGGGUGAGGGUUUUGGUUAAGGGUGAGAAGAGUAAUGAAGGGACAUAAGGUGGAGGUGUUUGUGAGAGAGAGCUUUGAGUGGUUUACUGUGGAACGGGGCCAAUCCAGGAUUCAAAACUAGAUUGGGCCAUACAUGGAUUGGACCAUUCCCAUUCCAAAGUGGAAUGGGAAUCAGAAUCGGAUUCCUGUAUAACAAACAAUAACUAUCAGAAUCAAUGAAUCUCAUUCCUAUUCCAGAGUCUAAAAUAGGUGAACUAAACAGGACCUUAUGUCGAUGUUGAUAUUUUUUACAGCAAUCUUGUUUAUGUUGCAGAUUCUAUCAUUCUAGUGCAACCUCUUUAUGCAUCAUAAUCGGAACUUCCAUGCUUAUGAUGCGUGCAUUUGCAUUUACAAAUUCUAAUCCUGCCUUUUACAUAUGUAUCACAUAUGUUAUGGAAGUGAUAUACAUUGGUUUAAAAAAAUAAACAAGGAGGCAGUUAUACAUAACAUAAGCUGUUGUCAUCAUUGAUCAUUUUGAAAAGCGAUGUUAUGUGGAAUCACCAGUCUUAGAUUUUCCCACAUUACUUGAUCAAUUCUUAACUGAACUUUGUGAAGCAUAGUAAAUAAAGUUCAGUACUCAUCUCCAUGUAUUGGAUAUUUCUUUUGAGUAUAUUUUCACCAAAAAUAUUUCUAGGAUAUUUUUCAAUGCUUGUGGAGGGAAUAUGUAUAGUAAUGAUGUUCUUUCAUGGAAUCCUAAGAUGAAGCAAAGUGAACUAGGCCAUUAUGCUUGCCUCAGAUUUACUAUCAGAAGUUGUAUCUACUGUGUACGCUGAAUCCCUACUGAAUGCUACACUCAUUUCAACAUUUUCCAUAUCAAUGGAACAACAUUUUUUGUUGGUGGUAUCCUUUAUCAAUCUAUAUGCUAAAUAAAUAGGCUGAAAUUCUUGUGGCAAAUAAAAUUAGAUUGGUGAAAGUUUCUCCCCCUAACUCGGCCUCCCUAAUUAAAUUCUUUUUUGGUAUGGAUUGAGUGAUUCUCCUCUCAAACUCAUGUAGGUAUCUAUUAGCUGAGGCUGGGGAUACAUUGUUUGCUACAUUUAUUGGAACUAAGCAAUACAAGUAAGCAUUAUUUUGCUAAAAUCCUGCUUCCCAAGUCUUUAAGCUACUAUUUAUUUACCUUUUGCCUUUCUUUACAGAGAUCUUAUUACUGAUGUAAAUAUAUUUCAAGGGGCCAUAUUCCAUGAGGAUAAUUCUGAGGAUUUUGAUUUGGUUGAUAUUGGUGAAAGUGAUCAAAAUGGCAUCCAAAAGAAGAGCGAGGAAAAUCUUGGCAAGCCGGUUCAGGAAAAACCAAAACGGUUGAAAACAUCAAAGCCUGCUGCACACAGGGUAUGAUUUAUUUUUCAGAUAUAUGAUCACUGAUAUUUCUUGUUGUUCCAAGAGUUCUAUCAAGAGUAAUGGCAUUUUGAUGAAUAACUCUUUUAGGGUUUCUUAGCUCGUGCAAAGGGAAUCCCGGCUCUGGAGUUAUACAAGCUUGCACAGAAAAAGAAUCGGAAGCUUGUUCUUUGCGGACAUUCACUUGGUGGUGCGGUAGGUGUAAGCAAACCAUUUUACAUCUUGUUCAUUUAUUAUUUAAUUAAUUUCUUAGUGUCAUUUUCUACUCUACUUCGAAUGACAGGUAGCUGCAUUGGCUACACUUGCAAUUUUGCGAGUUCUCGCAUCCUCUACACUAUCAAAAGAAAACGGAAAAGUUCAAGUGAAGUGUAUCACUUUCUCCCAGCCACCAGUUGGGAAUUCUGCUCUGAGAGAGUAGGUGUCAUAUCAUGAAAUUAAAACAAAUUAUUUUGUUAAGGUUUAAUUAACAAUUUCAUUUUUGAAGUUUGACCACGACAUCACUUGCAUCCUCUACUCUUGAUUUUAACAUCCUCUACUCUUGUACUAGUCCUGUCACUAGUCUUCCGUCUGAAAAAAGUUGCCACGUUAGCGACGUUGCUAGAGUUUGCUUACUGUGAAUUUAUUGUUGUUUUGAUUACAAUGACGAAGUGGCAUUUUCUCGGAUGACAAACCAAUGGACGGACUAAAUUGGUACAUAGGACAAAUGUCGGGCUAAAUUGUUAAAAUUAAAACUUUGACUGCAAUGUGCAUAGUUCGGAUCAAAUUUCAGGGCAAGGAUUAAAGUGCCCAUCGGCACGGGCCGUAUCCACCGUGCCGUAUCGUGCCAGCAAGAUAUCGGUACGAUAUAGCCCCCGUACCAAUGGCACAACUCAAAACCCUUUAUUCUGGAAAUUAUUAAAUAAUUUUCUCAAUAAAGUUCAAAAGAUUUGAUAAAAAUAUAUAAUAAAUAAUUGGCAUAUUUUGUUGCUAAAGAAAAUAAAUAUUUUAUACCGUUACAUGUCGGCACACAUAUAUUUUUUAUGACCGGCACUCAUCGGCACGGCUUGGCACGAACCGUGCCAUACCGUGCCGGCAAGUUUCCGGCACGACCCUGUGUCACGACAUUUAAAUACUUGUUUCAGGGAUUACUUUUGUAAUUGACCUGUUAGUUAAUUUUGGAGAUAUCAAAAGAUUUUUAUGAAGAGAAAAUGAUGUUGGUUAAUUUACCAGAUUUAACAAAAGCUAUACAGAAUACUUUGUUUUCUAAUUUGACAGGAUUUUAGACAGGUAACUAUUUAAAGGAAAAUUUGGCUUAUGAUAUUCCUUUUUCUUUGCGUUUAGUUAUGUGCAUCAAAAAGGUUGGGAAAACUACUUCAAAACCUACUGCAUACCCGAAGACCUGGUGCCACGGAUUUUAUCUCCUGCCUAUUUUCAUCACUAUAACACUCAGACGAUGCAAACAUCGUCGGAUGAAAAUUUAAAUGGUGCAAAACUUGAGGAGACUACAAGUGGACCAAGUCUUAAAAUGCCCAAAGAGGACAAUGGGCAACAGCUUGUUCUAGGCGUUGGCCCUGUUCAGACGUCAAUGUGGAGACUGGCUAAGCUUGUUCCUCUGGAGGCAGUUCGGAAUCAAUUCAAUAUCUUCAGAAGAAAUCAGAAUAAAGUUGGGGAGGCAUCCCUUGACAUAGAUAGUGGCUUACAGUCGAAGGGUGAUGAAUCAGAGGCAGAGCCACAGUCUCUCGAGAUUCAAGAGGGUUCUGAGGGGAUCACUCUUGCGCCUCUUCCUGAUACAGAUCAAGAGACUCUUGGCAAUCAUGUAGAAAGAAGAAGCAGACUUGACGAUGAAGAUUCUAGGCGAUGGCAUAGAUUGCCUAACCUACCUUCUUAUGUACCAUUUGGGCAGGUAGAUAGUUUGCACUUCUAUCUCUUCUGUGUAAUUUGGUUUAUAGACUUCUGUUGCCUACCGCUGUAUUUUGUGGAAUCCAGAAGUUGGACAGUACAUUUUGGAAAAAAUGUGCAGUGAGCCCUUCAACUAUAGGACAUUUUGAAAUACACCCCUCAACUAUUUUUUCUUUGAUUGAAACCUCAACUUUUGAUUUUUUUAAAAAUUUAAGUUACUUUCAUCAAUAAUGUUGGGAGUUUUGUUCAAUCUAAUGGUAGUUCUGUUAAAAUUUUAUCGUUAAAAUGCUUUUUUGAGCUGAUAGGCUGUUUUGAAAUUAAGUCAUUACAGCAUCUUUGCAAACAUGCAUGCAACUUAAGGACUUUAGCUUGAAAUGACAUAGAAGAAAUUAGUUGCACACAUCCCUUUUCCAUUCAUUUACUGUACAAUAGGGUGGAAGACCUAUGGAAUUUCCCUUCCAUCGAUUUUUGUCACUUUUAAACUUUGGUAACAUCAGAAUUUUGUUUCUAAUGCAAUUGGCCAGUUCUUGUUUAUGUUUGGUCUGUUUAACUGUGAGCUACAAAGCUUUUCAAACUUUCCAAUUGGUGAUCUUCUCUCCAUUAUGAUUUUUUUUUUUUCUAGCUCUACCUCUUGGGAGACUUGUCAGUAAAGUCACUCUCUGAUGCAGAAUACUCCAAAAUGACGUCGGUACGGUCUUUUUGUUAUCUUUUGUUCCACUUUAUUGGUACUAUUAUAUUUGUUAGUGUACAUCGUAUUUUUGGUUUUUUUUACUUUUACUGCUUUUGCAGUAGUGUCUUAGUUAUUUCUACCUACUCAUCUUUCUGCUAUGUCUUGGCAAAGGCAUUUGCAGGUGAGGUCGGUUAUAACAGAAUUAAAGGAGCGCUUUCAAUCACAUUCAAUGAAGUCAUAUAGGUCUCGCUUUCAAAAGUAAGAAAUUUGUCAAUCUUUUCCUUACUAGUUUUUGCUAUUCACAGCCUUUUCUUUCUGCCAUUUUGCUUUCUGUAAGUUAUUUUUUAUCAAACAGUUGCUAGGUCUUAUGGUUGUCAUUGCCAAGAUUUCGCUCAUUGCCAUUUAGGUUACUUUUCCCCCCCUAAUAUUUUGGUUAAUAUUGUGCCUUUAUUUUAGUUUUAGUUGGCGAAGUAUUAUUUCAAAGGGGCUUGCAAAGAAGAACACAUGCUUCCUAAACGUAAUAGAAGUUGGUUACUGGAAACAUGAUCUGGAUCAGCCUACUUUCUAAUGUCAAAAAUAUCCAUUUCAGAACUUCAAGCUUGAUGUUUCUCCAGUAACUAAAGAAUCUCAGCAUUUAUGUCAAAUAGGAAGAAGCUUCCUAACAAUUAAUAUACUAUCAUGUGCUGAAUAGUUUGUUUGGUCCUCUUAAUUGAGAUGUCCCUAAGUGUUCCUUUAAAUAUGCCUCAGUGAUUGAAAUUUGUAUUGGACCAGCUCUUUUUUGAGGUCAUCUACAAAGCUUUCCACUUUAGGAUUACUAUCUUCUGCACAAACUAUUGCUUUCUCAGCUCUUUGUUAAUGAAGACUGGUUUGAACUGUAAUUUGUUGAAUGAUGAUGUAGUGUUAGUAUAUGGUUAAUUAAUCCGUUACCAUCUAAAGUCAAUGAAGCACAUUUCAAUAUCCAAGAAUCUGUCAACCAUGAAAAAAUUCCGAAAGGUGAUAAUAUUCGCACUUUAAAUGUGAAGAAUCUCUUAAUUGUUGAACAUUAUGCAAGGUAACUGCAAUGUACAUCUAUUAUUUUGCCAACUAUAGUGUCAUCAUGGUACGAGGAUGUGAGUUAGCAGAAUAGGUACUAGAUUGGUUGAAGGGUGUACAAUGAUCACAUAAUAUUAAGUAUUUAUCAACUUGGACCCUGUGCUUUGAGUCUGUGAUAUAGCCAUCGAUCUUUCCUAGUUGGAGAACCACUUUCAAGGCAAUUGAACUUGCUCAUGUUUCACUAGAAGGAAAAUGUUUGACAGGAGGUCUUUCGUAGUCCUUUGAAAUUCAAAAAUUGUCCUGACAAGAAACAAUGUGUUUGCAUAUCUGUUCUAGAUAAUAGUAGAGAUUUUACUUGAUGCAAGUGCUUAGUGAUGAUAAAUUAAGAUUAAAUGUGUAAGAUAGGCCAAACAUGUCGAUGAUGAGAAGGAUUAAUGUAACUUUAAUUUAUUUGUGCAUUAUGCUCUGGGUUUCAUGGGCAGCUUAUAUUUACUUCUUUCCCAAACUGCCACUCAGACACUCAGUUAGAUCUUUUGUUCCUAUAAACAUGAUACAAUUAGGCUAUCUAACUUAAUUUCUAGUUUCUCUUAAGCUCAUCUCUUGCUAAACAUGAGCGAUACUGACAUAAUAGAAGAACUUUGAAUCAUUCUUGAUUUGCAUUAGUAAUGCAUAUUCUCUGCAUUAUUUGGAGAGAAAAGAGGGAAAGUUCAAACUUACGUUUUCUGUGUUUCAUAGAAUAUAUGAUCUAUGCAUGUGUGUGAACGCAUCGCCUUUCAUGGGAGUGGAGCAGUUACCACAUUUACAACAGUUGCUUGGCCUAGCAGCUGCUGAUUCGGUCGAACUUGGCAACAUUGUGGAGCCUCCUGUUAUCCGAACGGCAACAUCCAUUGUUCCUCUUGGUUGGAAUGGUGUUUCUGGUGAUAAAAACACUGAUCCAUUAAAAGUUGACAUUGUUGGACAUGGCUUACACUUGUGUUCUCUUGUUCAAGCUCAAGUAAAUGGGAAUUGGUAUGCCCUACUUGUCUCUAGAUAUUUAAUUCACUUAAUUCACUCCUACUAUCAACCUUUUGGUUUGUGAUUUAAAUAUCCUAUUAUUCUCCAAUGUAUUUGAAUAAAGGUGCUCAACGGCUGUGGAGUCACUACCUUCAGCACCUCCAUACUCAUCGAAUCAUGAAGCUGAACCCAAUUUACAAAAGAUGCGGGUUUUAAUUGGUGCUCCAUUGAAGCGAUCACCAAAAUUUCCAGUUGCUGAAGAUUCUUUAUUUCCUAUUUAUCCUCCAGUUGUGGAAUGCUCCAAUUCGACUCCAGAAUGUGAAUCCAGAUCAUUUUUCCAAGACAGAAGACGCUGUUGUGAUGGUUUGGAUGGUUUUGUCAUUUACUGCACUACUGAUUUCACCACCGUAUGCAAAGAAGUUCAUGUUAGAACCCGUAGGGUGCGAUUACUUGGAUUCGAGGUAGUCUUUAUUUAUUUAGGUCUAUAAUGGUAUGUGAAGCCUUUACUAUCUUGAAUCUGUAAAUUCUGUCUCUUAAUGGUUUCAGGGUGCCGGGAAAACUUCCCUAUUUAGAGCAAUGCUACAAUUUAGACAACGAAACAAUGGAAAUAUUGAGAGUAUAUGUCCAUACAUGGAUGCUCAAGAAGGGGUAGCAGGUGGAUUAUGCUAUGCGGAUUCAGCAGGUGUGAACUUGCAGGUAACUCUAAUAGUUUACCUUGAAUAGGAGAGUUUAUUUUGCGCUUCCUUCUGAAGUUGGUUAAUAGAAAGCCAGUUUGUUGCGUCGAUCAAUUGUACAAUAAUGAUAUUUGUACCUCCAAGCUUUUCAUCUUGAACUUGGUUCAGCAAAAAGUAAUUGUUUUUUUCUUCUUUUUGUUUAAUUUUUUCACUGAAUGAGAAGGUUCAAACAUGCCAGAUUUGCACUAAAUUGCUGGUUGCAUUUUACUUGUUGAACUUUUGAUAAUGCUUUUUUUCUUUUUCUUGAAGUACUUGUUAUUACUUAAAUAUUACUCAACUGCAAAUUACUCAUUGGUGUGCAUGCUUUCUAUAGUUAAAGGCAAGAUAUAUGUUUAUUAAAGAAAAAAGAAGAAAGAAAACUCUAUAUAUCAUUUAAUUACUGUAUGCUUGAAAACUGAAAAUGCAUGAAGAUACUUUUCUAAAAUGAAACAGGCAAUUUUUGAAAUUUAUAUGUAGUAACUAAGGAAUGUGUGGAGCGUGCCCUCAUAUCUACUUAAAAAUUUAGUAAAUUUUGUUUACCUUCUUCAACAGCCAUCUCUCUAUAUUAUUUUUAUUUAAUCUUUGUUUUAUCAUACAGGAGCUAAAUUCAGAGGCCAUUAAAUUCAGAGAAGAACUGCAGAUGGGUUUACGUGAUCUCGCCAAGAAAACCGACCUAAUUAUUCUCGUGCAUAACCUAUCACAAAAGAUACCUCGGUAUCACCACCCAAAUGCUUCAAAACCACAGCCGGCCCUUUCACUUCUCCUAAACGAGGCUAAGGCUCUUAAUAUACCUUAUGUUCUUGCCCUAACAAAUCGAUUCUCCGUCAGUGCUCAUCAGCAAAACACUUUAAUCGCUUCUGCUAUGGAAGCAUACGAAGCAUCUGCCGACACGACUCAAGUCAUUAAUUCAAGCCCCUUUUUCAUAGCAAGCAAUGCUAGUGCUGUGCAACCGAUGACAUCAGCUAAUGAGCUUUCGGGGAGGAAGGAGGCUGGUUCUCCAAGAAGUGUGUUUGCUCCUCUAAGUCUCUCCUUACUGCCACUCCAGAGAAGGGCGGGUGUUAUGCCUAUCGAGGGUGUUGGUGCGUUUCGGGGACUUGUUCAUCGCGUUCUACGCAGUAAUGAAGAAAUGGCCUUCCAGGUACUUGUUUUGUUCAUUUGCGUGUUUUACAUGAAAUUUUAUGUGGACCUUUUCAAACUAAGGCCGCUUUAAGUUAGAUCCUUUUCAUAUUUUUUUUAAUCAGCAUCUCCAUAUUUCCUUUGGUGGAUUAAUCAUUUGAUUCGAUGAUAACUUUCAGUACGUAAACAAUGCUCACAUGAUGACAGGAGUCUGAAAUAGCUGUUAACUGCUCAUGAGAUGCGAAAAUGACCUACAAUUCUUCACUAUAUUAUAGGAAAAGUUUUUUCCCGACCAUUGAUGAUGACCUUAGAUUGUUUUUACGAAGUUCUCUCAACUUUUACUUAACCAGCAUAUCUUUGGUUUUUUUUCUUUCUAUAUUUACACAUAUCGAUCCAAUCCAAUGGAUUUGCCAUUUGAUAUAACGGUAACUUUAUUUCAAAAACGAUGUUCAUGUGGUGAUACAUGUUUGAAAUUGUUGUUAACGGAUGGAUAGACGUGCUUAUGAGGUUUUGAUGCAAUAAGUGGUGGUCAAAAUGAUUUGCAUCAAAACGACCUAUGAAAUAUUUCUGAUUCGCGAUGAGAUAUAUGAAGAGUUGCUAGCGCAGUCUUUUCCUAUAAUCAUAAUUCAAUCUUUUUGCUAAGUUAUACUCUCAACUAAUACUGAAUUUCGACUCGCAAACCUCUAUAGGAACUCGUAGAAGAGAGGCUGUCGUUGGAACUAGCAAAAGAAAAGCAGGUCUUAACGGACGCAAUGCACGAGCCGCAGAAGAAGAGCGGCUCUAUUUCCGCUGCUGCAGUCGGUGCAUCUCUCGGAGCAGGCCUCGGGCUUGUAAUGGCUGUUGUUAUGGGAGCGGCUUCUGCCUUAAGAAAGCCGUGAAAAUUGCGUUGCGUUUCGACGUGAUCGGGUUUAUAAUAAUAAAUAAUUCACAACAAUGCCAGUUGAGGAAUGAGAAACAAAAAAAAAAAGGUUUAAAGAAGAAGAUUUUGCAGAAGGCACCAGAAAAAGUUGGGCAUUGCAAGACAGCACUUGUGUUUGGCAUGGAGCUGCAUAUAUGCUGUCCCUACAUCUCAUUUUCAUUAAUUAUUAUUAUAUUUGGUAAUUUUGAUAGGUUUCAUCACAUUACUGAUUAUACCACUACUUCUACCCAGUUUUUUUUUUUAAUAAUUUUUUCAUAUACUUUUGGGCAAGAAUAUCUUCUAGAGGUGGGUUAUGCUGGCAUGAUUUAUUAUUUUGUAUAUUCCUAGGCUUGUUUUGGUUGAGAUUGUUAUCUGUUAAUAUUCUUUAUCUUCUAGUUUUGCACUGUUUGGUUUGUAUUUGCUAUAUGUCAAUAUGAGUGUUUAAGGGAUGUUUAUUUUUAUUUUAUUGUAUUCUUUGGCUAUGAUGGAAUCAAAUAUCUGAGAUGUUGUGGUGCAAUUGUUAGGGAUUUAAGUGCCACCCCCAAACCAUUCUGUUUAAACUGAAUUACCAAACCAAGCUGAGCCAUUUCAAUGGAUUGGGCUUAGUUUUAUUUUCAAUUUGGUUUGGUUAGUUUAAACAAUUGAAACGUAGGCUUCGUUUGGUUCGGGUAUAAGCAAUAACUAGUUAUACCGGAGAUAGGUACAAAAAUGAAUUUUCGUAGGAACAAGGGUAUUUUUUUGUUUUGAUGAAAAUAUGAGUAUAAGCUGAAACUAGAAAAAUUAUGUUUGGAUAAAAAUCUAAGUAUAAGGUGGAAUAGUUGGUAGUUAUAGAUAGAAAAUAAUAAUUUUACCUCUAUAAUUGAAUUUAACAUUUUAAACUAAUAAUUUUAAAUUAAAAAUUUUAACUUUUAAAUUUUAAAAUUUGAAAUUAAAAUUAAAACUUAUAAUUUUCAAAAUUUAAAUUUUAAAUAUCAAAUUUUAAAUUUAAGAUCAAAUUUAAAUUUGAAAGAUAUAAAAUAUAAAAUUUUAAAUUUUAAAUCUAAAAAAUUAAAUUUAAAAGUUAAAAAUUACAAAUAUCAAAUUUAUAAUUUAAACAUUAAAAUUUAUAAUUUAAAAUUAUAAAUUUAAAUUUUAAAAGACUAAAUUAUAAAUUUUAGAAAUUAAAAUUAAAAUUAAAAAUCUCUCUCUAUCCGGGAGGAGUGUAACAAGUGUUCCACUCCUUGUUCCACCCCUUGGGGUGGAACAACAGGUUGGGGAUAACCCUCUUAUCCCCCCUCUUGUAUCCAUUCCAAACGGGGUGAAAAAGACCAAAUUGACUGAUUUUUAAUAAUUUAACUAAUAUAUGCUAGAAUACUAUUAAUAGCAUAAAGUCAUUGGUGCUAUAAAGUUUUCAGCCCUUGGUCGAAUCGAUGUACGUUAGGAUGAUAGUGGUCCUUUCGGGUUGAGUAAUUGGUUGGUUGAAUAAUAUAAUCUAACGGAUGAAAAUGGUCAAAGGGGUUGAUCUAAUGGCAGAAAACUUGAUAGUACAAGUAUUUGGUGCUAUUGAUAGCAUUGUAGCUGGACUAUAUAUAUAUAUAUAUAGCAGGAUUGCUGUGCUCUUAGGAGCAAGAAGGCCUUCGUGCUUCUGAGCCGUUUUCGAUGAUGAAAUUUUCAAAUCGAUGAUCGGCUCCGUUAAACUUGAUCUAACGUAUUUGAAGUUUUUAGAAAAUAUUUUUUGCGCUUUUUCGAUAUCAUUUAUCUAGCAAUCGACAAAGGACCAUUCAAAACUCAAUAAUUUUAACGGCUGAAAUAAAAAUCCUAUAAAAAAGGGUGAUAUAGCAUUAAAUUUUCGAUCAGAAAUAUUGAUCCUGUUGUAAAUAAUAUAAGGAAUUUUGUAUCAAAAUUUCAUCCUGAUUUGAAUACUUCUGCACCGUUAAACUUGAAAACGGCAGAUAUCAACCAUUAAAAAUUAUGGAUUUUGAAUCCUUUCGAUCAUUAGGUAAAUGAUAUAAAAAAUAUCCGCAAAAAUUAUUUCUAGAAACUUCAAUGCGCAGAUCAAGUCUAACGGAGCCGAUCGUCGAUUCGAAAAUUCCAUCAUCGAAAACGACAUCCGUGCUCCUGAGAGCACAACAGCCGUGCUCUCUCUCUCUCCUCUCUCUCUCUCUCUCCUAUAUAUAUAUAUAUAUAUAUAAUACACACACUAGCGUAUAGCGUGUAAAUGCACGUAAUAAAUAAAAUAUAAAUUCAAUUUAAAUUUGUAGAGAUUUGUUGUAUCAAAUUAUAGUUAUUAAUUAUUUAGUUGUUGUAAAUUAAAGUUAUUAGAUUUUGGUUAUAUAUAUAUUAUAUAUAUAUAUAUUAUAUAUAUAUAUAUAUAUAUAGGGUCCGGCUACUAUCCUAUUAAUAGGAUUGGGAUCCUUGUCCUAUCAAGUCGAUUUGAAUGAUCGGAACUUCAAAUUGAUAAUCGGCUCCGUUGAAGUUGAUCUACAUAAUUAGAAAUGUUUAGAAAUCAAAUUUUAUAAUAUUUAAAAAUCAUUAUCAAGUUCAUGACGUGGACUAAACAUUCUGCCUCGGAUUCAUGUGAAAAAAUAUAUAUAUAUAUAUUGCUAUUUAGCAGGAAAAAAAAUAUAGUAUAGUACAAUUUAUACUUGUGCAUAACAACUUUUCUGUAAAAUAGAUUUUUAAAAAAAAGUUAAUUUUGAUUUUCAAUGUUUGUAGUUUAGAAUUGGACUUUUUUACAAAAUAAUCAUCUAAAAUUUAAUAAUUUACGAAAUAAUCCUAUCAAAUUUGUAUUUGGCAAAUUAACUCUCAAAACGCGAUGAAUUAUUUAUCCCAUUCUGAAAGACUGUAGGGUCUUUUAAAGGCGGUGAAUGAUUCACCGCCUUCUUCAUAAUUUUUUGGAAAGGAGAAAAAAAAAAUGAGGUUGUUAAAAUUGUACGUAGAUUAUACGGAAAAUAAAAAAAACGAGGUUGUUAGAAUUGUGGCUGCUAGGAUUGUGUGUGGAAUAUUAGAAUUUUUGUUUGAUUGUUAGAAUUGUAUGGAUAGAUUAGUAAAUUUUUUUUUGAUUGUUAGGAUUAUAUGGAUAUAUUAUUAAGAUUUUCAAUUUCUUAAGAUUAUAUGUGAUAUUUGAUUAUUAAGAUUUUUUUGAUUGUUAGGAUUAUAUGAAUAGAUUAUUAUAAUUUUUCGGUUGUUAAGAUUAUAUAUGAUUUAUUGAAAUAUUUUUUUAGUUGUUAGGAUUAUAAAAAAAAACAAUAAACAAAUGAAAUGUGAAUAAUUCAUCGCUUUUCUGAGAAAUUAUGCUCUUUAUGGAAGCGCUAAAUCAUUCACCGUUUUUAAGAGAUUAAUUUUUUAAAUAUAAUUUUGGCAAGAUUAUUUCGUAAAUAAUAAAAUUUUAAAAAGUUAUUUUAUAAAAAAGCCCUUUAAAAUCUAUAUUUCUUUUUCAUAAAGCACGCAUUGGUCGUAGUUAAUUAAUAAUAGUAAUAUAUUGAAACGUGCAAGGCAGGAUCAAUUAUAUAGAAAUGCAUUAUAAUAUAUAUAUAUAUAUAUUGAUAUCAAAAAUUAAAUUUAAUUCAUAAUUUAAACUCUUAAUUUUAAUGUAAAAUAGAUGAAUAGGAAUGCUAUUUUUAACAAUUUGAUCAUAACCGUUUGUUUUUAUUUGAGAUAUUUUUUAAACAAAUUGAUUAUAAUCGUUCGUAGGAUUAAAUUUAUAGAUGGAUAGGAAUGCUAUUUUUUAAUAAAUUNNNNNNNNNNNNNNNNNNNNNNNNNNNNNNNNNNNNNNNNNNNNNNNNNNNNNNNNNNNNNNNNNNNNNNNNNNNNNNNNNNNNNNNNNNNNNNNNNNNNNNNNNNNNNNNNNNNNNNNNNNNNNNNNNNNNNNNNNNNNNNNNNNNNNNNNNNNNNNNNNNNNNNNNNNNNNNNNNNNNNNNNNNNNNNNNNNNNNNNNNNNNNNNNNNNNNNNNNNNNNNNNNNNNNNNNNNNNNNNNNNNNNNNNNNNNNNNNNNNNNNNNNNNNNNNNNNNNNNNNNNNNNNNNNNNNNNNNNNNNNNNNNNNNNNNNNNNNNNNNNNNNNNNNNNNNNNNNNNNNNNNNNNNNNNNNNNNNNNNNNNNNNNNNNNNNNNNNNNNNNNNNNNAUAUAUAUAUAUAUGGUCCGGCUACUAUCCUAUUAAUAGGAUUGGGACCCUUGUCCUAUCAAGUCGAUUUGAAUAAUCGGAACUUCAAAUUGAUAAUCGGUACCGUUGAAGUUGAUUUACACAAUUAGAAAUAUUUAGAAACCAAAUUUUGUAAUAUUUAAAAAUCAUUAUCAAGUUCAUGACGUGGACUAAACAUUCUGCCUCGGAUUCAUGUGAAAAAAUAUAUAUAUAUAUAUUGCUAUUUAGCAGGAAAAAAAAUAUAGUAUAGUACAAUUUAUACUUGUGCAUAACAACUUUUCUGUAAAAUAGAUUUUUUAAAAAAGUUAAUUUUGAUUUUCAAUUUUUGUAGUUUAGAAUAGGACUUUUUUACAAAAUAAUCACCUAACAUUUAAUAAUUUACGAAAUAACCCUAUCAAAUUUGUAUUUGGCAAAUUAAUUCUCAAAACGCGAUGAAUUAUUUACCGCAUUCUAAAAGACUGUAAGGUCUUUUAAAGGCAGUGAAUCAUUUACCAUCAUCUUUAUAAUUUUUUGGAAAAGAGAAAAAAAAAUGAGGUUGUUAAAAUUGUACGUAUUUGGCAAAUUAACUCUCAAAACGCGAUGAAUUAUUUACCGCAUUCUGAAAGACUGUAAGGUCUUUUAAAGGCAGUGAAUCAUUCACCGUCUUCUUUAUAAUUUUUUGGAAAAGAGAAAAAAAAAAUGAGGUUGUUAAAAUUGUACGUAGAUUAUACGGAAAAUAAAAUUUGUUUGGUUGUUAGAAUUGUAGGGAUAGAUUAGGUAAAUUUUUUUUGAUUGUUAGGAUUAUAUGGAUAUAUUAUUAAGAUUUUCAAUUUCUUAAGAUUAUAUGUGAUGUUUGAUUAUGAGGAUCUUUUUGAUUGUUAGGAUUAUAUGAAUGGAUUAUUAUAAUUUUUCGAUUGUUAAGAUUAUAUAUGAUUUGUUGAAAUAUUUCUGUAGUUGUUAGGAUUAUAAAAAGAAACAAUAAACAAGUGAAAGGUGAAUGAUUCAUCGCUUUUUUGAGAAAUUAUGCUUUUUAUGAAAGCAGUGAAUCAUUCACCGUUUUUAAGAGAUUAAAUUUUUAAAUAUAAUUUUGACAAGAUUAUUUCGUAAAUAAUAAAAUUUUAAAAAGUUAUUUUAUAAAAAGCCCUUUAAAAUCUAUAUUUCUUUUUCAUAAAGCACGCAUUGGUUUAGUUAAUAAUAGUAAUAUAUUGAAACGUGCAAGGCAGGAUCAAUUAUAUAGACAUGCAUUAUAAUAUAUAUAUAUANUCAAGAAUGAUUCAAAGUUGAAAAAUAAUUUACAUCUCUGUUAGCUCUCCUUUCCAAUUGCUUGAAGACAAAUAGAGGAUAUAGACAGUAUAGAUCGUGCAAAAAAAAAGAAGAUGAAUGAUUCAGUUGUUGAUCCCGUGCCCGCUUGCUUGAAGACUUAUAGAUUUUGAUUAUCCAUAUUUAUUUGCGAUGAAAAAGAGGAGAUAAAUGAUAUACGUUAAUGAGAUAUCUGAGCGGGAAUUAAUAUAAAGUCAAAGAGAUUGUAAAAUCAUUAUAUUACCAUCCAUCGUGCUCACCGCCAAACAAAAAAAAAAAAUCAAGAAUGAUUCAAAUUUGAAAAAUAACUUUCAUCUCUGUUAGCUCUCCUUUCCAAUUGCUUGAAGACAAAUAGAGGAUAUAGACAGGGACGAAGCCAUAAAUUAAGAUUACCGCGGUAGGAAAAAAAUUUGACCUCGAAUAGUAAGAUAAAAAAGUUUGUCAGAUUCAUUGAUCAGUUAUUACUAACAGCAAUAACGACAAUAUACACAGAGAGGAACAAGACUGUAAGAAUUGAAGGACAAGGACCAAAAAAUUCGAAAAAAAAUUGAGACAAAUUUUAUUAAAAAAAAUUAAUUUGGCCCCUAAAAUUAAAAUAUAUAACAUUUUAAUUUUUUUUAUAAAGAACUUUUAUGUAAUUUUAAAAAAUUGAGGGGGGGCCAUGGCCCCUCAAUGGCUCCGCCCCUGGAUAUAGACAGUAUAUAUCGUGCAAAAAAAAGAAGAUGAAUGAUUCAGUUGUUGAUCCCGAGCCCGCUUGCUUGAAGACUUAUAGAUUUUGAUUAUCCAUAUUUAUUUGCGAUGAAAAAGAGGAGAGAAAUGAUAUACGUUAAUGAGAUAUCUGAGCGGGAAUUAAUAUAGAAUCAAAGAGAUCGUAAAAUCGUUAUAUUACCAUCCAUCGUGCUCACUGCCAAACAAAAAAAAAAAAAUUCAAAAUUCAAAAACUAACUUACAUCUCCCCUUCCUAAUUGUUUGAAAACGAUAAAGAAUAUGGAUAGUAUAGAUCAUGCAAAAAGAAGAAAAUGAAUAAUUCGGCCGUUGAUCUUAUACCCACUUACUUGAAAAUGAAUAAAUUGAAGCAGAAUAGAUCUUUGAUUAUCCAUAUUUAUUUGUGAUGAAAGAGAGGAGAGAAACUAUAUACGUUAACGAAAAAUAUGAACGGAAAUUAAUGUAAAAGUGCGAAAAAAACUUAAUUUAUGGAUUUUAUACUCCCGUGUGUAUUUUAAUACUUAUUUGAAAAGAAAACUUAUUUGAAAAGAAAAGAUAUUUUAAAAUUAAAUGGGACAAUAAUUUGUAUUUUAAUACUUAUUUGAAAAGAAAAAAUAUUUUAAAAUUAAAUAGAGAAAUAAUUUGUAUUUUAAUACUCAUUUGAAAAGAAAAUAUAUUUUGAAAUUAAAUAGGAAAAUAAAAUUUUCCCACACGUUAUCUGUUAGUUAAAAAAUUAAAUUAAAGUAUUAAAUAGAAAAAUAAUUUUUUCCCACCCAUUAUCUGUUAGAGGAAAACUAAAUUAAAAGAAAUAAUUUGUAUUUUAGUACUUAUUUGAAAAAAAAAAUAUUUUAAAAUUAAAUAAGAAAAUAAUUUUUUCCACCCGUUAUCUGAUGGAGAAAAAAUUAAAUUAAAGUAUUAAAUAGGAAAAUAAUUGUUCUCCAUCCAUUAUCUGUUAGAGAAAAAAUUAAAUUAAAGUUUGUUUGUUACGUUUCACUCAUUAUGUAUUCAUUUUCAAUGUUCUUAUUCUUAUCCUUAUGUAUUUAUUACCAACGAUUUCUAUUUUUAUUUUUAUAUUUGGAAUUUUGAAAUGGGCCUGUCGAUAAACCGAAAUUUGAAAUACGUGUUUUUAUAUAUAGUAUAGAUAGAUAUAUAUAAUUAGGUCAGAAUACUUUUAAUAGUAUUUUUUCCCUUUUAUUAUUAAUCUUUGGAUGAAAAAUUAUUAGAUUGGGAUGAUAAAAAAAUACGAGUGAGACUACUAUGCUUCUGGAAGUACGGAGCCUUCCGUGCUUCUAGAUCGUUUUUGAUGUUGCGACUUUCGAAUCGUCGAUCGGCUCUGUUAAACUUGAUCUAGAGUAUUUGAAAUAUUUAGAAAAUAACUUUUGCAAUUUUUCAAUAUCAUUUGCCUAGAGAACUAAGGGGCUCAAAAUCAACGGCUGAAAAUAAAAAUCUUACAAAACGUGAUAAUAUGACGUUAAAAUUUUAGAUCAAAAAUAUUGAUUUUGUUUUAUAUAGUAUAAAGAAUUUUCUAUCAAAAUUUUACGUGAUUUGGAUAUUUCUACACCGUUAAACUUGCAAACGGCUCACCACGGCCAUUAAAAUUAUUGAUUUUCAGUCCCUUCGAUCAUUGGGCAAAUGAUAUCGAAAAAUCAUAAAAUUUAUUUUCUAAGUACUUCAAAUACUCUAGAUCAAGUUUAACGGAGCCGAUCGACGAUUCGAAAGUCGCAACAUUGAAAACGACCUAGAAGCACGGAAGGCUCCGUGCUUCCAGAAGCAUAGUAGCCUCACUCAAAAAAUACUCCAUACAUAUCCAAAAAAUACAAAAUAAUUAACUGACUCCAACUCCAAACAUAUUAUGUUUGGAGAAUAGCAUGCUUUAAAAUUAGAUCUAUCAAAUCAACAAUUGUUUAAAUUCAAAUAAUAAAUUCAAAAUAUGAGUUUGAUUCAUAAAUUUAAAUUUUAUUUUAAAUCUUAAAAUUAAUUCGAAUUUUUAUAUUUUGGGUGUACAUUAAAAAAAUUGUAUGUCAUAGAACACAUAAAAAAUAGUUAAGUUGUAAAUAUUAUCUUGCUACACAUUCUCAUUAUUUUUAAUUGGUCCAAAAAUUUAGGAUACCUGUCGAAUUCCAAAUGUAAAACUUUGUAAAAAUAAAUUUAGUUAUACCUAAUGCGUACAAUCAUGAAAAUUGUAUAAAAUUAUUUCAAUAUAAACUAUAAUUUUGACUAUAUUAGCAAAAUAAGAAGUCUCUUUUCGCUAUUUUUUUUAUCUGUCUUUUGAGCUUUAAAUUAGAUAGAUAGAUAUUGAGACAUAGAACAAUGUGACAUAUCAAACUCAUUUUUAGUAAAGUUUUAUAAUUAUUUAAUUCACCGAUUAUUUCAAAAUUUCGGACUUAUAUAAAGUAACAGCGUCCCUAAUUUUUAAUAUGGAAAAACUUCAAAUAGCGCUCGCUCGUGUGGUUUUACAUUUUCUUACUUUGGUACUCUGUGGUUUAAAGUGUAUCAAUUUAGUACCUGUAGUUUCAUUUUUCUCCUUUUAUUAUUUCUUUUACUAAUUUUUUUCGUUAAAUCAGUGACAAAGUUAAAACUAAAAGGUACUAAAGUAAAUAUUCGAUAAAUCUAGGUGAGGUAUCUGAAGUUUUCUGUAUAUAAUUUAACGAAAUAUAAUGGAGGAGCUGGCGAAAAGAAAAAAAAUGAAACCACAGGGUACUAAAUUGAUACACUUUAAAUUACAUGGUAUUAAAAUGAGAAAGUGUGGAACCACAGGAGUGGUAUGUGAAGUUUGUCCUAAUAUGCAUUAUAGGUCUAUAAUUGGAAUGCGGUAAAGCGUAAGGGGGUUUUUGUAAUUUAGCCGAAGAGAGAGAGAGAGAGAGAGAGAGAGAGAGAGAGGAGGAACUGUGACGAAACCAGGACCCUAUUGACCCGGUGGCCGAACCGCCGACCGGUGACCCAGCUCCUAUCCGAGUCAACAUCCGGUCCGGUUCGACCGACUCGUUUCCCCCGCACCCCCCAUUGCGUUUCCCCUCGCGUUUCCCCUCCUCCUCCGACUCAUCAUCGCCUUCGCUUCGCAAUUGCGAAUCUGCUCCUCCACACUGCGUCUCCUCUCAGUCGACUUCUUCUUCCUCCUCCCUCCUCCGAUGAUCCCCCCAAAACCCUAACCCUAACCCGAGGUGCUGCUUCCUCCAUCUCCCAUGGCGGCGCCGAGCUCCUCCUCGUCGUCGUCUUCGGAGGCGGCGGUGGAGGGCCUGUGGGCCCUCGCGGAGGAGCUCGAGCUCCGCCGCGACUACGGCGGCGCUGCCCGGUGCCUGGAGGCCGUGCUCCAGAGCUCCUCCUCCGGCGGCGGCGGCGGCGGCGGCGGCGUCUCCCUGCUCCCCCUCUCGGAGAUCCGCACCCGCCUCCGCCUCGCCUCCCUCCUCCUCUCCCGCUCCCACAACCUCCACCACGCGAAGUCCCACCUCGAGCGCGCGCUCCUCCUCCUCUCCCCGCUCCCCUCCCCGCNNNNNNNNNCCCCCGCCCCUCCUCCCCCUCAAGCUCCUCGCCCACUCCCUCCUCUCCCGCACCUACCACCUCCUCGGCUCCUUCCCCUCCCAGCGCGCCCUCCUCCUCCGCGCCCUCCACCUCCUCCGCCACUCCCCCUCCUUCCCCGCCCCCGAAUCCCUCCUCUGGACCUGCAACUUCCACGCCCAGCUAGCCUCCGCGCUCGCCGUCGACGCCGACUACCCCGGCGCCCUCUCCUCCCUCGCCACCGGCUCCGCCGCCGCCGCCGACCUCCGCCGCGGAGACCUGCAGCUCUUCUUCGCCGCCUCCGCCCUCCACGUCCGCCUCCUCCACUGGGACGACUCCGACGCCGUCGCCGACGCCGCCCGCCGCUGCGCCGACCUCUGGGACGCCUUCCCCUUCGACCAGGUCUCUAAAUUCUGCCCCCUUGGCUGUUCUCUAAUCUUUUUAGCCUCUACACUUUUGCUCACUGUACAUUUUAGAGUGAUCAGAGAGAUAACAAAAAAACAGAUCAAAGUACAUAUAAGAAUACAUGCCACAAAAUGAUGGACGUGGGAAUUGAACUCGGGGACUCGUGGAAUGGAGGGGGCUGAGGAGCGGCUCUGAUACCGUGUAACCCAAAAAAUUAGUCUAGUAGGAUACAGCUUAGGUAUACUUUUAACACAAAUCCUAAGCUCCCGCCAUCUUGUGAGGUCGUGGGUUCGUUCUUCAGUAUUCAAUAUGAUUGCUUUACUCAUAUAUGUUAUGAAUAAAGUUGUGAUAUAAUUUUAUAGCCGCUUUAAAUUAGUUUAAGAUGAGACUUUGAGAAGUUGGAUAUGAGAGUUCUUCUAUAAAAUUUCAUAUCGAGCGUGUAUAUCAUUCGAACCUAAGUACUUGGGUUAGAAAGAUCACCUAAGUUGUGUAGUGGCAACACAAUAGAUUAAAUUCUGGCAUUAUAUUUUGAUGGGUUGAAAAUCCUAUCUUUUACCUCAUACGUCAAUUUCUCGCACCUUUCAUAUUUGUCAUGCAUGUGAACAGAGGUGUCAAAUAUAUUUCCAGGCUAUUUCCUAUCAAAGCGUUUUUUAUGGGUAACCUACACAACACCGGCUUCGUGCUUUGAUCUAAUUUGCUGAUUAUGUACUUCAGAGAGAGCAUUGCCCCGGCUUGUUUUUCUACACCGAGAUGUUGCAGGCCUUCUACCUGCUGAGGAUUUGCGAUUACAAGACUGCAUCACUGCAUGUAGAGAAGCUGGACACUGCCAUGAAGAAUGAAAUGCAUAAGCUUCGGCAGCUUAAGGAGAUGAGCUCUGAUGGGUGGGAUUCAAAUGAUGAUGAUAAGUUGGUAUUGGCGCCUCCGCCGAUGGAUGGCGAGUGGCUUCCGAGGAAUGCGGUGUUUGCUCUGGUGGAUCUUAUGGUGCUCAUGGUGGGGCGACCUAAAGGGAUCUUUAAGGAGUGCGGGAAGCGGAUUCAAUCCGGGUUGCGAUUGAUCCAUGGUAUGCUCAUGAAUUUUUUGUCGAAACAUUAUCCUAGCUUAUCUGUCGUUGAAUUUUUUAUUGUCAAUAUACUUGCAAUGGCUAAAGUUAACUUAUUCAAUUGAUAUCUCUCAUUGUCCUUGGAUUGUCCUGCUCGUCUUUGCUCAGAAGCUCUUCUUUGGAAUGAUAAUAUAUUCUAGUUCAGUAGCAAUUGGAAUAACGGGAGACUUUGCCCAUCAUUUUACUAGGUUUUUUGCUGUAAGCUUUCAUUGCAUAAUUGAUGUUUUCUGCUGUCGAGCAUUGGGAAAUUGGUGCUCUUUCACAUGUCAAUUUAGAAGUUCCUGUGCAAAUUAUAACAUCUGUUGCUUAUCUAUCUCUUACAUUUUUUGCAGAGGAACUUGGAAAACUUGGAAUCCAGGAUAGGGUAGCAGGUAAGCAUUUCGGACAGUUUCACUGUGUGAGUUGCUAAGUUGGAUAGAUACUAUAACUUUGGCCCUCCAAAGAAUGGAAUCUUAUUUCUUUUGGCUGCGUUUGGUUCGGGUAUAAGUAAGAAUUGCUUAUUUCUAGGGAUAGAUAUAAGUUCAGGUAUAAAUAGGAACUAGACCAAUUUUGCAUUUGGAUGAAAAUUGGGUUGUUUCUAGAAAUAAGCUAAAUAGUGUUUGCAUGGUUAGAUGGAACAAAGGGAAUAAGACUUAUAAUUUUAAAUUAAAAUUAUUUUAUCUAAUUAAUUAACGUCAAAAUAUUAUUUAAAAAUUAUUUAAUAAAUUAAUAAAUUUAUUAGCUAUGAAUAUUGUAUAAAAUAAUAAAAAUAUAUUAAUUAAUUAAAUAUAAAAAAUAAUUUAAUUUUUUAAUUAGUUAGUAAAUUAUUUUAGCUAGAAAACUAGUAAAAAAAUUAAUUAGAUUAAUAGAAAUAUUAAUGGUUGAUCAAUAUAAAUAUUAGUUUAUGAAAAAAUACAUUAAAUUAUCAAUAAUUAAAUAUAAAUAAUAAAUUAAUUAAUUAUUUUAUUAUUUAAGCCAUAAAUAAUAAUUUAAAUAUAUUAAUUAGAUUAAUUAAUUAUUUACUACCAUAAUUAAAAUUAUUUUUAGAUUGAAAUUAACCUUGUUCCCACCUGGGAACAAGCUUGUUCCAGGAAAAAGGGUGGAACAGCAGUUUCAGCCUUAUACCAGCUUAUUCCAGAAACUCGAGAAAUACUGUUUUCGGGUACCAAACGCAGCGUUUGGGAACAAAGGGGGGUAACAAGGGCGUAUUCCCCCCUGUUCCCGAACCAAACGCUGCCUUUGAGGCUCUGCAAUAUUAUACUGGUUAGAUAGUAAAUUAUUAUCUAUUUUAUUUUGAUCUGCAUUUAUAUCCCUGCAUGCUUAACUAAAUAUUGUUGGACGAAUUAGUAUCAGUGGGUACAAAUGUUUUUUAAAGAGUGGCAAUUUAUUUCAAUUUAUUCAUUGAAUGGCAUGUGUGAAAAUAUAGAUUUUGCUGUGCAUUUGUGUAAAUAGAUAAUUAGUGGGGAUAUAUUUGUCAAAAUUUCUAUUUUUUCAAGUUUACUCUGUUUUUUUCUUCUUUUGGUCAUGUCAGUCUGCUUUUUUGAUCAUUGAUCACGAGUGAUUACCACAUGCUCUGCAGAGGUAGAUUUGCAACACUCUACUAUCUGGAUGGCUGGAUUGUACUUGAUGCUUCUAGUUCAGUUUCUUGAAAACAAAGUCUCAAUAGAACUUACACGGUGUGAGUUUGUUGAAGCUCAAGAGGUAAAUUUUUCUGAAACAUCAUUAGUCAAGUUUAUGUAGAGUAUUUCUUUGCUUUUCUCUUAAAACAUAAUUGAUAACUAUUUUCUGAGAAUUGUUAUAAAAUAACUACAAUGAGGUCUUAGAUACUUCCAUUCCAAAAGAUAUUUAAUCGACUAUAGAAUAAACAUUGAUGCGAUAUUUAACAAUAUGCUGAACUGUGAUUGAACUAGAGCAAUGCUCUUAUUAACAUGCUUCUUUAUGUGUGGAAAUUCUUAGGAACGGCAACAAUAACUACAAACAUUAGUCUGAACUAGCGGGUUCUUUAAAUGAUCCCUUUUCUAUAUUCAGCUUUGAAUGUCAAAACUCUGUUUUUAAAGCUUAUCGCUUAUGUGGCAUGAUUGUUUUACCUUGCUAUUUUAUAGGGGUUAGUAGAGAUGAAAAGAUGGUUUGUUCGUUUUCCGACUAUUCUGCAAGGGUGUGAAAGCACAAUUGAGAUGCUUAGAGGACAAUAUGCUCAUUCUGUUGGUUGCUUCCAAGAGGCUGCUUUCCAUUUCAUUGAAGCUACUAAGGUCUGUAUUAUCAUUUUUAAUUUCUUGCUCCUAAAAUUUCUUCUUUUUUUUUUUUUUUUUUGUCGGUGCCACAAAUGAAAACUGAGAUCAUUGGCUGACCUUCUGCUCUAACUAGAAUAUGCUAGUGAUUUCAGCUGACCGAGAGCAAAUCGAUGCAAUCUAUGUGCCAAGUAUAUGCAGCUGUCUCUUACUUAUGUUUGGGUGAUGCAGAAUCUUCUUCAGAGGUGAAGUCAGUACUUGGGAUAAUAAAAAUAAAAAUAUAAAUAAACCCUUGUAAAGUUGUCUAUUUACACGUCCCUGCAAAAUCUGGAUUUGCAUAUAUGUACUUCAAUACUUAAUUCUUUUAUAAAUAGGUCCUUGCACUUAAAAAAAGGCCCUGUUAAAAAACUUUUUCGAUUACGAAGCUAAUUUCUUCCCAGAAUUGGGGGACAACCAAUUUAUAAAAAUAUUUUCUAAUGAAUAAAGUGCACUUUUGAGGGUUUACAAGGGUGUGUGUGUGUAUAUAUAUAUUCCAGCUACUAUGCUAUCAAUACCACCAAGUGCUUGGUGCUAUCUAGUUUUCCGCCGUUAGAUCUACCCUAUAUAUAUAUAUAUAUAUAUAUAUUCCAGCUACUAUGCUAUCAAUACCACCAAGUGCUCGGUGCUAUUUAGUUUUCCGCCGUUAGAUCUACCCUUUUGACUAUUUCCAUCCGUUUGAUCAUACUAUUCAACCAACCACCUAUUCAAUCCUAGGAGACCACUGUCAUCCUAACCGCUUAUCCCUUCAUCCAAGGGCCGAAAACCUAAUUGCACCAAUGACUUGGUGCUAUUAAUAGUAUAGUAGCCUAGUUCUAUAUAUAUAUAUAUAUAUAUAUAUAUAUAUAUAUAUAUAUGAUUUUAUGGAGAUAUAUAUGCAAAAGCUCCAGGAUACAAUUUAUAUUGAUUUCUGGUGGUUCUUUACCAAUCUCUGCUGUUCAUCAUCCAGCUUACAAGUACCUAUUGUCUGGGCAUUUAUGUCUUUGUAGGCGCUAGAUUUAAUUGGACCGGUUUACAGAGUCAUGGAUUCCUUUGUUGGAGUGCGAGAGAAGACAUGCAUCAUUUUUGUUUAUGGACUUCUAUUAAUGAGACAGCAUAAUUUGCAAGAAGCAAGGUAGGCAUCAGAUAGAUUUAGAUGUUCAUUAAGUCAUAUUUUCAUACAAAACUAAAAAUGAUUGUUUUACUAUAUUAACUUUGUUAUUCUUCACAACCCGAAAUAUAUCUGGUUAUAAUGUAUCUUAGUUAUAGUUGGACUUUGGUUGGUUAAACAAUGAAUAUAAUUCAUUUUAGUUUCUGUUUAGCCGUUUUAAGCAUAUUAUGCUACAACAUGAUGCAGGACUCGCCUUGCCAGUGGCUUGAAAAUAGCCUAUCAACAACUGGGUAAUAUUCAACUUGUUUCUCAGUACCUAACAAUUCUUGGAACACUAGCUCUUCAACUGCAUGACACUGGACAAGCUAGAGAGAUAUUAAAAUCAUCCUUGACAUUGGCAAAGACACUUUAUGACAUUCCAACUCAAAUUUGGGUUCUAUCAAUUCUUACAGGUUUGCCUUUUUCUCUGUAAGCCUUCUCUGGCUCAUCCUGGUUGCCAAGAAAGUUGAUAUUCUGCCUUUUCUUUUUCCCCUCUAGCUUUGUGAUUGUCAUUAUUGUAUGUAAUGGUUGUGAUUAUUUUUAUAUGUCUUCAACUGGCAGGUCAUUAUAUAUAUAUAUAGGGUCCGGCUACUAUACUAUUAUGAGGACGAUCGCUCUCGUACUCAUAAAUUGUUUUCGAUGAUAGAGCUUCCGAAUCGACGAUCCAUACCGUUAAACGUUAUUUACAGCAUUUAAAACUUCUAGAAAUCAAAUUUUAUAAUUUUUCGACAUCAUUUACCUUACAAUCAAGAGGUCACAAAUUUGACAAUUUUUAAUGGCCGGUAUGGGAUACUUGCUAAUUUAACGGUGUAAAAGAAUCGGAAUUUGUUGAAUUUUUGAUAGAAAAUUNAUAUAUAUAUAUAUAGCUCCUAGGCUCUCGAAAGUACAGAGGCCUCCGUGCUUGUAAGUUGUUUUUGAUGAUGGGGCAUCCGAUUCGGCGAUCAGCUCCGUUAAACAUGAUCUACAUUAUUGAAACUAUUUAGAAACCAAAUUUCAUAAUUUUUUAACUUCAUUUGCCUAGUGAACGACUAGGCUCAAAAUGAACGGCUGAAAAUAAAAAUCUCACAAAAAAUAGUGUUAAAAGACUCAAAUUUCAAAUCGGAAGUAUUGUCCUUACUCUUGAUUUUAACUAGAAUUUUCUAUUAAAGUUUCAUGUAAUUUAUAUUCUUCUGCACCGUUGAACUUUAAAAUGCACCACAUCGACCGUUAAAAUAGUCAUUUUUUAGACUUUUUGAUCACUUGGUAAAUGAUGUCAAAAAAUUAUGAAAUUUGGUUUCUAAAUAGUUCUAAUAGCGUAGAUCAUGCCUAACUGAACCGAUCGCCAAAUCGGAUGCUUCAUCAUCAAAAACAACUUAUAAACAUGGAAGGCUCCAUACUUUCGAAAGUAUAGGAGACAUACUAUAUAUAUAUAUAUAUAUAUAUAUAUAUAUAUAUAUGAAUUGAGCUCCUAUACUUUUAGAAGUAGCAAGUCAUUGAUGCUUGUAAGUUUUUAGCCCUUGGAUUAAUAGAUGUGCGGUUAGGAUGAUGUGGGCCCCCCUUGGGUUGAAUGGGUGGUUGGUUGAAUAGUAUAAUCUAACGGGCGAAAAUGAUCAAAGGCGUAGAUCUAACAGUAAAAAAUUCACAAGCACCAAAUGCUUGGUGCUUUUACAAGCACCAUAGCCGGACUCAUAUAUAUAUAUAUAUAUAUAUAUAGAGUUGUGCUCCUAUACUAUCAAUAGUAUAGGGACUCUUAUACUAUAGUGUUUUAAACCAUUAGAUCGGCUUUGAGAUUCGUGCACAGAUUUGAAGUUUUAAAUGAGAUGAGGAGGGAUGGAGCAACUUAACACCGUUAACAAAUUAAUAAAUAAAAUAGGAGAGAGAAUCCCAUUUCAUAAUUCAUACCACUCUCUCUCUCUCUCUCUCUCUCUCUCGAAAUCCCAACCUGAAACCUCUCUUUUUUCUUUCUCUCUCUCUCCACCCCAACAUCUCUCUCUCUCUUUCUUUCCCAUUUCUCCCAGAGGAACUCAUCUCCCACCAUCUCGAGCUCUCCCUCCCUCACCCCGCUCCUUCCCCCCGCCCCCACCUGCCGGCCCCACACGCCGGCGCAGCUCGUGGACGCUCCAACCCUAGACGCGUGCGACACUGCUCCGCAAAGCCCUCCAAACCCACCUGCGGACAUUGCCUGGACGCCGCGGCGACGUUGCUCCCCGACACCCUCCAAAUCCAAGGGCACCUCAUGCUCGAUAAAUAUGACUUGCAUAGUAACAACCACCUUCAAUUAUUAUGGAAUACUCGGCAUCAAUGGGCUCCUGUAUUUUUGAGGGACACUUUUUAAUACUCGGCAUCAAUGGGCUCCUGGAAUACUCGGCAUCAAUGUCAUAUUUCCUAUCAACCAUUUAAUAUAAAAAAAAAAGAGAGAGAGAGAUGUUGGGGUGGAGAGAGAGAGAAAGAGAAAGAGAGGUUUCAGGUUGGGAUUUCGAUCGAGAGAUAGAGAGAGAGAGAGAGAGAGAGAGAGAGUGGUAUGAAUUAUGAAAUGGGAUUCUCUCUCCUAUUUUAUUUAUUAAUUUGUUAACGGUGUUAAGUUGCUCCAUCCCUCAUCUCAUUUAAAACUUCAAAUCUGUGCACGAAUCUCAAAGCCGAUCCAAUGGUUUAAAACACUAUAGUAUAAGAGUCCCUAUACUAUUGAUAGUAUAGGAGCACAACUCUAUAUAUAUAUAUAUAUAGUCUGGUUGGGGUGCUUCUAAUAGCACCAAGCACUUGGUGCUACCGAGUUUUUGGUGGUUAGAUUUACCCCUUGGACCAUUUCUGUCCGUUAGAUCAUACAAUUCAACCAACGAUCCACUCAACCCUAGGGGACCACUAUCAUCCUAACCAAAUUUCCCUUCAUCCAAACUUAAUAACACCAAUGACUUGGUGCUAUUGGAACUACAAGGAUUUAAGUGCCAUGGCACGGGGUCGUGCUGUAAAUUUGCUGGCACGGUAUGACAUGGUGUGUGCCAGACAGUGCCGAUAUGUGCCGGUCACAAAAAGUACAUGUGUGCUGACAUAUAAUGGCAUGAAAUAUUUAUUUUCUUUUGCAACAAGAUACUCUAAUUGCUUAUUAUGUAUCUGUACUUUUGAAUUUUAUUAGGAAAAUUAUUGAUUAAUUUAAAGAAUAUAGAAUUUUAAAUUGUGCCAUCGGUAUGGGGCUAUAUUGUGCCGAUAUCUAAUGCACGAUACAAUAUGGUGGAUACGACCUGUCCCGAUGGGCGCAUAAAUCUUUGAUUGGAAGAUAUAUUAUAAGGUUUAAAGUACCAUGGUACGGGGGCGUGCCGCUGUUUGUUUGGCACGGUAUGGCACCAGCAUGCUUCCGUGCCGACACAUGGUAUGCUUGCGCACCGAUGGAUACACAUGACUAAGGAUUUAAGUGCCGUAGUAUGGGGUUGUGCCGGAAACUUGCCGGCAUGAUACGACAUGGUGGGUGCCGAACCAUACUGAUGUGUGCCGGUCAAAAAAAUAUAUUUGUCGACACGUAAUGGUAUGAAAUAUUUAUUUUCUUUAACAACAAAAUAUGAAAAUUAUUUAUUAUGUAUUUUUAUCAAAUCUUUUGCACUUUGUUGAGAAAAUUACUUACUAAUUAUAAGAAUAGAGGGUUUUGAGUUGUGCCAUCGGCACGGGAGCUGUAUUGUGCAGAUAUCUUGUUGGCAUAAUAUGGCACGGUAGAUACGGCUCGUGUCGAUGGACACUUUAAUCUUUGCGCAUGACCUUUUGCUGGCACGCUUUGGCACGGACUUAUUUUAGUUUUUUUGGUUCCAAUAAGCUCUUAUAAUAUUAUUUUAAAAGAUUUAAUCAAAUAAUUAUGAAUAUUUGCCUUGUAUAGCUUACUAUACUCAUCAAUUGAUAUAUUUGUAAGCUUUAUUGUAUGUAAAAUAUAACUAUAUCUGAUGCAGAAUAGAAAUUUUUACAGGUUAGAAUUUUUAAAAUGUAAAGACAUCUUCUUUUUUUUUCUUUCUUUUGACCAUAUUAGUUUUUCUUUUAUAAAAUACAAAAUUUUUUUUAAAAUAAUUUUAAAAAUUAUUUGAAAAAAAUUAUUUUAAAAAGUAUUUGAAUAAAAUAUUUUUUAAAUAAUUUUUUCAAAAAAUUAUUAGAUCUAUCAAAAAAAUUAAGUAAUAAAUUAUAUGACAAAUAAAUUAAAUAAAUUUAACUAUCAAUUGAUUUAAUUUAGCUUUUAAUUUUAUCAGUAUUUUCAAUCUUCUAAUGCAAAAAAAAAAUUUUAUAUUUGAUGUGCCUCAAAAUUUGUUUAUUGAGUUUGAUUUUGUUCCCCUAAUUCGUCAAAAGUUUUGCGGUGCGACAAAUUUUGAUAAAAUAAUUUGUGAAGAAAAAAUAAAUGUCUGUUGUGGAAGCGAAGGGCUCGGGCCGAUAGGCUACCAUACUAUUAAUAGUAGUGAAUCCUUGGUGCUAUUAGGUUUUCGGCUCUUGGAUGAAGAGAUGUGCGAAUAGGAUGAUAGUGGUUCCUUAGGGUUGAGUGGGUGGUUGGUUGAAUUGUAUGGUCUAACAGGUGGAAAUGGUCAAAGGGGUAGAUCUAACGGUGAAAAACUUGAUAGCACCAUGCGCUUGGUAUUAUCAAUAGUACAAUAGCCGGACUCUCUCUUUCUCUCUCUCUAUAUAUAAUCCAACUACUAUCCUUUUAGAAAGACGAAGGCUUUCGUUCUAUCAAGUCGUUUUAGAUGAUAGGGAUUUCGAAUUGAUGAUCGGAAGUUGAUCUAGAGUCUAGAAACCAAAUUUCAUAAAUUUUAAAAAUUAUUUACAUAGUGAUCUAUGAAGCACAAAUACUUCAAAUUUUAUGCCGUAUUUAGAUACAUAUCGGUUAUCGAUACUUGCUCGAAAUGUGUCCGAUACGGGAAUAAAGUAUCCGGCAUUUUUAAAAAAUAAAAAAAAUAUCGGAUACGGUUCGGAUACGUGGGACACCGGGGGGAUACAGCCAGGUUUUUUUUUGGUCUAAAAUGAUCGGAACUCAAAAUUUUUCGAGAAGCCCACAUUCGAACCCAUUGAAAAUAAGAAAAAGAGAGAGAAAAAUGUCAAUCACUUUUCAAUUUGUCAUUUCUUCUAUCUUUUUGCUUUUGAAUGAUUGAAGGCGCUCUCUCUCGUUCUAUCUCCACACAGUAUUAAGCUAUGGUUUAGUCCUUUACCAUUUCUUUUUUACUUUUUUUUCAUCUAAUUUGUCAACUAGCACUAAUCAACAAAGGCCAUAGAGAAUGAUUUUUUUUUCUUCUGUUAAAUUAAAUAGACUUAUAUGUUGAAUAGCUAAUUUUCUAGUUUGUGCGACUAAAUAUUUAUUGUUAUUAUUUAAUCAAGUUGGAUGACAGUUGGUUAAUACUUUUGAAUUAUUAUUACAUAUGAUUGAUUAUAUUUUUUUAUGAACAUACGUAGAACAAUUAUAUAAGUUAAUAUAUAUCAAAAUAUAUUUCUUAUUAUAAUCCUGAUAUCCUGAUUUAUCUUAAUAUAUCAUUACAUAUAAUCAACAUAUAUUUAAAUAUAUUUAAAAUAAUAUUUUAUUCAAGUAUACUCCGCGUAUUGUAUCCUAAAAGUUUUAGAAAUUGCCGUAUCACCGUAUCCGUAUCGUGUAGUAUUCGUAUCCCCGUAUUUGUAUCUGUGCAACAUAGGUAGUAAUUAAAGGUUCACAAAAUCGAUAGUUUUUGACGGCCUAUUUGAGCCAUGCUUGUUUAACGGUGUAGGGUAAUCUAAACUGCUUGAAUUUUUGAUAGAAAAUUCUUUAUAUUAUUUAGAUAACGUUUAAUAAUUUCAAUCAUGAUUUGAGAAAAUCCCACCUCUAUUUUAACAUGGUUAUUCCUUUUUGACCGUUCACUUUUCGACUUUUCGAUGGAUUUGAUAAUGAUUUUAAAAAAAAUUAUAUUACUCGGUUUCUAAAUAUUUCUACUAGUGUAGAUCAAUUUUAACGGUGCCGAUCAUUGAUUCGGAAUUCCAAUCAUCCAAAAUGACUUGAUAGGACAAAGGCUUUCUAUCCUCUUAUGAGGAUGGUAGCUGGACUCUCUCUUUCUCUCUCUCUCUCUCUCUCUCUCUCUCUAUAUAUAUAUAUAUAUAUAUACAUAGAACUAGGUUAUACUAUUAAUAGCAGCAAGCCAUUGGUGUUGUUAGGUUUUCGGCCCUUUGAUGGAGGGAUGUGUGGUUAGGAUGAUACUGGUCCCUUUAGGGUUGAGUGGGUGAUUGGUUGAAUAGUAUAAUAUAACGAGUGAAAAUGGUCAAUGGGGUAGAUCUAACGACGGAAAACUUGGUAGCGCCAGGUGCUUGGUGCUAUUGGUAGCACCUAUAUAUAUAUAUAGAGUUGAGCUAGAAUACUAUUGGUAGAAAACUGGGUCCAUUGCUACCAAUUUGUGUUCGAUAAUGGAGCUUCCGAAUCGACGAUCGACACCGUUGAACAUGACUUAAACCAUUAGAUGUAUCUAGAAAUCAAAUUUCAUAUUUUUUUUGAUAUUGUCCUCUUGUGCAUCAAGUGGAUACAAAAUGAAUGGCUAAAAAUAAAUAUCCUUCAAAAAGUGUUGAUAGGAUUCUUGUAAUAGAGAUCAAGAGUAUAGAUCAUGGAUUUAAGUGCCGUGCUACGGGGUCGUGCCGAAAAUUUGCCGGCGUGGUACGACACGGUAUAUGCCGGGCCGUGCCAAUGCGUGCCGGUCACAAAAAAUAUAUGUGCCGACACAUAAUGGCUUGAAAUAUUUAUUUUCUUUAGCAAUAAAAUAUUCUAACGGUUUAUUAUGCAUCUUUAUCAAAUCUUUUGAACUUUAUUGAGAAAAUUACUUACUAAUUUGAAAAAUAGAGGGUUUUGAGCUAUGCUAUUGGCACUGGGGCUGUAUCGUGUCGAUAUAUUGUUGGCACGAUAUGGCAUGAUAGAUACGGCCUGCGCCGAUGGGCACUUAUAUCCGUGGUAUAAAUUUUAUUUAAAAUAGUGUAACGAAUUUUCUAACCAAAACUCAAUUGAUUUAGUCUCUUUACAUCGUUAAACGAGCGAACACCAACUAUCAAAAUUACAAUUUUUGCAAUCCUUUGAUCAUUAGAUUAAUGAUGUCGAAAAGAUUUGAAAUUUAAUUUCUAAAUACUUCAAGUUGUAUAGAUCAUGUCCAAUGGUGUCGAUCGUCGAUGUGGAGUCUAAUUGAAAAAAAAUCGGUAGCAACAGAGCCCAUUUGCUAUUAAUAGUAUCCUCGCCCAACUCUCUCUCCCUUUGUCUCUCUCUCUCUCUAUAGUCCAGCGGAAUACUAUUGAUAGUAGAUGAAUAAUGUUUACUAUGAACUUUUUAGCUAUUGGAUCAAUAAUAGUACCUCCACCAAAUAGUAAACUCUAGGUAUCUAAGGGAUAAAAAGUAAAUAUCAAACAGUAUUUCUCUACUAUCAAUAGUAUUGUAGCCCCACUAUCAAUAGAGAGAGAGAGAGAGAGAGAGAGAGAGCAGGACUGUUGUGCUCUUAGGAGCACAGAGGCCUCCAUGCUCCUGAGCCGUUUUCGAUGAUGGAAUUUCUGAAUCGACAAUCAGCUCCAUUAGACUUGAUCUAGCGUAUUUGAAGUUUAUAGAAAAUAAUUUUUGCGGUUUUUUUAUAUCAUUUACCUAGUUUUUUUAUAUCAUUACCUAGUGAUCGAAAGGGUUCAAAAUCAAUAAUUUUUAAUGGUUGAUGUAUGCCGUUUUCAAGUAUAAUGGUGUAAAAGUAUUCAAAUCAAAUGAAAUUUUGUUACAAAAUUCUUUAUACUAUCUACAACAAGAUCAAUAUUAUAUAACGGCGUCAAUUCAGAAAUUCCACCAUCGAAAAUGGCUUAGGAGCACGGAGGCCUUCGUGCUCCUAAGAGUGUAGCAGCCCUGCUCUCUCUCUCUCUCUCUCUCUCUCUCUCUCAUAUAUAUUAUAUGUCCUGUGAAAUGGACACUGAUUUUCUCUACUACUUUCACGAAUAUAAAUUUUCUUAUAUAACCCUUCAUAACUUAGUAUAUAGAUGGGUCCUUUUUACUUGUGAAAGUUCACACUCUUAAAAAAGCUUUUUGUUAAAAAAAAAAAAACUAACUAAACCCAUGAAUUGGAUUAUUUCCGCACGAAAUAUAGGGCAUAUAUAUAUAUAUAUAUAUAUAUAUAUAUAUGUAUGUAUAUGUAUCCCUGUUAAAUGAACACUUUGGUUUUUCUUUACUAGUUUCAUGAAUGUAAAUGUUCCUAUAGACCCUGCAUAACUUACAUAUGCCCUUUUUACUUGCCAAAGUUUUUGUUUCUAAAAAGCUUUUUGUAUUUUUUUUUUUCUUUUUUAAACACUAGCUUAACACAUGAAUUAGAUUAUUUUGCAACUUUAGGGCAUUUUUUAAGGAAUUGCACUUUGCCUGGUUAUGUACACAAUUCAUACUUGAGAGGAGCAAGUAUGUAACUAUAUGAUGUUGCAGCUACGUAUAUUCCCGAGCCCCAGUCUUCAGUUUUCUGUUGUUAUGAAGCUUCUUGGAUGAGAAACUGAGCAUGAAUUAUUUGGUGCAUGUUAGUAAGCAGCUUACUGUUUUUUCAGGAUUGUAUCGAGAGUUGGGAGAAAGGGGAAAUGAAAUAGAGAACUCGGAGUACGAGCAGAAAAAGGAAGAUGAUUUACAGAGGAGACUCGCAGAAGCUCACUCGUCCAGUCAUCAUCUUGCGCUGGUACGUGAGAGAAAAGAUGUUCUCAUUUUAUAAAUGUUUAUUUCGGGUUAAAUAAUGGUUCUUGCAUCAAAAUGUCAUCUUCUUAAUCUUAAUCUAGGUGUUGGAGCACUACCGAUAUAACCUCGGAAAUGGCAAAAUCCUAAUUCAUGCUAUUAUUAUCCUGAAUAAUAACGUAGAAGUUGUUAUUUCUCUAGAAUAUAUGCACGUUGAGAAGAACCAUUUCAGAUAACCAUGAGCACAUGAGCCUAAGCUGCUGGCAUUUUGCAGGCGCCCGUUUUACUCGCAGGUUGGUGCCAGGUUCGCUGGUGGUUGGUAAACAUGUCAGUUCUUUCUUUGAGGCUUAGUUGUUACUAUGCUUUUUUGAACCCCAUUGUCCAGAAAGGUUUUGGAAGGUUACCCUGCAGCUGAUGUAUCAUUUUACAAGAUAAGACAUCGGCUGAAAACUGGGAUAAAGCUCUUUCAUAUUUGGCAUUUACCAUUGUUGAUUGUUGCGCAUUGUUUUGAUAGAGAGAAUUAGUCGUAGGAGAAGCCAGCCAUAUACUGUUCAGUUAGAAUAGAUUUUCGACAUUUUGUUGGUAGUCGCUACGUGACCGUGAUAGGACCAAGUGACAUUUGAAUAUCUUUUGAAGAAUAUUGAUUGCCACUUACUGUUCAGUAAAGAAUAUUGAUUGCCAAUAAAAGAUUUUUAGUUUCUAGAUAUUUGAAAUAGUUUCCACCAUAUCUAGCAAUACGAAUCAUCAAUAAAGAUGCAGGCGUGCGCACAUGUACACAAACACUUGUACACACACACAAACACACACACACACACACACACACACACAUAUAUAUAUAUAUAUAUAUAUAUAUAUAUAUAUAUAUAUAUAUAUAUAUAUAUAUAUAUAUAUAUAUAUAUANUUAGUAUAUAGAUGGGUCCUUUUUACUUGUGAAAGUUCACCUCUUAAAAAGCUUUUCUUGUUAAAAAAAAAAAAAACUAACUAAACCCAUGAAUUGGAUUAUUCUCCAACUGAAUAUAGGGCAUAUAUAUAUAUAUAUAUAUAUAUAUAUAAAUGCAUUUAUGUAUAUGUGGGCCAACAAAGUGUUACGCGUUUUAUAAACAUCUAGAUCUUUCCCCAAAAGAACACUUCUGCUAUGAUACCCUCCUGUAUCAGUCAUUCUAGUGUAGAAGGCAGAUUGCUUUUGUUAAUGAUUUCAUCUCUUGAAAGUUGGAAAUUGAAAUGCAGAUAGAGAAGGCGAGGUUCAAAGCUCAGCCGCUGCACGAAGUUGCCAUGAAGCGAGCGAUCGCGGGCCCCUCCACGAAGGUUGAUCUCGACAUCCCAGAAUCCGUCGGCCUCCCCGCUCCUCAACCAGUGGCUUCAGCUUCAAGGUUACGCGACAUGGAUUCAGUAAGGCGUGGUAAAAGGAAAAUAUAGGAAGAACGCUUUUUGAGGAUCUUACUAUAACGUGAAAAAAAACAAAUUGGCGAUCCGAACUAUUUAAUUUCGAUCGGUGAUACUCCAGUUUGCUGCCGAAGUUAUUUGCCUCGAGAAGCGUCGGCGCAUUAAUCGUAUCUUUUGUAUAGUGAAGAAGAGCUUUGAUUCAUUAACUGUUAUGAUGCAUUGUAUAUUUAGCAGAGAAAAUAGUUUUGGUUGUUGCCACCAUCUGUGAAUUUUUCUCUCUUUUCUCUGGGUAAAAGCAUACGGGGAAACCUUAAAAUAUAGGGGUUUUUUUGCUUUCAGGCUCCUCAAAAAAAAAAGAAAAAAAAAAGAAAAAGAGAUUCACAACUAAUCUUAUAAAAUUUAUAUUUGCAAGAUUGGUACUAUCUCCGUCGUGCAAGCGUCACGUUAGUGUGGACGGCAGCUUAGGGUUUAAGUUGAACAUGAUGAGCCAUUCAUCGUGUUUGGCACUCCUUUCAUGCCCUGGCUUCCCGCCAGGAGUGCCGCAGCAGCUGUUGCCAUCGAGGCAGUGUGUCUCUGAGUUCUCGACCUCGUCAGCACCUUCACCUCCGAGGUCCGUAUGGCAGCAUGCCUUGGCCUUCUCGGCCCUGGCCUCACCUUUGUUGGAAGGAACUCCUUCGAGAUCAUCGCUUUUGCGUUUGCAUUCCAAAUUCGUGAUGGUGGCAGUGGGUGUGAUGCCUCACGUUCCAAGAGGGUCAUUCAUUAUAGAACUACUCUUAACUUUCCAACAGGGUCACUUGCGAGGUUAGAAACAGCGUAAUCUUUAGAAAGACCCUGUUCGAUCCCCCGUCUGUGGUCUAUAAGAUUAAGCGUUGGGCGAACCUCUGGAAACAAUCUCUUUUCGAAAAUCGCCGCUCUUGUAAUUACUAGUUUUCUCUCUCUCUCUCUCUCUCUUUUUUUUGUUUUCAGGUGGUACGUCCGAACUGAGGCCUUCGCUGCCUUACCUCGUUUUACCUAAUUCAUCUUUCGAUGAAUGAAGUGGGUAGCAUGCUACAUUUUCCUCAAAAAAAAAAAAAACCCCUCUCAGCCUCUUGGAUUUAGCGACCGCCUAAAAUGCUAUAACUAGGAUAAAAAAUUUAAUCCUAUUAUACCUUAUAUAUAAGAUUAUUUCAAAUUUGGAGUGUCACAUUCUUCUUCCCUUUAAGCUCUAACGUUCUUGUUAGGCUCAAAUACACUCAUAAGUAUUAUGCAAUAUGAGACUCAUCUCAUUAGUCUUAGUCAAUCUUUUGGGGCGCCGCACUCUACCCACAACGACCAUUAAUCAAGGAGUCAUACCAUACUUGCUGUAUGACCCUAGUUAAAUCAGGACUCAUUUUACACUUUUAGUUGAUGAUUGACUCUGGUACCAACUAUAAUGCUCUACUUUUCAAGUGUGUCAUUUAUCCUAGAACUACUCUAGCCCUAGUAUGAUUAACUCUCUUAAACCUUAGGUUUAGCCACUACCCAAGUUGCUAUAGUUGGGUUAAGAGGUUUAGCCCUAUUAUACCUUCGUUUCUCAAGGGGGACACCUAUUCUAAAAUUAUUCUAGUUCUAACACGCUUAACCUUUUUAAUCUUUUGGACUUAGUUAGCGUCCAAAAUAGUAUAGCUAAAAGUUUUAUCCUCGUCGGUCUUAAGCACACUCACAAGCAACAGGCAAUGUAAGACUCGUCUCGCUAGUCUUAGUUAACUUUAUAGAGAGUUGCGCUCCACUUGCAAUGAUCAUCAAUUAGUGAGUUACGUUCUGCUUUCUGUAUGACACUAGCUCAUGUGAGACUUAUCUCAGAGUGUCUCAUUUGAGACUCAUCUCAUACUUCUCUGGCUAGCGAUUUGAUAUUAACUGUGACGCCCCACUUCUCAAUGGGUCAUCUAUUCAAUAACUACUUUGGUCUUGUAACACCUAACCCUUUUAAACUUUUAGAUUUAGCCACCAUCCAAAAUAUCUUAGCUAGAUACCUAUGAUAUAUUAUAUAUAGGACUAUUUCAAAUCUCGGGGCUAUCACAAUGGUGGAGAAGGAGGAGGAGGUCGGAAAGGAAGGGGUAGGGGUGGAAAGCUAGAAUGAGGAAGGAGAGCAAGGGAAUGAUGACGAUGUCAGCGACGAUGGCGUCAUGAUGAAGGAGACGAAGGACGUGAGAGAGAGAAAAAGGAGAGAGAAAAGAGAGGCUCUUUAGACAAAUUUCUAAAUAACUGGCUUGAAUCUGCAGAAUAAAAAAAGAUAAAUCAAUUUUGUCAAAGUGCAAAACUUGGUGGUUUUUUUUUUUUUGUGAAAAUAGACUUUUUAUUAAAUUUUAUAAUUUUGUUUUUUUUUGAAUAAAUAAAAUAAAAGUAAUUGGUAACUAAUCAUUAAUAGAUAAUAAAGUUAUUAAAUUAAAAAAAUCCUUCACCAACUACAAAAAAAAUUACGACAAUGCUACCUAUACACUCCGAAAAGGGUGUAAAUCUUGCACUCAUCCGUGGGCUUUUUUUUUUUUUUCGUUUUUUUAAUUUUGUGUAAAAUUAAAAUUUCAAAGAGAUUUAAGAAUUUUAGAAUUUGGGGUGUAAGAGAAGGCUUGUUUGGCGUAACUUUUGAAAAAGUGAUUCUCUUUUAGAAAAAUUAUUUUUAGUUAAAAACUGUAGGGCAUUUGAUUGAGUCUAACACGAAAGUAAUUUUGUGAAACUAUUUAACAAUUUUUCUAAAAUAAUUUUAUACAAUUAAAAAAAAUUUAAAAUUUAAAAUUAAAAAUAAAAAUUAAAAAUUAAAAAUUUAUUAUUACAAAGUUUUAAAAAUUAAAAUUUAUCUUAAAUUUAAAAGUUAAAAUUUUAAGAUUUUAAAUUUAUCACUUUUUGAAUUUAAAAUAAAACCAGAAUCUAAAAUUAAAAUUUUAGUUUGAAAUUUGAAUCCAAAAUUAGAAUCAAAUUUUAAAAAGCAGAUUUUAACUGGUUUUGAUCUUGGACUUUCUAAAAUAAGAAACUAAAAAUCAUAACCAAUCUUUACAAAAAAAAAAAAUUUACCAAAUGCUCUAUUAAAAGAAUUAUUUAACCUUAUAAAAUUACUUUCAAAGGGUUAGGCCAAACACUGAUGUAAUUUUUUUUAGAUGUAUAACUAAUAUUUUUUUUUUAAAAUCUGUUAUAGAUGAGUGGGUCUCCGUACAUUUGUUUUUGGCCUUUUUUUUGGUGUCUUUCCAUUAAAGAAAAUAAAAAUUCUAAACACCGAAGUUUUGAAUGCUUUCUUUCUCUCAUAAAACUUUAGUAAAAAGCUUUCUGACGACAUCUCAAAUAGCCUCAAUCUAAUGUCGUCAUAUCAAUUUUUCUCUCAUCUAAAACUUUAUUAAAUUUCUCUUAAUACUAAGAUUAAUAUUUUUUUUAAUUUAAAAAAUAUAAAGUUUGAGUAGAAAUAUAAACUGUUAUGUUACAACAAAUGGAAGACAUCUCAAGGAAACUUUAGAAGCUCCCACUGAAGCUUUCUUAUUUUUAUUUUUAUUUUUAUUUUUUAUUUUCUCUCUCUCUCUCUCUCUUUCUCUCUCUCUCUUUUUGUAGUCUGUACCUCCAACAACCAAUUCCUUAUUCUUCUGCCCCCCACCCUUACCCCCUUGAGAGACAUUUAUUCCCUUUUUGGAAAAGAGCCAUUCCCCCCCUUCUAUCUUUUUUCUUUUUUUUAAGUGGUUUCCUUUCCUGCAACAAAGGACACACAAUAGUAGACAGAUAAAAGAAAACAACAAAAGAGAGAAAAAAAGAACAACAAGAGAGAGAGAGAGAGAGAGAGAGAGAGAGAGAGAGAGAGGGAUGGGUGAAGAAGGAGAGAGCAAGAGUGUGACCCUGGAGGACCUGAGGAAGAAGAUGGCUGAGUUUGCAAGGGAGAGGGACUGGGAGCAGUUCCAUAGCCCUAGAAACCUCCUCCUUGCCCUGGUACUAUUGCUUUCACAGUUUUACUCCCCCCCCUCCAAAACCCUAGAAACCCUUGUCUCUUCUCCUCCCUCUUUCCACACCAUUUUUUGUGAUCUAACUGGGUUUAGGGUUUAGGGUUUAGGGUUAAAAGAUGUUUUCACCUACCAUCUUUAACUUUUGGGUUGGGUUCAAGUUCAUUUAUAUUAUAUAAUAUUAGAGCUAUAGGUUUAGAACUAGUCUAGUGACCUUGUGCUAGAAAAAGAAUUCUAACCACAUGUAACAAAAAAAAAUCUGACUAACAUAUAAUGUGCAAAGAAGAUAUUUUCACCCAUCAUCUUAAAUUUUUGGGUUGGAUUUGAGUUCAUAAUAGUAGAGCUUGUUUUUUUGGCUUUUAUUUCUGACGAUAGCCGAAAAUCUACGAGCACCAAUAAUUCGGUAAUUUCAAUUCUAUUUUCACCUGUUUAUGAUCUUUAAACUUUCUUUUGUGUUGGGUUCGAGUUCUUGUAUAUAUAAUAUUAGAGCUUGAUUCAACCUGACCAGUACGUAAAGUUGUUCGUGCCACGUGCUAGCUAACGGCAAAUCCGACAUGGGUGUGUAUGGUGUGCAUUGUGUUUAAGCAAAACCAAUUAAGCAGUCUGGGAUUCUUGUUCCCUCUCUUUGAUCAAGUUGUCUCCUUGAUGCAUUUCUUUGCACUUGUUUUUAGGGUGGAGAAAAAGGCAUGGGGUUUAUGCCUGUCCCCUUUUUUUGGCCAUAAAGCCCCCAGCUUUUACUUUUAUUGUACUGGUUGUGUUGGGGGACUACAUGUUACCUUUUGUGGUCCACUUGAAACACACCCAAAAAAGCUAAAUGCUACAAGGGUUUCAUUUCUCUUUCCUGGUUAAUCUUUCCAGUGGGUCAUUUUAAUCCUUUUUAUUUUUCUUUUCCUUCUUUGGCUGAAGUACCAUUUAUCCAUGGAUUUGUGGCAUCUUGCAUAGGCUCAAUUUUUUUUUAACAAAAAAAAGAACCAUUUUUCUCUUCUGAAUGAUAUAAUAAUCGCAUCUGUAGAAUUUUGCAAAAUGAUCGAUCGAGUGUAAAAUGUACAUAUUACUAGCUAGUGUCAAUCUUUUCAAGGAGUUCAACUAUGGUCCUCUUAUGAGCGAGGACUUAAGUGUCCAUUGGCAUGGGAUGUAUCCACUGUAACGUAUCGUAUCAACAAGAUAUUGACAUGUGUCGAUGACAUAGCUCAAAACCGUCUAUUUUUUUAAAUUAGUAUGUAAUUUUCUCAAUAAAAUUCAAAAGAUUUGAUAAGGAAACAUAAUAAGCAAUUAGAAUAUUUUGUUGCUAAAGAAAAUAAGUAUUUCAUGCCAUUAUGUGUUGGUACACAUGUAUUUUUUAUGAUCUGCGCGCAUCGGCGCGACCUGGCAUGCACCGAGCCGUACCGUGCUGAUAAGUUUUCGGCAUAAUCACGUACCACGGCACUUAAAUCCUUGCUUAUGAUGAUGUGAAUAGUUCAUACCAUAGAUUUUUUCUUUUAGCCCUCGAAUGCCUAGUAUGUGCUAUUCACGUCGUCAUAAGAGCAUAGCAGUUGCACUACUUUCCGAGCGUAAUUAUUAUAUCAUCCAGGAGAGUAAAUUACAUAAUAUAUUUUGUUAGCUUAGCGGUUAUGCACAGAGCGAGAAAUAUCGAUGAGUUGAGUAAGCUGCUUUGCGGUGUGUACGCAGGUGGGAGAGGUUGGGGAGCUCUCAGAGAUCUUUCAGUGGAGAGGGGAGGUCCCAAAAGGGCUUCCAGGGUGGGGGGAGGAGGAGAAGGAGCACCUGGGGGAAGAACUUUCUGAUGUGCUGCUCUACCUUGUGAGACUGUCUGACAUAUGUGGGAUUGAUCUGGGAAAGGCUGCUCUCAGGAAAAUGGAGCUCAAUGCUCUCAAGUACCCAGUUAACCAGUGCAAGGGCUCUUCUAGGAAACACACCCACUACUCCUCCUCUACUAUUCCCAUCUCCACCAACAUUACUGCUCCCACUCACUGUGAGUGUGAGGAAUCCAACAAAUAGUCCCCAUGAGAGCCUCUGAACCUAUAGUAUUGAUACAUAUUAUUAAUAUGCUCUUGAAUCUAUUCCUAGUAAUCCUCCUUUUGGUAAGUUUUUGUGGGGGCAUAGGAUAGAAAAGAAAAAGUAGCAAGUUUCUUGGUGGGUUUCCCCCUUUUUGCUGCUGCAUGGGCACCAUCUUGGGUGGUACUGAUGUUAAUGCAGGACAAAUGUUUAAUAGAAUGUCUUUCUUUUGUUUUUGUUUUUUUGGAUUCUCCUCCCUUCAUGAGCUGCCUUAAUUUCUGUGCAUUUCAUGCAAGUUUGGUUUGAAGGAAAGUCUCGUGCGUACGUACGAUUUCGUGUUAGUCUCUAGCAGGUCUGGUUCUCUGGCUUCUGUUGUUUGUUUCAAUGGGAUUCUGAGCUGGUAAGAGUGAAGUACGUUGAUUGUCUGAUGGAGAAUAAUAGUUUGUUAUUCUUUGUUGAAGCUGCGUAGUAGAGGAAGAUGAUUUAUGGUAAGACGCGGAAACAUGGAAGUUCUCUACUUUUUAUGUUAUGAAACUAAUUUUCCCCUUCACUUGCACUAAACCAAACUUUAGUGUUGCGAGUCUUUUAGGGUAUAUACUCUACACCAAUUGCACUGUUAAUUGGAAGAGAUUCUAUCAUGAACACACAACAGCCAUAAGUUUCAGGUGGUCCCUUUUGGUGCUUUAUAUAUUUGAAUCAGUCUCGUUGGAAUCUUAUUGAAAUUUAAUUUUGCAAUUAUUCUAUGCUACUGCCUAAGUGUUGUGGGGACCCAUGUAUACUUUUGGUUUCUUCAUGACAUGAGAUUUGCAGGUCCCCACAGAGAAGUUGAGCUUGACAUGACUCUUUCUAUGGAUGCAGGUACCAUCUAAUUACUUUGCAUAUGCUAUGGUUGUAAAGGUUCCACAUAUCCUUCACCUUGGUUUAGAUUUUCACAUUAGAUACUUUUCCUCAUCGAAAACCAAAUUUAAUUACACUGGUUUGAACUUCUGAUCCUACCUUAGUAUCGUUUAUUUUUAUAGCGAUCAUUAUCUACGUGUCUCUUUUUUUUUUUUUUUUUUUUUUUUUCCAAAUAGUGGUACUCUUUUGUUAAGCAAAUCUCUUGUUGUUUGGUUGCAUCGUCAUCACGAAACGACAGAAUCUCAGUUUGUCUUUGUUAUCAAUGCGACUUCUUAGUUUUCUUAAAUGUUUUUGCGGCGUUUACAAUGUUUAAUUCAGAUAUAUUUGGGCCAUUUUAUGGCUCCUCUUUAUUGUUGGCACAGAGAACUUAAUUAUUCUCUGAUUAAAUACUAUUACACAGAUAUAAUAUUAUUUAUCUCUUAUUUUCGAUUGGUAUAGUGUUGUUCAGUUAAUCUUGUACAGGAAAUGCCUGUAACUUGAGAUUGAAACAAUCCACUUCAUGUUGUCAUUUGACUUGAUCGAUGCUCAUAUUUUUGUAAUUAAAGUCUACAUUGAAUGGUGUAUCAUCUCAGGUGAAUUCUAUUGAUAAUACUAUUUGCUACCCGAGAAGAGGACGAUAUUCGAGGAAUAUCCCAACUAACAUGAAAGAUUUUAUUCAUAUUGUUGGAAUUAGAGGACAACGGAAACUUACCAGCCUGACUGCGCUCGAGUAUGUGAAGGACCCCAAUUAAGUACUAUGGCAAGAUCAAGCAUACAGACAUUCCUUUUCACUAUAUUCGAGAGAUAAUCAGAUUAGGCGAGGUCACUCUUAGAUAUAUCUCCACUACUAGAAUGCUGGUCGGCAUUUUAUGUGGAUUGGGUUGAAUUUGAACCGGCCAAUAUGAAUACACGACAUGGCAACACAUUUCUUGUAUUAUUAUAUUUCAUAAAUAGGAGUGCUAGAAUGCACCAGAUUAAAUGAAAUCUUUCUAACUUAAUUUUUGCAUUUUAGGAAGGUAAAGCAUGUUAAUGACAUGACAAUGUAUGUGAAGCUGCAUUUGUUAAAGCACCAAUUUGCAUUUGUUGCAUUAUUUGGAUUAAUUAGUUACUUCAGCAUCUACAUCUAAGUUUUCACAGCUUCAAUAGUAUAUUAUCCAAUGUAUGAAAUGAUUACUGCAUCUCAGUUUUUCCAUUGUUCUUGGAUCAAUUAAAGCCUAUUUUGAUCAAAUAUCCAAAUACAAGGCUAGUAACUUUCGGCCGAAGCUUUUCUAAAAGUGUUGUUUCAGUGAAAUUACCGAAGAAAAAUGUUCAUUAAAUUUAGACAUCGCAUCCGUCUUGUCAUUUUUUAAAAAAUUAACGUGAUAAUUGAAUUUUAGUGGUGCUGAGAAAUCGUUAUGUUAUAUGUAGAAGCUAGAUAAUAUGGCAGCUGAAUCAAUUAUCACAUUCUUGUGUCAAGGAGUAAUUCGAGGAGUAAUUCGAUUGAAGCGGAAAUUGAAGUUCAGUAAUUUUGUAACAAUCUUUUGGGAGGGUAAUUUUAUGAGCAACCUGAAAUAAAUGUACCACUGAAGGUAGGUAGGUACCUGCUGACAGCAGGGUAAUUGGGUACUUGUGGGAAUUCAAUGGCGGGUAGAGAGUAUGCAGUUGGAAUUAGUUUUCUUGGUUGGGUCAGCAUUGAAAGGAGUAAGGUACAUUGAAUGGUACACUCAGAGAGGCAAGUUUGUGUGUUGGUGGGUGAAUCCAAUUUUUUUUUUUGUUUUUGUUUUUGUUUUUUGUUUUUGUUUUUUGUUUAACAGUAUUUUGCAGUACAUGACUCUCUGUCCAGCUCUGCAGCCAUGUUUAGUACGACUGACGGGAGCUUUCUACACAAUAAUCAUCUAAAAUUUUAUUAUGUACGAAAUAAUUCUAUUAAAUUUAUAUUUAAUAAAUUAACUCUCAAAAUGCGAUGAGUUAUUCACCGCAUUCUGAAAGUCUCUAAGAUCUUUUAAAGACAGUGAAUCAUUCACCUUCUUUUUCAUAAUUUUUUAAAAAAGAGAAAAAAAUAAGGUUGUUAAAAUUGUACGUAGAUUAUAGGAAAAAAAAGAGGUUGUUAGGAUUGUGUGUAGAAUAUUAAAAUUUUUGUUUGAUUGUUAGAAUCGAAUAGAUAGAUUAUUAAAAUUUUUUAGAUUAUUAGAAGGGUUAAUUUUAUACAGGUCCCCACAAACAUAGUGAAUAGUAGAUAUAUUUCUGCAAAGUUCAACUUUUAUAAGUUAUUCCUGUAAAAGUCCUAAUGUAUGCAGAUAUGUCCCUGCCAUUAAUAUCCGUUAGAGAAAUCUAAUGUCCCUGCCAUUAAUAUCCGUUAGAGAAAUCUAAUUAACCACAACUAAAAUACUUAACCAUGAUCAGUUAAUAAGGUAAAAUGACAUUUUUUCCCUUCUGCCUCUUCCGCUUCCUCUUCUUCCUCUUCUUCCUCUUCUUCAUCUUCUUCUUCUUCCUCUUCUUCUUUUUCUUCAUCUUCCUCUCUUGCUUCUUCUUCUUCCUCUUCUUCUUCGUAUCCUCAUUUUCCUCUUCCUUUUCUUCUCCUUCUUCUUCUUCUUCGUCAUCGUCAUUGAUGAUUCGAUCGUUGUCCCCGUCAUGGUGCCCGCGUGGGCCGUCGUCAUGGGCGUCUCCAACGGCAUCGGCCGCGCCUUCGCCUUCUGCCUCUUCCUAGUCCUCAUUGGCCGUAACCCCGACAAGUUCCGCAAGGUCGCCGUCGCUGCCGCCGCCAUCUGCUCCCACAGCCUGAAGAGGAAGAGGAAGGGAAGAGGGUAAGGGCAAAAUUAUAAUUUCACAACUCUACUGUUAAAAAAUUAACAAUUCUCUAACGAAUACUAACUAGAGGGACAUAUCUGCAUACAUUAGGACUUUUAUAGGGAUAAUUUAUGAAAGUUGAACUUUGCAGAGAUAUAUUUAUUAUUCACCAUGUUUGUGGGGGCCUGUAUGAAAUUAACCCUUAUUUAUAUGAAUAUAUUAUUUGGAUUUUCAAAUUGUUAAGAUUAUAUGUGAUGUUUGAUUAUUACGAUUGUAUGGAUAGAUUAUUAAGAUCUUUUUUAUUGUUAGGAUUGUAUUGAUAGAUUAUUAGAAUUUUCAGAUUGUUAAGAUUAUAUGUCAUUUGUUAAAAUAUUUAUAUAGUUGUUAGGAUUGUAGAAAGAAACAAUAAACAAAUGAAAGGCGGUGAAUGAUUCACCGUUUUUCUGAGAAAUUAGAAUCUUUAUAAAAGGAGUGAAUAAUUCACUGUCUUUAAGAGAUUAAUUUUUUAAAUAUAGUUUUGACAAGAUUAUUUUGCGUUUAAAAGGUUAUUUUAUAAAAAAGUUCCCACACUACCGCUUUGUUUGGUAUUGUGGCGGCUAAAAACAACUGCGUUUAUAUUCUAUCCUCCAAUGUUAUAAAAUUGCAACCAAAACUAUUGAUGCUAGGAAUGUCAACGGAUCGGAUUCGGGAUGAAUUUUUUAAAAUUUGAAUAUGAAUCCGACUAUCAAACUCGAAAUUCGAAACCGAACCUAAAUCCGGUUGAUUUUAAAAUUUCAUAUCCAAAUCCGAAUCCGACCAAAAAUUUGAAAACCGAACUUGAACAGGCAAACCCAAAUCCGAAACUAUUAUUGGUUAAAAUUCAUAUCCAAAUUCAAAUCUUUCAGAUUUUUGCUUUUGAUAUUUAUAUUCGAAAUUAUAUCCAGAAGCAUGUGACUAACCAUUUUAUGCGAGACAACUCUCGACUUCUAAUUUUUUUUUCCUUCAAUUUAGGAUAAUAGUUUAUUAAAAAUGUUUGUUUAAUUUCAUGAUUCAAUUAGCUAUUAGUAGUUAAGUAAUCUAGUCCUAUUUACUACAAGUAGUUGAAAUUAUUAUAUUCGAUAAAUUUAUCAGUGAAUUUGGUAAACUUUUCUAUUUAUUUGGCUAAAACCACUCAAUUUUUUUUAAAAAAUAAUAAAUUUGAAGGGAUCUCAAUUGAAAAAAUUGCAGUUCACGGGCCAUUUCAUAAUAAAAUAUAGUUGAGGGGUCUCCAAAACAAAAUAAUAAUAAUAUAUAAUAAAAAUAGAGAGACUUUUAUGUGCAUUUAGGUCUUUCAUUAGAGCCUUUAUAAAGUAGCAAAGUGGGUUUAGUUUAUGUUUGUGCUUAGUUAUUCGAAGGUAAAAUUCUGUAGAGACCCCUCAACUAUACGGCAUUCUAUAAUAGACACCUCCACUUUAUUAUUAUUAUUUUUUGAUAAAUACCUCUUCAACUUCUAUUUUUUUUAUUUUUUAGAAUUAAGUUGUUUUAGUCAAACAUUAGAUUUGGGGAUUUAUCAAAUUCACUUCUUUUAGCAACUAAACUAGAUCAAUUAAUGGUUAAAGUUUUUAACUUAACUAGGUAUAGAAACUCAAAUGGUCCUCAAACUUUGAUUCAUGUGAUAAUUUGGUCCUCAAACUUUAAUAUGGUGCAGUGAUUAGCUUAAACUUUCUAAAUUAUUGGAAUUAACUCCUAGUGUCCAAUUUAAUUAACUAAACACUGAUAUCGCAGUAAUAUGAUAUCUUAGAAAUAGCCACGUUAUCGAUUAUGUCACUAUUAUAUUAGCGAUACAUCAUUAUAACCACGCUAUGUAUUGAUUCAUUGCUUGCAUACGUGGUGGAUAUUAGGUGAAUUAAUUAAUUAUGCCACGUGCAUUGACUAGAGAGUCAGAAACUCUUGGAAGAAAGAGAGGUUAGGAUUGACUCUGAUACCAUGUUACUCAAAAAAUUAAGAGAAAACUUCAAAUACCACAUCUGUGGUUUUGCACUUUUUUAUUUUAGUACCUUAUGGUUUAAAGUGUAUCAAUUUAGUAUCCGUGAUUUCAUUUUUUUUUAAUUAUCCCUUUCACUAUUUUUUUUUUUUAAAUCAGUGAAAAAUUAAAACUAAAAGAUAUUAAAGUGAAUAUUCGAUAAACCUAGAUAGGGUAUCUGAAGUUUUUUAUAUAUAGUUUAACAAAAUGUUAACGGAGGAGUUGACGGAAAAAAAAAAGAAGAAGAAACCACAGAGUACUAAAGUAAGAAAGUACGAAGCGACUAGGGUGAUAUUUGAAGUUUACCCGAAAAUUAAUCUUAUAGAAAAUGACCUAGUAUAUAUUAAUCUUUACAAUAAAUAAUAUCGUAUCAGACUAAGAAAAGAAAAAAAUAUAUCGCACUAGUCUGCAGCUUUUAAAAGUGAUGUUUGAGCAGAGCCAUCUGAAAUAGGUCUACGAAGGCAUCCAAAUAUUUGCGGAAUCUUUAUCAAUAAUUUAUGAUGUAGAGAUUUUUUAUUUUUUAUUUUUAUUUUUGUUUUUAAUUUUUAUUUUAUUUUUUUUUUUCUGAUGAAGGUGAGGAGCCUGUAGGCAUUCAAUAAAGCUGAUGUGCCUGCAGGCAAUAAUUUCUAGACCAACCCAACUCUAAAGUGAAAGCUGAAGUCCCUAAUUGCAAACAGCUCCUUAUAGACUCGUCAAAUUAUGAAUAUAUCCCUUCAUAAUUUAAGUGAUGAAAUAUGCCCCUCCAAAAUUUAAGACUGUUUCAUGAAUAUCCCUAUCGUUAGAUUCAGUUAGUAAGGUUAGUAAAGUUUGUUUUUGCCAUGAGUAAAGUAGAACCAAACAACUUAACCAUUAAUUGAUUGGUACGUAAAAAUAACUUUUUUACCCUCUCCAGAGCCCAUCUCUUAUGUUUAAAUAAGUCAAUUGCAUAUGGAUCCCUGUAAACACAUCAAAUCCUGUAUAUAUCUAUCAAAUUUAUCCCUUCAAAGAGUAAAUUAUCAAAUUUGUCCCUUCAAAAUUCAAGAUUUGAUAUUCAGAUCCUGCAAGUUUUAAAGCAGUCGCACAUGGAGAUUUUGCUGCUAAAUUAAAGAAGAAGAAGCAACCACUUCUUCAUGACUAAGAUGGGUUAAUUCAUUGCAAAUAGCGAAAUUGUAGUGAGGGGAAGUAAGUUAUAUAAGGGAGAAGAGGAGAUGGUGUUGGAGGUGAGGGAAAUAGGUGAAAGAUAAAAGGAUCAGCAAGAGAAGAGAUGUAGAAGAGGUGUUUGAAGAUGAGGAUUAUUUGGGUGAGAUUUGAAAAGGAGGAAGAAAUUACAUAAGAAGAUCAUUGGAAAGGGCAUUAAUUUUGCAUCAUUUCAACAUCUGGAGUGACAUAUUUGCAAAGAUGAUUGUUAAUUCCAGCAUUUGGAGGGACGUAUUUGCGAAGAUAAUCAUUGUAUGUAUGCUUGUGGGGAGGAUAUUUUUGUACACUUUUUACUACAAUACUACGUAGCAUUUAGAGGUAGUCAUUUCACUUCUUAAUUAUUAAAAAGGGUUGAUUUCAUACAGGCCAUACAAACAUAGUGAAUUGUAAAUAUAUUCCUAUAAAGUUUAAUUUUUAUAUAUUGUUUCUGUAAAAAUUCCUAAUAUUUUCAAAUAUGUCCCUACCGUUAGAAUCCGUUAGAAAACUUUAAUUAAUCAUAGGUUAAAUGCUUAACAUUAAUUUAUGAGAUAACUUGAUAAUUUUGCCCCUAUUAUAUUGUACUGUUGUGGCUUUUGGAAGUAUGCUUUUGGAAGUAUAUAUUUGUGACGGCAAAAUUGACAUUUUAAUUAAAAUAUAAACAGUUCUAAAAUGGUAACAAAUCAGAGGGGCAUAUUUGAAAAUAUUAGAACUUUUGUAGGGACAACAUAUAAAAGUUAAAUUUUAUAGAGACAUAUUUAUAAUGUACUAUAUUUGUAGGGACAUUAAUGUAUAUUAAAAAUGAACAAAGAACUAACAGAUCUGAACUAGAGGGAAAAUAUUAACACAUGAGCAUAUUUGGAGAGACAUAUUUGAUCACUUAUACUUGGGAUCAAGAAUAUAUCUACAAUUUUAUAUAUUUGCAAGAAGCACUGUGUGCAAUUAUCUCUUAAUUAAAUUGUAGGACCAGAUUAAAUUGUUAUUAGCAUGGUUGGUUGAAUAAUUUAUACAUGUAGAUAGGAAACAAAAUUCUUGUAGAUGGGAAACAAAAUUAGGCAUUCAAAGAAAUGAAAGUGUAAAACAAUCAAUUAACUGUCCUGGAGAUACUCUUAACAUAAUAUAUAUUCAAGAUUUCGUUUUGUAUCUAAUAUAGGACUAUUAUUCUUAACUAAUCUGCUUGACACAUGCCACAUAGCACAUAUCAAACCUCUAUUAAUAUAUGAUACGAAUCCAAUCCAAGUUGUCGCGGACUUAAUGAUUUGCUUACCAAAGCCCAUGCAGCGCCCAUCUUCCUCUGUGAAGAUGGGAAAGCCUGUCUCGAUUUUACUAGUCUGAACCCCGGCGCCUUCAAAGACUAAGUGCAAAAAGGAGAAAGCACGUACGAGAGAGAGAGAGAUAGAGAUUCUGUAAAAACUAAGUACUUCACUAUUUAGAUAUAGAAAUUGCAUGCACUUCUAUACUCUUCAUUGGCCUUAGCCAACCCUCUAUUUAUAGGCACAAAUAAUAGUGAACAUAGCCCACAAUGACUCGCCCAUUAAGUACACAUUAACUCAGCUACUAUUACAUAAUAAAGAGCUCUCAUAAAUGCAAGGUGAUUCUAAAAAUUAUUCAUGACUCUUGGAUUUUCAUUGGCAGUUUCCGAACUAUUAAGUUUAGUAGUUGCAUAAUCCUUUGUCUCUCAUAAUGACUACUGGAUUGGUGACCCUUUGGCUGCCCUUUUGGGCCAAUGAUUUGGGCCGAGCUGAAAAAUUACGAAGUCCUCGACAACAUCCUAGCUAGAGAUGACUAGCAUAUAUAUGGGGAGACAGACAUCACAUACUAGACAUGACAAUAAAGCAGCCAGUGGACUGACCGAAACUUUGUAAACUAAGUUUUGAUACCAUAUGAAACAAACAAUAGCCUCUAAAAGCUUAAGCUGAUAAAUCGAGAUACCCUCAUACUAUGUACAUGUGAAGAUUUUGUUCUAAACUAUCAUUCUUGAUAUGUAGAGUAAAUUACACUUUUGUCCUCAAACUAUGAGUCGCUUUACAGUUUGAUCCUCAAACAUUAAUUUAUUGUAAUUUUUCAUUCAAACUUUUGUUUCAAACUGUCAUUACAUCCAAGUCUGUUGGAAAUAAUAAUCCAAACUUAAUUAAAAUAUAGUUACAGAGAAGUUUAAAUCGUUUAUUUGAUUAUGGUUAGGAUAUGUAUUUAUCCAAAGUAAAAUUAGAUUUAUCAUCUGUUAGGAUUUGAUGGCUAUAUAUAGUUAGGCACGGGUUAAUUAGAGAAAUAAACCAUGGUAGAUAUGGUUGUAUAAGUGUUAAGGAGAAUGUAAUUAAUUGCUUUUUAUUAGUUUAGUUAUCUUUUUCCUCCUCCAAUAUUUUUUCUUCAUAUUAUUUUGUUCUAUUUUAGAUCUUGGGUUAUAUAAUCGGUAUCGGCACAAAUACCAGUUCCAACAAGUGGUAUAUAUCAGAGCAAAUCACGUUUCAACAAGGUCAAAAUUUUGUUCUGAACUAUUAUUCUCAACAUAUAGGCUAGAUAAUCUUUUGGUCGUCAAACUAUAAGAGUGCAAGUGUGAUAUUAUGAUUCUUAAACAUAUGUAUAAGACAAUCUUUUUUUGCAAGGCAAUUGAUGUCACCAAAGCAGUUUUCACUAUUAUGAGAGUACCAUACAUUGUAUCUAGUUAUGGUUUAGAUUUUUUUACCAUGGGGAUCAAAACAAUUGCUUGGGCAAUGAAAUCUAUAUACAUACUGUCCCUACCACAAGUGGCAAAGAACUUAGUUGUUGGUACUUGAGGUUUCAUGUUCAAAUUCUAAUUGAUUCACAUUUCUAGCUAAGUUUAUUUCUAAUAAAAACAUAUAUAUAAACGAAGCGGAUAGCAUGCUACCUAUCUCUCUCUCAAAAAAAAAAAAAAGAUUUCGAAUCGACGAUUGACACCAUUCAAAUAUGAUUUGAAAUAUUUAAAAUAUAUAAAAAUCAAAUUUCAUCAUUUUUUUUUGAAAAUUAUUAUCUGGUCCACUGAAAAACAAACAAUCUAGUGAAAAUACAGUUAGAGCUUCUCUAUGCAAGAUCGAGACUUUCAAACGUGAUUUAGAUAGUAAAAGAUCUGUCCAUCACAAAUUUAACAGAGUUAAAUUCUCAGACGAUUAAACGAGCAAACGGCUCAUGUAGGUAGUAAAAAAUUAUUAAGUUGAAGCCUUUUCAUUACUAGCUAAGUAAAUAAUUUUUAAAAAUAGCCAAAUUUGAUUUCUAGGCACUUCAAGUGAUUUAACUUACGUCGUUUAAUGGUCCUGAUCAUUAAUUCGGACUAUCGACACAUAUCUACAAGUUGAGAUAUAUUGAAGGAAAAUAUGAUGCUGAUCCGAUAUUGAUAAUUUAAUUUGAUGCCAUGCAACACACAAUACAUCAAUUAUUACUGCAUAUAUAGCUCAUAAGAUUGAAGAUAACAAAGGAGGUCUCACACACAGUUAACCACAAGCUACACACGUACCAUGCAAUCCCAUGCACGUGUAUAUAUAUAUAUACGUACCCCUUCCUAGCUAGCUAGGGUUCCAUGCAUAUGAAGAUACUAAUUAAGUACUAAAAAGAGUACGUAACAUUAAUUUUUGUUACAUGCAUUGCUUGGGCACAGGGAGCUUGCACUUGGCGGGAAGUUGGACGGCGAGACCCGGCUUGAUGCCGAGCUUGGGGAGAUCCGCCGAGUUCUUGUAGGCGCAGAGGCAGGGCAGGUCGGCUUUCUUGAGCGCCUUGCAGCACUCGGCGGGCGGAG